AAAAAACAAACAACAUAUGCAUUAUACAUCAGAAAAAUCCCAUAAAAAAAUGAAGGGAAACUUCACUUUUGGCCUAACCAAAACAGACCACCUACUCUUAGCGUUCUAGACAUAGCAUUGAGUUUGAUGAGGGCUUUGAAAAGAGGAGGAAUCCUCCCCGUUCCACACUAGGGGAAAAACGAGACUUGUUGUCACUCCGAAGGGAGCAGUCAAACUUAACAUUGAGUUUGACGAGGGCUUUGAAAAGAGGAGGAAUCCUCCCCGUUCCGUAGUAGGGGGAAAACGACGCUUGUUGUCACUCAGAAGGGAGAAUUCAAACUUAGAAACUAAGUCCCCACCCCACAAGAAACUUGUCCAAUGAACCUUAACACUACGAGGAUGAAUAGUAUCCCAUGCACUAGCAAUCAAAAAACCACUAUGACGACCAAGAACCCAAACCCACCUAUCACCAACAUUAGGACACGAACUUACAACUUGAACCCUAUCCCAUAAAGUAAUCAAAUACAAAGACACCCUCGACAACUCAUUCCCUUUCGAACCAAUAAACUUAGAGAGCCUAGCCUCCUAUCUACUCGUUACAUUAUAAAGCGCUCUCUCACCAACUUGUUGAAGGAUAGGACCACCCUGCAACCACGGAUCCAGGCACAGUUUACAAUGCCUACCAUCCCCAACCUCCAUCCGAACAUGCUCUUUUAGACUAGCUUGGCUAAUUCUGAUUUAUUAGAGGAAAGUUGUGUGAAGAUACAAAUUCCAAAUUCAGUUGCCAAAAGGUCAGUACUGCUUGUUGGAUCGAUAUGGCAACCCUAGAGGGGGUGAAUAGGGUUUAAAUAAUCUUUUUGACAAAUAAAAAGUAAAAUCAACCAAUUAGAUAUUUUUUUAAUUUAAAUAAAGAACUUUGUAAACUUUGUUAAAUAACAAGAUUGAUAAAAAGAUAUGAAUUGAAGUAUGCAAUCAAACUCAACCAAUAAGAAUAUGUAUCUAAAAUUGAAUUAAAAAAUAACUAGAAAAGAGUUAGAGAAGAAGACACCGUAAUUUUAUAGUGGUUCGGAUAAACUCAACCUACAUCCACUUUCCCAAGCACCUCUUGAGAUUUUUAUUGAAAAUCUUCUUUGGACUCUUUCCACGGAUUUGAGUCGGACCGAUUCUUGCUCCUUUUUCGGGUUCAAGAGUAAACCCGAUCCUUUCCACGGGUUAGGAUCCAACCGUUACAAUAUGUUGAAGUUUUUAAUUCACACAAAAGAAAACUCUCUAAAAGAGUGAGUAUACAAUUUGAAGCUCACAAAUUUAAUCCUCACAAUACAAUAAGAAGCUCUCAAGAAUAAGGUGAAAAGAAUAAAAAUUGGAAGCUUUAGAGAGAAUAACAAUGUUGGCUUUUUGCUUGAGGAUUGUAAAGAUUUAAUGAUCUUGUCUUUUAAAAUUUGAGAAAAGUGAAGUAUUUAAAAAGAGAGGAAAGAUAAAUUCAAAAUCAUUUUGGAUCAUUAGAUAUAAGUAAAAAAAAAUGAAUAGUUGAGAUUUUUAAUUAGUCGUUAGACACAAUACAAAUAAUAAUAUAAUAAUAUGUCUUUUCAAAAUAUUUUGUUUAAAAAGAAACCAAUAAAGCAACUUCACCAUCUUUUAAAAAAAACUAGCCGUUAGACACAAGGAAAAAUAAUAAUAUUAAGUCAUUUUCUUUUUAAAUUCAUUUUCUUUAUAAAAGCCAAUAAAACAUAACAAAAAGCCACAUUUGUUAUUCCUUCAUUGCUCCAAGUGGCUUUGUCUAAUUGGUUCAAAUUGAAUGCUUGGUCGCCACGUCACCAUCUCGGGUAUUUUUCCGUUAAACUUUUUUUAGCAAUAUUUUCUUCAUUUGAACUUCGAUUUGGGUGAUUCAAGAGGCGUUAGAAUCAUUUUUCCAAGCUCUACGAUAUGGUCUAUUCAAAUCAAUAAAAUUGUCAAUAAAAAAAAAUCAGAUUUGUUAUCAUCAAAACAUAAAUUAAUUGAAUAAUUAAAAUAAAUUAAUUUGAGAUUAAGGGCCAAAAAGCCAACACUGCCUUCCUCCUUAAGUAAUAAAUUUUCUCAAUCCUCCUCCAAACUUUCUGGUUCAUUCUUUAAUUUUGUGCAAGAUACUUCUUGUCUAAAAGAAGUUGAGAACUUAGAAGAUGAAUUCAUGGAAGUUGAAUCAGUCACCAGUGUAAGUAGUGUAGAAUUUGAGGAAGAAAUAAUUCAAUCAGAGACAGAGAAACGAGAGGACAGUGACUGUCUCGGUCCAGAUUUUAUUAAAUUGUUUUCCUCCCCAAAAAAAGAAAUUUUGUGCAGGUCGCAAGUAUCCUUCUCCCUCAAGAGUUGGUUCCUUUCUUGGCAGCAUGUGAAGUUGAAUUGAUAUAAGGCAGAGGUAGCAAAGAUGGAGAUUAUAUCAUGGAACGCUAGAGGAUUCAUGGGCCAUUCGAAACAAUUGGCUAUUAAAAAUCUUUUGAAGAAAGCUAAUCCAGAUAGAGCAUUGAUUCCGGAGACCAAAAGAGAAGAUAUUGCCAAUUGUAUUAUAAAGGCACUAUGUUGUUCAAAAGGAAUUGGUUCAGUCUUUGUUUGAAGCUAGUGGCAGAUUAGGAGUUUUGUUGAUUAUGUGGAUAAAUAUAAGUUGUCAAUUAUUGAAGUUCGGUCAAGAGAAGGAAGGUCAUUACAGUGUGGCUUAUAAGUUGUUUCAACAUUAAUUUAUAAGUUGUUUGGAAAGGUUCUCGCAGAAAGAUUAAAGAAAGUCAGGCCAAGUAUUACUUUGUAAGACCUCCUAUUAUCUAUACCUAUAAAAGGAAGGGUAGAAAGGGAAAUUCCUUAGCAACCAAUGAUGAGAGAAUAAUGGGAGAGGAUCGUGCAGGUGGGGCCCGUCAGGAGGGAUGAGAGAGAAGUAUAAAUAUGUAAUGUUGGGGUAGGGGAGGCUAGGUCUUUUUUUGGUUAUUUUAAGGAGAGUAAAGGUUGUUGUAGCCUGAGGGUAUCCAGCCUAGUAUAAAGGAGCUGGGUAAGUUUUCUAUGUUGUUCUUCCUUUAUUUUUCAGAUCUACUACUGUUGAAUGUGUUUUGGCUUUUACAUAAAUAAAAAUUACAGAGUGCUGCCUUGUUUAGCCAUUUGGUUAGGAUAUUUUGUGUUUUAUUGUUAGAAUCCUAACAGACUGGUAUAGGGAAUUUAUAGAAAUGGUCACUUGAAGAGUUAUUGGAUGAAUUGAAUGGGGCAACAAUUUUCUCGAAGUUGGAUAUGAAAUCAGGGUACCAUCAGAUCAGAAUGAGGGGGAAGAUAUUGAGAAGAUUGCAUUUCGUACCCACGAGGGACAUUACGAAUUCUUGGUAAUGCCUUUAGGCCUCACUAAUGCACUGCCACCUUCCAAUCUUUAAUGAACCAGAUAUUUAAACCCUUCCUAAGACGAUGAGUGUUAGUUUUCUUUGAUGAUAUAUCGUCUAUAGUACCGACAUUGUAGAGCAUGAAAAACAUUUGGGAAUGGUCUUUGCGGUUCUGAGAGACAACCAACUCUUUGCCAACAAAAAGAAAUGUGUCAUAGCACAUUCUCAAAUUCAAUACCUGGGUCAUCAAAUAUCUAAGAAAGGAGUGGAGGCAAUAGUGAUAAAAUCCAAAGUAUGGUAAAUUGGCCUCAACCGAAAGGGGUAACUGAACUCAGAGGAUUCCUAGGCCUGACUGGGUAUUAUCGGAGAUUUGUAAAAGGAUAUGGAGAGAUUGCAGCACCCCUAACCAGGCUGUUACAGAAUAACGCAUUUAAAUGGGAUGAAGAAGCUUCGGUAGCCUUCGAGAGGUUGAAGAGAGCAAUGACUACUAUUCCAGUAUUGGCUCUACCAGAUUGGUCUCUUCCUUUCACCAUCGAAACUGACGCAUCUGGAGUUGGUUUAGGAGCCGUGAUCUCCCAAAAUGGACAUCGAUUGCUUUCUUUAGCCAAACUAUCCCCAAGGCUCAAUUGAAAUCUACUUAUGAAAGGGAGCUUAUGGUUGGUGCUAUCAGUACAAAAAUGGAGACACUAUCUUUUGGGAGAAAAUUCACCAUUUUUCAGACCAGAAGGCCUUGAAAUUUUUGUUGGAACAGAGGGAAGUGCAGCCACAGUUUCAGAAAUGGCUAACAAAAUUGUUAGGGUAUGAUUUUGAAAUUCUCUACAACCGGACUUCAAAAUAAGGUUGUCGAUCCCUUUCGAGGAUGGAACCACUUGUGGAACUGAACACGAUAACGACCACUGAAUUGUUGAUAUGGAAGUUGUCAUUAAAGAGGUAGAAAAGGAUGAUGAACUUCAGAAGAUCAUAACAGAAUCGAAGAGAGAUACCGGGAAACACGCGAAGUACCAAUGGAGUGGGGGGAGAUUGUUUUACAAAGGAAGAGUAGUUCUAUCGAAGACUUCCUCUCUGAUUCCCACCUUGUUACACACUUUCCAUGAUUCCAUCUUGGGCGGUCAUUUCGAUUUUUAAGGACUUAUAAGAGAAUGAGUGGAGAAUUGUACUGCACGGAAUGAAGGAAGAGGUGAAGAAAUAUGUAGAAACAUGUGACACAUACCAAAGGAAUAAAUUUGAGGCCACCAAACCUGCAGGCGUGUUACAGCCCAUUCCAAUUCCUGAUCUAAUUUUGGAAGAUUGGUCUAUGGACUUUAUAGAAGGGUUACCUUUGGCGGAGGGAGUUAAUGUUAUAAUUGAGGUAGUAGACCGAUUGAGUAAAUACUCCUACUUUGUAACCUUGAAACACCCUUUUUUUGCCAAGCAAGUGGCUGGCGUAUUCAUUGACAGGGUUGUCAGAAAACAUGGAAUUCCUAAUCCAUCAUCUCAGAUCGUGACAAGGUUUAAUUUCCUUAGUAACUUUUUGAAGGGAAUUAUUCGAACCAUGGGUACAAACCUCAAGAGGAGCACACCUUCCAUCCCCAAGCAGAUGGGCAAGCUGAAAGAGUGAAUAGGUGUUUGGAAACUUAUCUGAGAUGUUUUUGUAAUGAACAACCUCACAAAUGAGACAAGUUCAUUCCUUGGGCAGAAUUAUGGUAUAACACAACGUUCCACACCUCCACCAAAACAACUACAUUCCAAGCAGUAUAUGGCAGACCUCCUCCUCCUCUGUUAUCCACGGACAUAAGAAGACCCCUAACAACGAAGUCGAAACUCUAUUACAGGAGAGAGACUUGGCACUUAGUGCCUUGAAGGAACACUUGUAUACAGUUCAGAAUAGAAUGAAAAAAAUGGCUGAUCUGAAAAGGAGAGAAUUGAAGUUUAAGGUGGGAGAUAAGGUUUACUUGAAGCUAAGACCCUACAAGCAACGAUCUUUCGCCCGAAAGAAAUGUGAGAAGUUGGCACCCAAAUAUUAUGGACCGUAUACCACAAUAAAAGGGAUUGGAGAAGUAGCAUACCGACUUCAGUUACCACCAGAAGCUCAUAUCCAUAACGUCUUCCACAUCUUCUAACUAAAAUUGAAACUUGGCAAGCGGCAAGAGGUAUAACUUCAACAUUCCAGCCUAACUGAAGACUUUGAAUUGCAAUUGUAUCCAGAAACAGUGCUGGGCAUACGCUGGAAUACAGAUCUGGGAGCUAAUGAAUGACUCGUGAUAUGGAAGGGAUUAGCAGAUAGUGAAGCCACUUGGGAGUCAGUUUAUCAAAUGAAUCAACAAUUUCCCACGUUUCACCUUGAUGACAAGGUGGAUUUAGAACCGAGGGGUAUUGUAAGACCUCCUAUUAUCUAUACCUAAAAAGGAAGGGUAGAAAGGGAAAUUCCUUAGCAACCAAUGAUGAGAGAAUAAUGGGAGAGGAUCGUGCAGGUGGGGCCCCAGGAGGGAUGAGAGAGAGAGGUAUAAAUAUGUAAUGUUGGGGUAGGGGAGGCUAGGUUUUUUUGGUUAUUUCAAGGAGAGUAAAGGCUGCUGUAGCCUGAGGGUAUCCAGCCCUGUAUAAAGGAGCUGGGUAAGUUUUCUAUGUUGUUCUUCCUUUAUUUUUCAUAUCUACUACUGUUGAAUGUGUUUUGGCUUUUACAUAAAUAAAGAAUUACAGAGUGCUGCCUCUGUUUAGCCAUUUGGUUAGGAUAUUUUGUGUUUUAUUGUUAGAAUCCUAAUACUUCUCCAUUACAAUGUGGCUUUCUGGAAGAGUGCCAAAUCUUGGAUCCUAUUUUAAUAGCAAAAGAAACUUGGAGGUAUAUAGUAUCGAAAAAAGAAAAGAUGGAUCAUUAAAUUAGACCUUGAAAAGGCCUUUAACAGAGUGGAUUGGAAAUUUUAGAAAAUGUAAUGCAAAAGAAGAUCUUCGACGUAGGAUAUUGUGUUAUAUUGGCCAGCCUUUACAGCAUCCCCACUUUGAAGUCUUUGAUGAUCAGGACUUUCGGAUCAGCCCUCUGCUUCAAACAGUUUUUGCUCAACCAAUCAAGGCUUAUUCUUCUUUGUUCUCAGCAUGCUGCCUUUGAUUAUGAUUUUGCUUUGGAAAGAUUCUUUUUAUCAUUUUGUUUGUCUUUGUUUUUGUGGCUUUUUGUUUUGAUCUUGUGUUGUCGCUUUUUGGAUGUUUUGAGGGCACUAAGGGGGUGUCAACCUAGUUUGAGAUGCCCGGAUGCGCCUGUUGAUCUUCCCUCUCCCCUUUUGCUCUUUGUAUAAUCCUCAUGUACAUUGAGCUUUGUCUCUUUCUUUAUAUUAAUAAUAGUGAGACUCGUAUCCUUUUUUAAAAAAGAAAGAAAAUUCAAUUAUAUAUCACCAACACUCUCCUCACUUGUGGGCUUGAAAUAUUUGAAAGGCCCAACAACUGGAAAUGGAUUUUAAUUGGGGAGGAAACGACAAUGCGAGGCUUGAACGAGACCUUCUUGGACCACCUGCUCGGAUACCAUAUUGAAAGGGAGACAAACAAACACACAACUUUACGUGGAAACCUGUGUACCAGGAGAAAAACCACUAUAUUUUUCUUCUUAUUAUUUUCUGAUGAAAAAUACAAUAGGUACAAGGGAGAAUAAAUAGAAUAUACAGAGGAAUAAAAAAGGAAAAUAUUUAGGAAUUAAGAAAAAUAUUCCCAUAAACUUUUCAUAAAUAUUCUAAGAUUCUAACAAUAAAAAGUUCUUUUAUUCCAAAUUGUGACUGCUCUAAUGUGCAGUUGUUUUCUGAUUUAGAUGAUUGAGGAGCUUGGUGGUUCUCUCACUGCUGAUGGGAGUACAAGCACUCAUGUCAUUACAGGAAAAGUGCGGAAAACUCUAAAUUUUUGUAUUGCUCUUUCUUAGUCUUGCAACCUUAGACGAACACUCUUCUAUGUGUCCUUUUGGCCUUUGAAUACCGAUAAUCAUCUCAUUUGCACCAAAGUUAGCGAUUCCAUGCACACAAGGCCUUUGCCGUUAUUCUUCCAUUGCCUCGUAGUUGUGCUUAGGCUGGAAAUUGUUGUGAACCUUCUAGAUCUAAAAGGGCAUAGUUUCUUAUUCUACUGCCUGUUUACUUUUAGUUAAACAUCAAAAUCAAUUCUUAUGUUUGAGUUGGAUUGUAUCAUGCUCUUCCUUUUCAGUUGUUUCUAUCGUGAUGGUGGGUAGUGGUUGUUAAGACAACCAUUAGGCUAAUUUGGGUUUCAGGCUUACUUUUCCCAUUUUACGUGUAAAAUGGCUCAAGCUCACUAAUGAAAGAUAUUUGUUGGCUAGCUAGUGUUUUUAUCCUCGAUUUCCUUCUUCCCCUAAUACAUUAUGUUAUGGAAUUUGUUAGAUACCUAGAUUAGUAUAGGGUUGGGGUAUAAGGGUAAUUAGAUAUUUAGGAAGUUACUAGUAGUUAUUGUGUAAGUGUGGUUACUAGUAGUUAUUAUGUAAAUUUGGUAACUAGGGUGGUUACAUCUUAUUAUAAAUGGAGGGAGGGUAAGUGGGGAGAAUUCUAGGGAGUGAUAUAAGGCUUGGGUGAGAGUACUCAAGAGGGAAGGUUCCAAAGCUUUAUACUUGGUUUUAUCUUGUAUUUUCUUAUAGUUACAUUAUAAUAAAUUCAGAUCUUGUUCUUGUUAGGAAGUAUCUGUCUCCAAUAUUAUUUAAAUACAGUAGAAGAAUUAAAAGGGUAAUAUUGUCCCACACGAGAAUAUAGGAGAGAUUAUAGGAGGAGAGAAUAUUGGAGGAGAUCUUUCCCAUUAGUUUGUUAGUAAAGCAAAAUAAAAUGGAGGAAAGAGGAGGGAGAAAGGGGAGAAAAUAUUCCAAAGAAGUAGAGGCUGCCGUCUUUCGGGAGAACUAGAGGUCCAAGUCAAGUUCUUUUUAUUGUUUGUUUUGUAAUUUUCAUGGUUGUGUUUGUUCUUAAUUUUUCUUGUUCUUUGUGUGAUCCUCACUAGAGUGAGCCUUUAGGAAGUAGAUGUGAGUGAUUUUCUAUUCUCUAUAUUGUAAUUCAUUGAGGUAAUUCAAUAAAGUAAGAUACACUUGCCAUAUAUUUACAGUAUCUUAACAAAUUGGUAUCAGAGCAUUUUUACUUGGGAGAACGAUAGAGCAGCACAAAAACGGAUCGAGGAGAAGUUGGAGACCUCUGAUAAGGAAAUCUCGGGGAUACAAGUGGAGUUACACAAGUUGCUGGCAACUGAAGAAAACUUGUUAUCCUUGCAAAAAGCAUCGAAAGACUGGUUAUCUAGUUGGAAAAACAAAACGGUUGCUAAAUGCAUCGAAGGAAGAGCAGAAGGAUAAUUCGACAAUCUCCGGAAGAAUGGAAGGAUCGUCGAGCAAGACCAACGAUUGAGAGUAUCAAUAAAGGUGGAGGUAAGACAUUGAAGGAAAUCAAGGUAGAAGGUAAAACAAACAAGUUUGAAAGGGAUGAAAAUCGAACGAUCAUAGCAAAUUCAAAAAGGUUGAAAUGUCUGUGUUUAGUGCACUGAUCUGGAUUGAGUUUAUUUAGAACAGAUUGGAAUCUUCAGGUCCAUAAAUCGAUGGAUUCCAAGAAGUUUCUGAAUCCAUAGAAGAAUCGAGGAAAACGCGAUUGCAACGGUUAUACAACGAAGGUGAAGAGGAUGGCAAAGAGUGACCAAGAAGAAACUAUAGAGGAAGGUCGACGAGGAUUACCUGUGAGGCUCGAAAUGAAGACUCGAGUGAAGAAAAAUUUGUUGCUCAAAGAAACAGAAAAUGGAUGGUUGCAAUGGAGAAAGAAGAAGUCGGCAGUUACCGGUCUACGGAGGCUCGAGAAGGUGGUCUGGAAUAGGGGUGAAUCACGUGACGAGGAAGAAGUUGCUGCACACGUGAUGGUGCCAAUGACGUGGUAGAAAUUGGUAUGAAAGAGGAUUAGGACAAAAGGUAUGAAGAUAUUAAAUUAAUUUUAAACUUUUCACGACGUUUGGUUUUUUGUGCAUCGUGGAAUGUCUUUUCGCCGACGCAUCCAAUGUGGCUUCGCCGAAAGGUGGUCAACACCGACGAAUCUUUCGCCGACAUUGUUUCUGGCAUCGUAAUUAUUCCAAUUUCUUGUCGUGGCUUUUUUUUUCUUCAGAAUUUCAUAUUUGCCCUUAUUGGUUUAUAACAAUUUUCAAUUCUGAUUUUUCUUUUUCUUGAUUUUUUUCACUUUCUUUUCGAGUUAUUCAUAUUUUUUUUAUAUAUUUUUCAUCUGGAUCUUUCUUUCUCUUAUUUAUCAUCUUCGACAAUAUUCUUUCUCUUCUUCGUCAUCUUCGUCAUCAAGAUUGUUUAUAUUACUCUGUCAAUAUCAUUGCAGUGAUAUUGUUUUGGUGAGAAUUCUAAAUAUUAUAGAAAAUUAUAACUGUUUAGACGAUUAUAAAAUUUUGUUUAGAAUUCUAUAUCUUUCCCUAUGAAGAUCAUUUUUGUUUUUGUUUGUGGUAAAAAUUGUAAAUUUUGUUUUUGUUUAAAUAUUUAGAAGAUUUAAUUAUUAUUGUAAGAUAUUCUAUAUUUCAUUAUGAAGAUCGAUAGUUUGAUGGUUCAUGAUUGUGUACAUUGAACUAAGAAAUUUAUAUUUCACUAUGAAGAUAGUUUUUGUUUUUUCUUAUUAGUAAGAAUUCUAAAGUUUGUUUUUGUUUCAAAUUUUUACAAAUUUUAAGUAUUAAUGUAAGAAUUAUGUACUUCAUUAUGAAGAUCGAUAGUUUGAAGUUUUUGACGAUAAUUUACAUGAAAUUAUACGAUGAGUUACCACUAUCAAUAGAAUUACUUACAAAUAUUAACACGAUCGUGUACCGAUAACAAGACGAUUGUUUACACUAUUCAAUACGAUCACCAAGAUCAUAUGAUCGUGUACCCAUGUCAACAUGAUAAUUUAUUUUAAUCAAUACUAUCAUUUACCAUUGUCAAAUGGUCGUUUAUCAUGGUUAAUAGGAUCGUUUAAUGUAUAUUAUUUCAUUGCACGAUCGUUUACUUAUUCUUGCAUUGUGUUUAGUAUUAUCAUUUUGUACAUUUUAUUCUUUCAUUCAGUAAUAAAUGUAUAUCUAUGUCUAUCUAUUUCUUUCUAUCACAAUUAAAUACUUCAUUUUAUUUUAUUUAUUUUUUUACAGAUUAUAAUGUCUUUUCCUAUUGUUGUUUUUUAUGGAAGUCAAUGGAAUGGAUGUAAAUAUUUAUAAGAAUUACUUAGUUGCUGGAAAUUUUGGUAGAUGUCCAAGUCAGCUUUAAUUCUCUAGUUGAUUUAAUAUGUGAACAGAAUUCAAUUGGAUGGAUAAGUAGAAUUAUCUGUUUUACUUGAUUUUGGUAAAAGCAAGGUCCAACUGUGGUGCCAGUAAAGAAAGACAAUGAUGUGGCUUGGUAUUUAUCUUUUGCUAAAGAUGCAACUGGUAUACAUCCAUUAGUUGCUCUAGUGUAUGAUAGAAUGUUGAUAUGUCAUUGAAUGUAGGUUCUCCUUCUUAUGUUUCAAAUGAUGAAUUUAUAAGAACAUCUCAUAUCAUGGUGAUUUGAAGGAAAAUAGUUUAUUUGAAAGUAAAGAAGUGCUUUCAAAGUGUUUUGGCAUAAUAGAGUGAAUAAACUUUCAAUUUAGAACUACAAUAUCAAAUUUGGGUCUCUUGAAUUUAGAUGUUUACUAGAAGGGUGCAAAUGGUUAUUAGGACAUCUCGUUAUAAGAAGAGCGAAUUGUGGAUGCUAUGAAAAUACAUUUAUGAACAUGACUGUUCAUUGAAUACUAGUUGUCACAUGCAAGUUUCUUCAACAGUAAUUGACAGUUUCUUGAUAGAUUAGUUCAGCUUCAUGUCUACUGAUCGUUUCAUUCCAAAACAAUUUUGCAUAAGCAUGUACAAAUCUUGGAGUUAAUAUAAGUUAGCAGAAAGCUUGGAGGGCAAAAGAACACAUAGUAAAGAUAUUAAAAGGUGACAUAGUUAAAUCAUACAUGUUGAUUCCAAUGUUUUUGAUAAAUUGGUUGAAUCUAUCUCAGGCAUAAUGAGUUUCAUAUAUCGAAUUUAAAUUCAUUUGAAGAUAGAUGGGGAUAGACAAAUGUUACAAUCUAUCUAGAUAGACAAAUAUCACAGUCUAUCUAGAUAGACAAAUGUUAGCAUUUAUCACAGUCUAUCUGUUUUUCUUAUUUUGGGUGUUGGAUACAUCCACUGCUUUUAGAGAUGGAUGAUAACAGUCACUUCAAGUUUUACUUUAUGACUUUUGGUGCAUCAAUUGAAGGGUGAAAAUAUUGUAGACCUAUCAUUUUUAUUGAUGGCACAUUUUGAAGUGUAAGUUUGGUGACGUCCUAUUAACAACCUCAUCAUAAGAUAACAAUCAAAUCUUCCCUUUGCUUUUGCUAUUGUAGGUUUGAAAAUGAUGUAUCAUGAACAUGGUUUUUGAGAAGAUACGAGGUAGUUUUUCAGAGCAAGCUAAUUCGGUCAUUGUUUCUUAUAGGCAUCUUAGGAUCCUUAAAGGAGUUUUAAGAGUGUUUCUUGAUGUUGAAUAUUGUGUGUGCACAAAACAUCUAUUAAGUAACUUGAAACUCCAUUUUAAGGAUCCACUACUUGAUAAAUACUUCUUUAGUUGUGCUUAUGCUUACACUGUUGAUGAAUUUGAGUACCACAUGAAAUGUAUGGAGUUAGUUUGUCCAAAUAUUAGAGAUUAUCUUAGCAGUGUUGGUUUGAGAAGUGGUCUCAGACAUAUUCACAAAGAUGAAGGUAUAGAAGGAUGACAUCAAAUUGUGUAGACAGUGUAAAUUUAGUUUUUAAAGAUCUUAGAGAACUACAUGUAGCUACCAUGCUUAGUUCAAUUAGAGAUGUAUUGCAAAAGUGGUUUUAUGAAAGAAGUAAAGCUACUUUUACAAUGAAGAGUUGUUUGACUUCUUGGGCUGAGAACGUGUUGCAUUUAGAAUAACAUGAAAAGUCAAGAAUUUUAUUGGUAAGGUUUUUUUUUUUUUUUAAUGUUUGUAUCUCAGGUAGAUAUAAAUAGACUGCUAUUUUUGUCUAUCCGAUAGAGAAAUAUAACAAUUUAUGUGUGCUUAUUUCAGAUAGAUAGAGAUAGAUAGCUAUCAAUGUCUAUUUGUCUCUAUUUGUGCAUGUUUUUUUUUUUAAUUUUUCUAUAUUUGUUUUAUGUAUUAGGUUGAUCCAAUUAGCAUGACUGAAGACAAAGUAAUGGAUGAUACAAAAUGAUAAUGUGAUUUAUUUAUAUUUGUUCUAAUUUGAAAUAUUCAAAUUUACUUUGGGAAUUAGUAUAAUUAGUAUAAUGUAUAGUGAUGCAUUAUAAUAUAAAGUUUAUAUGUUAAUGAAACUUUAUUAUAUAAAUUUAAUUUUGGAUAAAGUUCAAAAUUAAUUUAUGAGAGAUAAAAUAUUUAAAUGAGUUUAAAUAUUAAUUUAAUGUGGAUUUGUUUCAUAUUAAAAUUAUUAAUUAUGAGAUAAAGCUAUAUUUGAAUAUGAUUCAAAUUUAACUUAAGUUAAAUAUAAAAUAUUUAAUUUUGUUAUUAAUUAAUUGAAGAAUUAAUUAAUAGUUUAGUUUAAUAUUAUUUAAUUAAAUUAAUAUAAAAAUAAGAUAUUGGAGAGAUAUUCAUUCAAUAAGAUUUAAAUGAAAUAUUAAUUAAAUAUGAUUAAUUAAUUAUUAACUAAUUGAUUAAUGGUUAAUUAGUUAGUUGAUUUGAAACUUCUAUUAAUUUAAUAUUUUUUAAGUUAAUAGAAUCCUAUGAUUCUCUCCUACCCCGUCUCCUACUCAAUGAAAGAAAGAGAGUUAUAAAUAUUUAGAAGAAAAACAGCUUUUCUUAACCAAAUAAAACAUAUGAUUUUCUUUUCUGCAAAAUAGAUUGUAACGACCUAAUUUUUCGAAUUAAGCUGAAGUUAUUACUUUAAGACUAGAUUCGUCCUUUAACCAUAAGACUUUAUAAUUUAAAAAAAAAAAAAACUUAACAACAUUAAAGAAUUUUUAUUCGGGUUCUAUCUCAAAUAAAAUUUUGAAAGUUUAAAAGUAUCGAUAAUAAAGAAAAGUUCAAGAACAUAAAAGUUGUUCAAUCAUGAAACCCAAAACAAUCUCAAUUACUAAAGAAAACCAAAAUAAAAAAAAUAUAAAGCAGAAGCAAUUUGAAGGACAUUUCCCUAUGGCAGUUUCGUGGAAAAAGAUUAAACAUAAAAGGGUGAAUAUAAACAUACCCAGUAAGAGACCCACUACUGAUCCUAUUAGGAGAAAAAUAAAAUUGUUAACUUCCUAUUGGAGGUGCCCUGCACUUUAAUAGUCUUGUGAUCAUGUGGGAAUACACAUAAUUAGUUCAAUGCCCUAAAGGACACAAUAUUAGUUUAGUGCUCUGCAGAAAGCAUGGCUGUAUGUAAAACUAACUUAGUUUGUAACUCAUAACUUACCAAAAAUUUCAAAAAGUGUGAAAAAAAUCUUUCAAGACUCAAAGUGGCAACCAUGGCUGUAUGUAAAACUAACUUAGUUUGUAACAACCUAAAAGGUGUUCAAAAAAUGUUUAAGUAUCACUCGAACUUUAAAAACGACCUAAUAAUGCUUUAGUGUUACUUCAUAACUCAUAACCUACCAAAAAGUUCAAAAAAUGUAGAAAAAACACUGCAAAAUUCAAAAUGGCAACCAAGUGUGUAAGUGUAACAAACUUAGUCUCAACUUUAAAAUUAGUGCGAGUUGGGAAAUGUAUUAACUCAAGCAUGAUGUACAAACUUGAAACGACUUAAAUAUUUAUUCACCAUCACAUAAAAAUAGUAAUUAAAUAUAGAUAACAUGUGUAGAUAAAGGGAGAAUCACCUUUCUAGCAGUAGCUUUAGAGUAAGACCAAACACCAUCUUCCUACUUGUAAAUCUGCUCGAUUGUCUACUUUGUUCUACACUCGUCAUUUCACCGUCUCAAGCCAUCCAGCCUUGGCAUACAAUAGUAUGUCUCCGCCUGUUAACAAAUACCACUAAAACUAAGCAAGACAAAGAAAAAAGUUUUAAAAAAAUUACCUAACUUUUAGGUCUUCAUGUGACCUUUAAGUUCUUCUGUCUUCUCCUUCAACUCUUUGACAGAUUGCUGAAAUUAUGUGUUUCUGCAAUGUUUACCAGAACAUGAAAGAUUCAUUACGAAAAAACAGUCAAUACAAGAAGAAAAAAGUUCACUUGAAAACGACCUAAAACAGUAUCACUUGAACAAAAUGUGUCUAAGUAUCACUUGAACUUUCAAAACGACCUAAAACAAAAUGAGUUACGAACCUACACGUAAGCUUUUUUAGGUCGUUUUGAAAGUUCAAGUGAUACUUAGACAUGUUUUGAACUCGUUUUAGGUUGGUUUGACACUAAGUUUUAAACACAUUUGAUUGACAUGUUGGGUCUUGAAGUACUUUUUUCACACUUUUUGAAAUUUUGGUAGGUUGUGAGUUACAAACUUACACUUAAGCAUUGCUGGGUCGUUUUGAAAAUUCAAGUGAUACUUAAACGUUUUGAAUACAUUUUAGGUUAGAUUGAGUUUGUUGCACUUACACACAUGGUUGUCAUUUUUGGUCUUGAAAUGCUUUUUUCAACCUUUUUGGUAGAUUAUGAGUUACGAACUUACACUUAGGAUUUGCUAGGUCGUUUUGAAAACUACAAUAAUACCUAGACACGUUUUGAGCACCUUUUAGGUUGGUUUGAACUAAGUUUGUUGCACUUACACACUUGGUUGCCAUUUUGGGUCUUGUAGUGCUUUUUUCACAAUAUUUGAACUUUUUUCGUAGGUUAUGAGUUACGAACCUACACGUAAGCUGUUUUAGGUCAUUUUGAAAGUUCUAGUGAAACUUAGACACGUUUUGAGCACGUUUUAGGUCGUUUUGAGCAGGUUUUAGGUCGUUUUGAGUAAAUGGUAUGUAUGUUGUGAUUGUUUGAUUGCAUGUAUAAUACUUAUUGAGAUGUGAAUGCUUGAUUGAGAAGCUGAUAGAACACCAAGUAAUGGUUCUUAUUUGUUCAUUAAGCAACCAAACUAUUACAGAUACAAUACUCAAACCAGUCAUGAAAACACAGAACAAACAAGUACUAUUACAGACAAUAACCAAGUACAAAAUAAAACAUUCAAACAUCAAAAGUAGUUUACGAUAAUGGAAAACACUUUCUAAGAUUAAAGUAACUGAACAACUUCUGUAAUUAUGCUGCUCUCAGAAAAUACAGCCCUCCACUUCCAGAAACUGAUUAACCAACCCCCAUCUUUCCUUCCAUCUCUCCCUUUUAACUCCCCCUGUAACUAACUAUUGUCCCCACUAAGGUGGUUUCCACUUCCUCCAAUUCCAUUGCAAUUCCACUUGUCUUUCUUAUGCUAUAUUGUAUUGCAAUUGGUGGUCUAUCAUUACUCUCCCUCUCCAAAGUCACCUUGUUCUCAAGGUGGGAAAUGAGGAAGCUUUUGUGUAAAAUCAUCACAAUUCUCCCAUGUAGCCUCAUGAGGUGGUAUUCCUUUCCAACUAACAAGCACUUCCCACUUCUUUGUUGUGGAUUUUUAGGAUAGCCAAAAUUGUCUGCUGGUAGUAACUCUUGAAAUGUAGGAACAUCAUCAAUUCCAUAUAGUUCGGUAAAUGUCAUUCCUCCUCCAUAGCUCGACAUUUUGUCAAGAAACCUUAAUCAGAUGGUGUCCAUGUCUCCAUCAUGUGUUACAGACUCACUCUAGUCUUUGUCAAACUCGGGUCACCCCUUAUAACAACAUUCUUUUCAUUUUGUAUGAAAGUUAAAGUGAGUUUCCGCCAAUCCACUUCAGUUACCCAACGUGUGCAGCCAUUGCAUUCCAAGGAUGACAUCCUGAUAGAACAUUAAUGUAGUGUUUCUAUUAUAUUGAUAAUUCAAACACAACUUACAACAUAAGCAAAUCGUGAACCUUAGAAAAUGAGUCACGUUACAUAUAAUUCACAAACAUCAAACAAAAGAAAAACCUCCUAAUCCAAAAUUCUAAACAACAAAAUACUAAUAAGCAAACCAGAAUAUAGAACACCAAUCUUCUGCUUCCCCAGUCUUUCAAGGAGUAUUGCAGACCUUUUUCUUCACUCCAAAAAACUCACUUUAACAAAGAGGCAGCCACAUUUUCAGGUAAGAAAAUAAAGUAGGUAGUAUGUAGGAAGGCUAACCAAAACUGAGUUGCAUAAGGUUUGUCUUCCGCCUCUAGAGAUGUUAUAUCUUUUCCACCUUCAAGUUUCUUGUGAAUUCGAUCAAUGACUGGUUGCCAAAAAGACUUUUGUCGAGGCCAAAGGGAGACGGAGACCUAAAUAUAUAAUCGGAAGCUUUUCUAGCUUGCACCCUAUCAGAUUUGUUGUUUGAAACAAAUCUUCCUCUCCCACAUUAACGCCGCUAAGGGCUGAUUUUUCCCAGUUUACUUUCUGCCCCAAACACCAUUCGAAUAAUCUAAUGACGUUUUAAAGUUUAAGGAGCAUCUUCACAUCAUACUUACAAAAGAGAAGAGUAUCAUCGACAAAUUGAAGCAAAGGGAGGUGGAUCAAGUCUUUUGCCAAACAAGGAAACCUUCAAACUGGCUGUUAAUAUGAAGCUUGUUUAUGAUUUCUCCUAAAACCUCACUUACUAGGUGGAAAAAAAGGGGGAGAGAGGGUCCCCUUGGCGGAUACUUCUAGAUGCUGUUAUCUGGCCUCUAGGCUUACCAUUGAUGAAGACUGAAUACUUUGGAUUUUUGAGGCAGCCCAUUAUCCAUGAUAUCCAUUUGGAACUAAACUUUUUCAAAGAUAAUUUUUUUUCUAAAAGUUCCAAUUCACCCUAUCAAAGGCUUUUUCCAAGUCAAGUUUUAAAAUCCAUCCUUUUUUCCGUUUUGCUCUAUAAUCUUCCACGGCCUUGUUAGCAAUUAAUUUGGGUCAAGAAUUUGCCUACCUUCAUAAAGGCGCUUUGAGUGGGGCUUAUAAUUGCAUCCAUAACUUGUUUUAGACGUUCAGAUAAAACCUUUGCAACGACCUUGUAUGCUAACGUAGUAAGGCUGAUUGGACGGAAAUCCUUGCUAGAGUCACAUUCUCUUUUUUCUACACUAAACAAAUGAAGUUUUCUUGGAUGCAAGCAUUUAAUCUUCCAUUUAUGUGGAAAUCAGACAUUAGUGAUUUGAACAUAUCCUUUAAAAUAGACCAUUGGGUGAUUAGGAACUUCACUGUGAAGCCAUCUGGGCCCAGAGCUUUAUUGUUGCCAAGUGCCUUUAAUGCCUUAAAGAUCUCCUCCACUGAAAACUGGGCAACAAGAGCCUCAUUCUGAAUUGAGGAAACACAAAGACCAAUUACUGUUAAUAGGGAUGAAUUGUCCCCCGGAAUUCUGGUAUAAAGUGACUCAAAAAAUUCCAGCACCCCAGCCUUUCAAUGUCGUGGAAUGAGUCGAGACAACCCAUCAUCAUCUUUUAAUUCAGUUAUGAGGUUCCUUCUUUUUUUCGCAUUUAGAAAGCGGUGGAAGAAGCCCGUAUUCUCAUCACCCAAAGAUAGCCAAUUGAGUUUACUCUUCUGAAUAAAAUUCCGCUCUUCAUUUUAAUAAAUACUAAGUAAUUCCGCUUGCAAAGCAGCUCUAGAAUUCAACUCUUCUUGAUUUAAUCCAAUCAACUCAGCCACAGAAUCAUAUUUUUCUAAUUUGACAUCAAGGAUUUCUCUGUUUUUUUUUUUACCUUAGCUUGCGCAGCAAUAUUCCAAGCUUUUACUGCCAAUUUAACUAAUCUCAACUGCUCAUGAAGAAUGAAACCAACCAUCCCUGGAAGUUAGAGUUGCUCACUGUUUCAACAAUAAUCUGAUUAGAAUCACUGGGACACCAACCAGCUGUUACAAAACCAAAAGGAGAGGGACCCCAAAGAAAAUAAGCAACCUCCAAGAAUAAAGGAAAGUGAUCCGAGAAGAUGCAUGCUUUUCGAGAAACCUGAGAAUUUUCAAAACAAACAUCCCACAUCUGAUUUAUGAAGAAUCUGUAUAAUAAUGAUCUUCAAGGAGAAUUACCGUCUCUAGACCAAGUGAACCUUCCAUUUUGCAAUGGAAUUUCCAUGAGAGAAACCAUGUCAAUAAACAUAUUGACUAAUGACAUUCCUCUAGUACUUCUACCAAAAGGAAAUCUUUCCCAGACCCAACGAGUGAUAUUAAAAUCCCCACCUAUGCACCAGGCCACAGCCGAACAAUCAGCUAACGAAGACAAUUCGGGCCAAACCAAUUUUCCUUUCUCUGCAACCACAAGGGCCAUAGACAUUUGUGAUCCAACAAAACUUUUUGCACAAAGUGAGGCAUUUGAUUGACAAAGAGAAGCGUCUUUUUAAUGACCUCUGUUACAGAUAUUUUAUUGCUGUCCACAUGGUAAGAAUUCCCCCAGAAGAUCCCAUAGAAACCACAUAAUCCCAGCCAAUAUCCUUAGAACUCCACAAUGAUUUUAUAAAAGCCGAGUUCAAGGUAUCAUUCUUAGAUUCUUGAAUCAUGACUACAAUUGUUGAUGAAUUUUUUAAGUGCUGCACGUUUAGAGGAGUCGUUCAACCCUUAGUGUUCUAGGAGACAACCUUAAUAAUGACUGGGAGGAGCAAAAGGCAGUUGCACAUCUAAUUAAGCCAGAAUGAUUCCACAAUCAUCGACUAUAGACACUAAAUCUUUAGGCAAAUCCAAGGAAUUUUAAUAGGGAGAAUAUCUUUAUCAUUGAACAAGACAUUCAGAUCCAUCCAUUAAUUUCUGGGACUAAUUUAGGGUCAACUUCAGUGUUGGGGACUGCCAAUUUAACUGAUCUCAACAGUAAGUUGAUUAAGUUGGGCAGUAGGAGGACACGAGACAAGGCAUCUGCUGCUUUGUUUUCUAGUCCGGUUUAUACACGGCAUCAAAAUUGUAGCCAAGAAGCUUAGCAAUCCACCCUUUGUUCCAAUAAAAGUUUCAAUGAUCGUUGAUCAGUUUUCACUACAAACCUCCAGCCCAAAAGAUAAGGUCUACAGCGUUGCACAGCCAAAACUACAGCCAUUAAUUCCCGUUCAUAAACUGGUUUAGCACGAUCCCUCAUAGCUAAUGUCUGGCUAAAAUAAGCAAUUGGCCGAUGAUUUUUGAAUUAAGACAGCACCUACCCCGUAUCUAGAAGCAUCGGUCUCUAUUUCAAAUGGUAAGGAAAAUCUGGCAGUGCUAAGAUUGGGAGAGUCAUCGUAGCCAUCUUUAAAUUCUCAAAAGUUUCAGCAGCUGCAACAGUCCAUUCAUAAGCUCCUUUCAUCAAUAAUUGAGUCAAAGGAGCAGCCACACUUCCAUAAUUCAUUACAAAUCUUCGAUAAUAUCCUGUCAACCCAAGAAAUCCACGAACCUCACGGACAUUAUGUUGGAAUUUUUUGUCCUAAAACUCGUAGUUUGUAAAUCAUAUUCUAUUCAAUAAAGUUGUUAUUGAGAAAUUAAAUAUUAUAAUCUUAAAUCCAAUAAAUCAAAGUUCCAAGGCUAUUUUUUGAAUAAACUUGAACUUUAGUGUAAACAUAAACGUGGAUCAAGUUCGAGUAUAUAGCCUAAAUAGUCUAUAGUGUAUGAAAUAAAGGUUGCGGCGCUUAUUUAGAGAAACUAUGGAUGCGGCCCACUUUGUAGUACAAACGAGGUGAUCCUAAUCGUUCAUGUAGAGACAUGAAAGUGGGGGCAUCCUAUGUAAAAUGUUUACAUAAGACUGAACCAUGAAUAGUCAUUUUUACGUUAUAACACCGUUUACUGUUUAAAACUGACUAUCUCAAUUAUUGAUGACCUAGGUAACUUAGUCUUAAUCCUGAGUUAACUAUGAACUCCUGUUCAUACGAGAUUAUCCUUAGAUCUGCAUAGGUGAGGGCAGCUCAUCAGCGUUGGCCCAAUAAGCCUCCCAUUUCAGGGGUAAGAUCGGGUGGAUAGCUGGGAACAUAGGGUACAAGAUGGAAUUCACUCCUACCCGCUUUAGGGUUAGUAGAUAGGUUGCUCUCUUAAGCACUGAAUCCAAGUCUUGAACAAGGGGCCCCACCCUCUCACUGGCCCGAGAGGGAUUAAGUUUAUAGGUUGAACCUUAAACCAAUUGUUCAAUAGUGGAUUAGUGGGACUUAAGGAGCAAGAUGUAAUCUUGGGGGUAAAACGGUAUUUUGACCCAGCCAAGGUUACGAGCAACCUGUGAAGGAUUAACUUACUGAUUAUGGUUUUAUCAAAUGGACACAAAUAUAUCUAUAGUGAGGGGAGUGCAACUACGGGACUUUAGUGGAAUGACCCGUUAGUUAACGAAUGUUGAUUAACUCGGUUUAAAAGAGUUUAGCUAGUUAAUCUUGAAUCGUUGGAGCCCAUGAUCUAUAGGUCCAUUAGGUUCCUCUGCUAGCUCAUAUGGAUUAAACUUAGAACAGUGUGAUGAAAUAAGUCGAAUUGUUCGAAUAGGCGAGAAGAAAGGAAAACCGACAUAUACAGUGAUAUAAUCGUCGGUCUUCUAAUUAGAAAUAGAGCUUUAUGUUUUACAUACUAUAAGUAUGAAUGCAGAUUCAUACUAAGAAGCUCGGAAUUGGUCAAAAAUAGUAAAAAAGUCAAAAUGUUGACUUUUGACUUUGAAAAGUCAAACUUUGACCGGCCUUAUAUUCAAAUGUGAUUUGAAUUUUGGAAAAAUGAAUGCGGAUUCAUGCUCGGGAGGUUGGAAUUAGUCAAGACGGACAAAAUGGAAAAAAGUCAAAAUAUUGACUUUUGACUUAGAAAAGUCAAAGUUUGACUUUUGACUAGAAAAUCUAAUGACCAUUUUUACCCUUGGACUAAGUUAGUGGGAAAAUCCAACAUUUUGUUGGAUAAUCCCACUAACUCUUAGUGGGAUAUGUGGCUAUAUGAGAUAUAGACACCUAGCCCACUAAGUUCCACUAAUUGUUAGUGGAAUAUUAGGUGUUGAGAUUUGGCAAUUGAAUUGCAUGCAUUUUUGCAUGUAAUUAGGCUAUAAAUAGAGAUGUUUUCAAAUGUUGAAGGACUUUUGCCUCUUUUAUCAUUUUCAUAAUCUCAACAAAAGAAAAAAGAAAGCUUCCAAUCUCAUUUUAUCUCCAUUACUUUCUACACCAAAAUUGGGUCCCACAACCCGGUUCUUUGUCUAGAGGAUAGCAGUUGAGUACUAGUGGUGGUCUCGGGUAGAAUUGGUAAGAAGACAUCAAACCUUUUGAAAGCUUCAAAGGUAAUACUUCUUAAAACCCUAAUUUGAUUAGUUUAUGGUUAGAUGUUAAUUGUGGCAAUUAGGGUAGAAAUUCGAUUCUUUUUCCGCUGUGCAUGACUUAGUUCUAUCACAUUAGUGGGCACGGGCCAUUCUUUGAUAGAUCUAAUUUUCUCGGGAUCAACCUCUACACCUUCGCCCGCGCGCCUUCGCACGACCCGUGUGCGCCUGGGCCGGUUCAAGCCAAUAAAUUUGGUUUUUGGGCCGGUUCAAGCGGUUUCGGUUGGUUUUUUAGCCGGUUCGAAUUUUUGGGAGUGGUUCUGUACUACACCAAAUUAAUUAUGUAAUAAUUUAGCACUUAGCUUAAUUUAGGAGCCAAAAAUCAGUCCAUUUUAGGGUGUUUUUUUUUAUUUAUGCAUGUGAUGUAUGAUUAAAUUACUUUAAAUUUGUAUGUGCAUUUUGAAUGUCAUAUAGAUUUAAAAUCCCACCAUAGGUUAACAUGUUCAUGCAUUAAAAUGUAUGAUAUAAAGGUUAUAUUGUAUUGUAUGCAUGUUAAUUGAUUAAUAUGGAAAUUAAUUAAUAUGAUUAAUUAAUUAUUUAAUUAAUUAAGUUAUUCUUGAUUAAAUAUGAUUUAAUCAAAUUAAUUAAUUAUUGUUUGAUUUAAUUUAAUUAAAUAUGAUUUAAUUAAAGUUAAAUAAAUUAAAAUCCAUAUUAAUUGAUUGUUUUUAUUAUAUAUUGAUAAAAUGAUUGAUUAAGUUUAAAAGUUUUUAUAAGUGUUAUAAAAUAAAUUAGACUUUUAAAAUCAAUAACAAAGAUUAAAUGCAUGCUCACUUAGGUUAAACAUAUCUUCCAUUUUUCAUAGAAAUAGGUCGAUAUCUUGUAAAACUGGUUACAAAAGGCUCACCUGGUUCAAUCUUGUCAACAAGUCAGAUAAGAUGACUAAGGUUGGAGGUUCUUAAGUUGACGGUUUACGGAACACCUCCUACCUGGAGAUCGUAAUCAGUUCUUGAGCCUAGUUAACCUAGUUUUAUGAGCAUUCGUGAGAGGUGUGAGGUAAUAAAAAUGGUUUUUCACCUAGACAUCAUAGGUUAAAAUCCUGUAUAAUGGUUAUACUUGGAUGUUUUAUCUAGACUUAAGAUUUGUUUAAGUUAGCCUAAAUAUAAAUCUUGAAGUUUGGAUUACCCUAUUUUUUCUUUUAGAACACUUCAACUAGAGAAAAAUAAUGUAUUUUAGCUCUAGUGUCCCUAAGAGUUCACACCGUGAGGUCCAUGCAGGGCUUUGUGCCGUGCAUAGGAGCGGCCUCCCUUCGGAGAGUGUUUGCAUGGAUCAAAAUCAAGGUGAAUAGGGGAAGUAGUUCAUAGUAAGUGGGUGAGGGAUUUGUGGCAGCACAUCCCACGGUCUCUUCCAUUAGGUCGCACCGUGAGAUUUCUAUAAUAUGCCUGCUUGUCUGCCCUGGAGCGACGUUCCCUUCGGAGGGUUGUAUUAUAGGAUUCGGAACACCGCGAACUCCAAACUGGAUAGGAUUUCUUAGAUUAGUUUUCAUAAAUGAUUCUAAUCUAUGAAAUCUGAAAAUGGUGGGUAACACUUACAAGAAUUACUAAGUUGUUAGUAUAUUCUUGACUAAAGUAGCGAUAACUAAGUGCUAUAAAGAAUAAAGAGUUAUUCUGAGAUAGCAUCUAGUCAAGAUUGUCUUGGUUCAAAGGAGGAAUAAUCAACUACCCUUCGGAGAAGGUUGUUCUAAACCUUUGAAAUAUUGUUGCAAAUACAAAAUAAUGAAAGGGUACAUUAUUAGUAAUUGCUAAAUUAGAUUGGAUAUUUUUUAUGAUUAUAGUUUUUUCCUAAAAGGAAUAUGUUUGUUUUUCAGCAUGAAUAGCUCAAUAGUUCGACUUUUAGCUUCCGAAAAACUUAAUGGCGAUAAUUAUGCGGCUUGGAAAUCAAAUCUUAACACAAUACUAGUGGUUGGUGAUUUAAGAUUUGUCUUAACUGAGGAAUGUCCUCAAAACCCUGCCUCUAAUGAUAACCGAACUAGUCGGGAUGCAUAUGAUCGAUGGAUAAAAGCUAAUGAAAAAGCCGUGUCUACAUUCUUGCCAGCAUGUCUGAUGUAUUGGCAAAGAAACAUGAAUCCUUAGCCACGGCUAAAGAGAUUAUGAAUUCAUUAAGGGGAAUGUUUGGGCAACCAGAAUUGUCCUUAAGACACGAGGCAGUCAAAUACAUUUACACUAAGCGUAUGAAGGAAGGGACCUCUGUUAGAGAACAUGUUCUGGACAUGAUGAUGCACUUCAACAUCGCUGAAGUGAAUGGUGGUCCCAUCGAAGAGGUUAAUCAAGUUAGUUUUAUCUUAGAGUCUCUUCCGAAGAGCUUCAUUCCAUUCCAAACGAAUGCGUCUUUGAACAAGAUAGAAUUUAACUUGACAACCCUUCUGAAUGAACUCCAGCGAUUCCAAAACCUUACUAUGGGUAAAGGAAAACAAGUGGAAGCAAAUGUUGCUACCACAAAAAGAAAAUUUAUAAGAGGAUCGUCCUCUAAAACCAAAGCUGGACCCUCAAAACCUAAUGCUCAAAUAAAAAAGAAGGGAAAGGGAAAGACUCCCAAACAGAACAAGGGUAAGAAAGGUGCAGAAAAAGGUAAGUGUUACCAUUGUGGCCAAAACGGGCACUGGUUAAGAAACUGCCCAAAAUACCUUGCAGAAAAAAAGGCAGAGAAGGAAACACAAGGUAAAUAUGAUUUACUAGUUGUAGAAACAUGUUUAGUGGAAUAUGAAAAUUCUACCUGGAUACUAGAUUCAGGAGCCACUAAACCAUAUUUGCUUCUCAUUUCAGGAAAAUAGUUCUUGAAAAAGCUUUCAGAAGGCGAGAUCACUCUCAAGGUUGGAACAGGAGAGAUGGUCUCAACUUCAGCAGUGGAGAUUUAAAGUUGUUUUUUAGAGAUAGAUAUGUCAUACUUAAGAAUGUCUUAUAUGUACCUCAAAUGAAAAGAAAUUUAAUAUCUAUCUCUUGUAUUUUGGAACAAAUGUAUAGAAUAUCUUUUGAAAUUAAUGAAGCGUUCGUUUUCUAUAAAGGUAUUCUAGUUUGUUCUGCUAUACUUGAAGACAACUUAUAUAAGUUAAGACCAACUAGAGCAAAUUUUGUCUUAAAUACUGAAAUAUUCAGAACAGCUGAAACUCAGAAUAAAAGACAAAAAGUUUCUUCUAAUGCCUAUUUAUGGCACUUAAGACUUGGUCACAUAAAUCUCAAUAGGAUUGGGAGAGUUAAAAGUGGGCUUCUAAGUCCGUUAGAAAAUAACUCUUUACCUCCUUGUGAAUCUUGUCUUGAAGGAAAAAUGACCAAGAGAUCUUUUACUGGAAAAGGUCUAAGAGCCAAAGGACCCUUAGAGCUCGUACAUUCGGACCUUUGUGGACCAAUGAAUGUCAAAGCUCGAGGUGGAUAUGAAUAUUUCAUUAGCUUCAUUGAUGAUUAUUCAAGGUAUGGUCAUAUUUACCUAAUACAUCAUAAGUCUAAUAGUCUUGAAAAGUUCAAAGAAUAUAAGGCUGAAGUAGAAAACGAAUUAGGUAAAACAAUAAAAAUACUUCGAUCAGAUCGAGGUGGAGAGUAUAUGGACUUACGAUUCCGAGACUAUUUAAUAGAAAAUGGAAUCCAGUCACAACUCUCUGCACCUAGUACACCUCAACAGAACGGUGUAUCAGAAAGAAGAAACUGGACCUUGUUAGACAUGGUUCGCUCUAUGAUGAGUUUUUCUCAGAUGUCAGAUUCUUUUUGGGAUAUGCUUUAGAAACAGCUGCUUAUAUUUUGAAUAAUGUUCCCUCUAAAAGUGUUUCAGAAACACCUUAUGAGCUAUGGAAAGGGCGUAAAGGCAGUUUACGUCAUUUUAGAAUUUGGGGUUGUCCAGCACACGUGUUGGUACAAAAUCCAAAGAAAUUGGAACAUCGUUCAAAAUUAUGCUUUUUUAUAGGUUAUCCAAAAGAAUCAAGAGGUGGUUUGUUUUAUGAUCCUCAAGAAAAUAAAAUAUUUGUGUCAACAAAUGCCACAUUCUUAGAGGAAGACCACAUCAGGGAUCAUCAACCUCGUAGUAAACUAGUAUUAAAAGAAAUUUCCAAAAGUGCUAUAGAUAAACCUAGUUCAUCCACUAAGGUAGUUGAUAAGACUAGGAAAUCUGGUCAAUCACAUCCUUCUCAACAGUUGAGAGAGCCUCGACGUAGUGGGAGGGUUGUUCAUCAGCCUGAUCGCUAUUUGGGUUUAAUUGAAACUCAAGUCGUCAUACCUGACGAUGGCAUAGAGGAUCCAUUAACCUAUAAACAGGCAAUGAAAGAUGUAGAUCGUGACCAAUGGAUCAAAGCCAUGGACCUCGAAAUGGAGUCUAUGUACUUUAAUUCUGUCUGGACUCUAGUAGAUCAACCAAAUGACGUAAAACCUAUUGGUUGUAAAUGGAUCUACAAGAGAAAACGAGACCAUGCCGGUAAAGUACAGACUUUCAAGGCUCGACUUGUGGCAAAGGGUUAUACCAGAGAGAGGGAGUAGACUAUGAGGAAACUUUCUCUCCUGUUGCCAUGUUAAAGUCAAUUAGAAUACUCUUAUCCAUCGCCACUUUUUAUGAUUAUGAAAUUUGGCAGAUGGAUGUCAAGACAGCUUUUUUGAACGGUAAUCUUGAAGAGAUCUAUAUGUCUCAACCAGAGGGGUUUAUAAAACAAGAUCAAGAACAAAAGGUUUGUAAGCUUAAAAAAUCCAUUUAUGGAUUAAAACAAGCUUCUAGAUCCUGGAAUAUAAGAUUUGAUAUUGCGAUCAAAAUCUUAUGGCUUUGAACAAAAUGUUGACGAGCCUUGUGUUUACAAAAGGUCGUCAAUUCCAUUAUAGCAUUUUUUAGUCUUAUAUGUAGAUGAUAUUCUACUUAUUGGAAAUGACUAGGAUAUCUUCUGAUAUCAAGAAAUGGCUAGCUAUGCAAUUUCAAAUGAAAGAUCUGGGAGAUGCACAAUACGUUCUCGGAAUCCAAAUUGUUCGAAACCGUAAGAACAAAACACUAGCCAUGUCUCAAGCAUCUUACAUAGACAAAAUGUUGUCUAGAUAUAAAAUGCAGAAUUCCAAAAAGGGUCUGCUGCCGUACAGAUAUGGAAUUCAUUUGUCAAAGGAACAAUGUCCUAAGACACCUCAAGAAGUUGAGGAUAUGAGAAAUAUUCCCUAUGCUUCCGCUGUUGGAAGUUUAAUGUAUGCAAUGUUAUGUACUAGACCUGACAUUUGCUACUCAGUAGGGAUGGUCAGUAGGUAUCAAUCCAAUCAUGGACGUGAUCACUGGACAGCCGUUAAAAACAUUCUACAUGCUCAUGUAUCGUACAAAGGAUCUGAUCCUUACUGGAUACACUGAUUCAGAUUUCCAAACUGAUAAAGAUGUUAGAAAGUCUACAUCAGGAUCAGUAUUUACUCUAAAUGGAGGAGCAGUAGUUUGGAGAAGCAUAAAGCAAACUUGUAUAGCUGAUUCCACAAUGGAAGCUGAUCAUUUUACAAAAGCCCUCAUGGCUAAAGUGUUUGAGGGUCACCUACACAGUUUAGGUGUACGAUGUUUGUAAACUAGGACAAGUGGGAGACUUAUUGGCCAUGUGCCCUAGUUUCAUAUAUAUUCUCUCACACCACAUCUCUCAUACCACUAGGAAUUUUAGUCCAAGUGGGAGUUUGUUGGAAUUUUUUGUCCUAAAACUCGUAGUUUGUAAAUCAUAUUCUAUUCAAUAAAGUUGUUAUUGAGAAAUUAAAUAUUAUAAUCUUAAAUCCAAUAAAUCAAAGUUCCAAGGCUAUUUUUUGAAUAAACUUGAACUUUAUGUGUAAACAUAAACGUGGAUCAAGUUCGAGUAUAUAGCCUAAAUAGUCUAUAGUAUAUGAAAUAAAGGUUGGGCGCCUUAUUUUGAGAGACUAUGGAUGCGGCCCACUUUGUAGUACAAACGAUGUGAUCCUAAUCGUUCAUGUAGAGACAUGAAAGUGGGGGCAUCCUAUGUAAAAUGUUUACAUAAGACUGAACCAUGAAUUAGUCAUUUUUACGUUAUAACACCGUUUACUGUUUAAAACUGACUAUCUCAAUUAUUGAUGACCUAGGUAACUUAGUCUUAAUCCUGAGUUAACUAUGAACUCCUGUUCAUACGAGAUUAUCCUUAGAUCUGCAUAGGUGAGGGCAGCUCAUCAGCGUUGGCCCAAUAAGCCUCCCAUUUCAGGGGUAAGAUCGGGUGGAUAGCUGGGAACAUAGGGUACAAGAUGGAAUUCACUCCUACCCGCUUUAGGGUUAGUAGAUAGGUUGCUCUCUUAAGCACUGAAUCCAAGUCUUGAACAAGGGGCCCCACCCUCUCAUUGGCCCGAGAGGGAUUAAGUUUAUAGGUUGAACCUUAAACCAAUUGUUCAAUAGUGGAUUAGUGGGACUUAAGGAGCAAGAUGUAAUCUUGGGGUAAAACGGUAUUUGACCCAGCCAAGGUUACGAGCAACCUGUGAAGGAUUAACUUACUGAUUAUGGUUUUAUCAAAUGGACACAAAUAUAUCUAUAGUGAGGGAGUGCAACUACGGGACUUAGUGGAAUGACUCGUUAGUUAACGAAUGUUGAUUAACUCGUUUAAAAGAGUUUAGCUAGUUAAUCUUGAAUCGUUGGAGCCCAUGAUCUAUAGGUCCAUUAGUUCCUCUGCUAGCUCAUAUGGAUUAAACUUAGAACAGUGUGAUGAAAUAAGUCGAAUUGUUCGAAUAGGGAGAAGAAAGGAAAACCGACAUAUACAGUGAUAUAAUCGUCGGUCUUCUAAUUAGAAAUAGAGCUUUAUGUUUUACAUACUAUAAGUAUGAAUGCGGAUUCAUACUAAGAAGCUCGGAAUUGGUCAAAAAUAGUAAAAAGUCAAAAUGUUGACUUUUGACUUUGAAAAGUCAAACUUUGACCGGCCUUAUAUUCAAAUGUGAUUUGAAUUUUGGAAAAAUGAAUGCGGAUUCAUGCUCGGAGGUUGGAAUUAGUCAAGACGGACAAAAUGGUAAAAAGUCAAAAUAUUGACUUUUGACUUAGAAAAGUCAAAGUUUGACUUUUGACUAGAAAAAUCUAAUGACCAUUUUACCCUUGGACUAAGUUAGUGGGAAAAUCCAACAUUUUGUUGGAUAAUCCCACUAACUCUUAGUGGGAUAUGUGCUAUAUGAGAUAUAGACACCUAGCCCACUAAGUUCCACUAAUUGUUAGUGGAAUAUUAGGUGUUGAGAUUUGGCAAUUGAAUUGCAUGCAUUUUUGCAUGUAAUUAGGCUAUAAAUAGAGAUGUUUUCAAAUGUUGAAGGACUUUUGCCUCUUUUAUCAUUUUCAUAAUCUCAACAAAAGAAAAAAGAAAGCUUCCAAUCUCAUUUUAUCUCCAUUACUUUCUACAUCAAAAUUGGUCCCACAACCCGGUUCUUUGUCUAGAGGAUAGCAGUUGAGCACUAGUGGUGGUCUCGGUAGAAUUGGUAAGAAGACAUCAAACCUUUUGUAAGCUUCAAAGGUAAUACUUCUUAAAACCCUAAUUUGAUUAGUUUAUGGUUACAUGUUAAUUGUGGCAAUUAGGGUAGAAAUUCGAUUCUUUUUCCGCUGUGCAUGACUCAGUUCUAUCAUGUGGUAUCAGAGCAUGCUUCAUUUUUACCCAAUUGCAUGUGGUGGGUUCAAAUUUAUUAGAUAAAUUUUGGUUUGAACUAAAAUGGAUAUAUUAUGAUUUUGGCUCUAGAUUAAGUGUUUUUGUUCUAAUUAUUGUAAUUAGCCUUGUUAAUGGCUUAUUUUUAUUGUUGCAAAGUGUUUGUAAUUUUUUUAAAAAAUAAAAAAAGUCAUUAGAGUUGAAGCUAGGCUGUAAUUGGUUCAACCGGGUGAGAGAAUUGAAAAAUGAAGAAAAGAUGGUCACAGACCCGAAAACCCGGUUUUGACCCGCUUCGCGACCCGCACGCGCCCGCAUGCCCGCGCGCCCAUCCUGCGCCCGCGCGCCCUCCUGUGCCGCGCGCGCCCUGCGUCCCACCGGGUGCCCGCGCGCGCUCCUGCGCCCGCCUGCGCCCGCGCGCCUGCAUGCGCCCGUGCGCCCGCCUGCUGCCGCGCGCGCCACAUGCGCCUGCGCGCCCGCAUGCGCCCGCGCGCCGCGCCUUCGCCCGCGCGCCUGCCUUCGCACGACCCGUGUGCGCCUGGGCGGGUUCAAGCCAAUAAAUUUGGUUUUUGGGCCGGUUCAAGCGGUUUCGGUUGGUUUUUUAGCCGGUUCGAAGUUUUUGGGAGUGGUUCUGUACUACACCUCGAAGUUUCUUGCCCACAAAAGCCGAACGGAUGCGCCCAGACUCGGUUUCUUGGUUCCGUCCCAAAACGCCGAAGAAAGGCACAAUGGCCUAGAAAGGGAUAGUCGGACUUGGAACGGGGUCCGAGGCCUCGAAAGUCCACAUCUAGCUACUGGGUGGUCCGAUUCUGAGUGAUCUCGAACUUUCUUGUCCACAAAAGCCGAACGGUGACGCCCCAGACUCGGUUUCUUGGUUCCGUCCCAAAACGCCGAAGAAAGGCACAAUGGCCUAGAAAGGGACGGUCGGACUUGGAACGGGGUCCGAGGCCUCGAAAGUCCACAUCAAGCUACUGGGUGGUCCGAUUCUGAGUGAUCUCGAAGUUUCUAGCCACAAAAGCCGAACGGUGACGCCCCAGACUCGGUUUUUUGGUUCCGUCCCAAAACGCCGAAGAAAGGCACAAUGGCCUAGAAAGGGACGGUCGGACAUGGAACGGGGUCCGAGGCGUCGAAAGUCCACAUCUAGCUACUGGGUGGUCCGAUUCCGAGUGAUCUCGAAGUUUCUUGCCCACAAAAGCCGAACGGUGCGCCCCAGACUCGGUUUCUUGGUUCCGUCCCGAAACGCCGAAGAAAGGCACAAUGGCCUCGAAAGGGACGGUCGGACUUGGAACGGGGUCUGAGGCCUCGAAAGUCCACAUCUAGCUACUUGGUGGUCCGAUUCUGAGUGAUCUCGAAGUUUCUUGCCCAGAAAAGCCGAACGGUGUCGCCCUAGACUCGGUUUCUUGGUUCCGUCCCAAAACGCCGAAGAAAGGCACAAUGGCCCAGUAAGGGACGGUCGGACUAGGAACGGGGUCCGAGGCCUCGAAAGUCCACAUCUAGCUACUGGGUGGUCCGAUUCUGAGUGAUCUCGAAGUUUCUUGCCCACAAAAGCCGAACGGUGACGCCCCAGACUCGGUUUCUUGGUUUUGUCCCAUAACGCCGAAGAAAGGCACAGUGGCCUAGAAAGGGACGGUCGGACUUGGAACGGGGUCCUAGGCCUCGAAAGUCCACAUCUAGCUACUUGAUGGUCCGAUUCUGAGUGAUCUCGAAGUUUCUUGGCCACAAAAGCCGAACGGUGACGCCCCAGACUCGGUUUCUUGGUUCCGUACCAAAACGCCGAAGAAAGGCACAGUGGCCUAGAAAGGGACGGUCGGACUUGGAACGGGGUCCGAGGCCUCGAAAGUCCACAUCUAGCUACUGGGUGGUCCGAUUCUGAGUUAUCUCGAAGUUUCUUGCGCACAAAAACCAAACGGUGACGCCCCAGACUCGGUUUCUUGGUUCCUUCCGAAAACGCCGAAGAAAGACACAAUGGCCUAGAAAGGGACGGUCGGACUUGGAACGCAGUCCGGGGCCUCGAAAGUCCACAUCUAGCUACUGGGUGGUCCGAUUCUGAGUGAUCUCGAAGUUUCUUGCCCACAAAAGCCGAACGGUGUCGCCCCAGACUCGGUUUCUUGGUUCCGUCCCAAAACGUCGAAGAAAGGCACAUUGGCCUAGAAAGGGACGGUCGGACUUGGAACGGUGUCCGAGGCCUCGAAAGUCCACAUCUAGCUACUCCGUGGUCCGAUUCUGAGUGAUCUCGAAGUUUCUUGCCCACAAAAGGCGAACGGUGACGCCCCAGACUCGGUUUCUUGGUUCCGUCCAAAAACGCCGAAGAAAGGGACAAUGGCCUAGAAAGGGACGGUCGGACUUGGAACGCGGUCCGAGGCCUCGAAAGUCCACAUCUAACUACCGGGUGGUCCGAUUCUGAGUGAUCUCGAAGUUUCUUGCCCACAAAAGCUGAACGGUGACGCCCCAAACUCGGUUUCUUGGUUCCGUCCCAAAACGCCGAAGAAAGGCACAAUUUCCUAGAAAGGGACGAUCGGACUUGGAACGGGUCCGAGGCCUCGAAAGUCCACAUCUAGCUACUGGGUGGUCCGAUUCUGAGUGAUCUCGAAGUUUCUUGCCCACAAAAGCCGAACGGUGACGCCCCAGACUCGGUUUCUUGGUUCCGUCCCAAAACGCUGAAGAAAGGCACAAUGGCCUAGAAAGGGACGGUCGGACUUGGAACGAGGUCCGAGGCCUCGAAAGUACACAUGUAGCUACUGGGUGGUCUGAUUCUUAGUGACCUUGAAGUUUCUUAACCACAAAAGCCGAACGGUGACGCCCCAGACUCGGUUUCUUGGUUCCCUCCCAAAACGCCGAAGAAAGGCACAAUGGCCUAGAAAGGGACGGUCGGACUUGGAACGGGGUCCGAAGCCUCGAAAGUCCACAUGUAGCUACUGGGUGGUCCGAUUCUUUGUGAUCUCGAAGUUUCUUGACCACAAAAGCCGAACGGUGACGCCCAGACUCGGUUUCUUGGUUCCGUCCCAAAACGCCGAAGAAAAGCACAAUGGCCUAGAAAGGGACGGUCGGACUUGGAACGGGGUCCGAGGCCUCGAAAGUCCACAUCUAGCUACUGGGUGGUCUGAUUCUUUGUGAUCUCGAAGUUUCUUGCCCACAAAAGCCGAACGGUGACGCCCAGACUCGGUUUCUUAGUUCCGUCCCAAAACGCCGAAGAAAGGCACAAUUUCCUAGAAAGGGACGGUCGGACUUGGAACGGGGUCCGAGGCCUCGAAAGUCCAUAUCUAGCUACUGGGUGGUCCGAUUCUGAGUGAUCUCGAAGUUUCUUGCCCACAAAAGCCGAACGGUGACGCCCGAGACUCGGUUUCUUGGUUCCGUCCCAAAACGCCGAAGAAAAGCACAAUGGCCUAGAAAGGGACGGUCGGACUUGGAACGGGGUCCGAGGCCUCGAAAGUCCACAUCUAGCUACUGGGUGGUCUGAUUCUUUGUGAUCUCGAAGUUUCUUGCCCACAAAAGCCGAACGGUGACGCCCCAGACUCGGUUUCUUGGUUCCGUCCCAAAACGCCGAAGAAAGGCACAAUGGACUAGAAAGAGACGGUCGGACUUGGAACGGGGUCCGAGGCCUCAAAAGUCCACAUCUAGCUACUGGGUGGUCCGAUUCUUUGUGAUCUCGAAGUUUCUUGCCCACAAAAGCCGAACGGUGACGCCCCAGACUCGGUUUCUUGGUUCCGUCACAAAACGCCGAAGAAAGGCACAAUGGCCUAGAAAGGGACGGUCGGACUUGGAACGGGGUCCGAGGCCUCGAAAGUCCACAUCUAGCUACUGGGUGGUCCGAUUCUUUGUGAUCUCGAAGUUUCUUGCCCACAAAAGCCGAACGGUGACGCCCCAGACUCGGUUUCUUGGUUCCAUCCCAAAACGCGGAAGAAAGGCACAAUGGCCUAGAAAGGGACGGUCGGACUUGGAACGGGGUCCGUUGCCUCGAAAGUCCACAUCUAGCUACUGGGUGGUCCGAUUCUGAGUGAUCUCGAAGUUUCUUGCCCACAAAAGCCGAACGGUGACGCCUAGACUCGGUUUCUUGGUUUCGUCCCAAAACGCCGAAGAAAGGCACAGUGGCCUAGAAAGGGACGGUCGGACUUGGAACGGGGUCUGAGGCCUCGAAAGUCCACAUCUAGCUACUGGGUGGUCCGAUUCUUUGUGAUCUCGAAGUUUCUUGCCCACAAAAGCCGAACGGUGACGCCCAGACUCGGUUUCUUGGUUCCGUCCCAAAACGCCGAAAAAAGGCACAAUGGCCUAGAAAGGGACGGUCGGACUUGGAACGGGGUCCGAGGCCUCGAAAGUCCACAUCUAGCUACUGGUGGUCCGAUUCUUUGUGAUCUGGAAGUUUCUUGCCCACAAAAGCCGAACGGUGAUGCCCGAGACUCGGUUUCUUGGUUCCGUCCCAAAACGCCGAAGAAAGGCACAAUGGCCUAGAAAUGGACGGUCCGACUCGGAACGGGGUCCGAGGCCUCGAAAGUCCACAUCUAGCUACUGGGUGGUUCGAUUCAGAGUGAUCUCGAAGUUUCUUGCUCACAAAAGCCGAACGGUGACACCCCAGACUCGGUUUCUUGGUUCCGUCCCAAAACGCCGAAGAAAGGCACAAUGGCCUAGAAAGGGACGAUCGGACUUGGAACGGGGUCCGAGGCCUCGAUAGUCCACAUCUAGCUACUAGGUGGUCCGAUUCUUUGUGAUCUUGAAGUUUCUUGCCCACAAAAGCCGAACGGUGACGCCCCAGACUCGGUUUCUUGGUUUCGUCCCAAAACGCCGAAGAAAGGCACAAUGGCCUAGAAAGGGACGGUCGGACUUGGAACGGGGUCCGAGGCCUCGAAAGUCCACAUCUAGCUACUGGGUGGUCCGAUUCUUUGUGAUCUCGAAGUUUCUUGCACACAAAAGCCGAACGGUGACGCCCCAGACUCGGUUUCUUGGUUCCGUCCCAAAACGCCGAAGAAAGGCACAAUGGCCUAGAAAGGGACGGUCGGACUCGGAACGGGGUCCGAGGCCUCGAAAGUCCACAUCUAGCGACUGGGUGGUCCGAUUCAGAGUGAUCUCGAAGUUUCUUGCCCACAAAAGCCAAACGGUGACUCCCCAGACUCGGUUUCUUGGUUCCGUCCCAAAACGCCGAAGAAAGGCACAAUGGCUUAGAAAGGGACGGUCGGACUUGGAACGGGGUCCGAGGCCUCGAAAGUCCACAUCUAGCUACUGGGUGGUCCGAUUCUUUGUGAUCUCGAAGUUUCUUGCCCACAAAAGCCGAACGGUGACGCCCGAGACUCGGUUUCUUGGUUCCGUCCCAAAACGCCGAAGAAAGGCACAAUGGCCUAGAAAGGGACGGUCGGACUUGGAACGGGGUCCGAGGCCUCGAAAGUCCACAUCUAGCGACUGGGUGGUCCAAUUCAGAGUGAUCUCGAAGUUUCUUGCCCACAAAAGCCGAACGGUGACGCCCCAGACUCGGUUUCUUGGUUCCGUCCCAAAACGCCGAAGAAAGGCACAAUGGCCUAGAAAGGGACGGUUGGACUUGGAACGGGGUCCGAGGCCUCGAAAGUCCACAUCUAGCUACUAGGUGGUCCGAUUCUUUGUGAUCUUGAAGUUUCUUGCCCACAAAAGCCUAACGGUGACGCCCCAGACUCGGUUUCUUGGUUUCGUCCCAAAACGCCGAAGAAAGGCACAAUGGCCUAGAAAGGGACGGUCGGACUUGGAACGGGGUCCGAGGCCUCGAAAGUCCACAUCUAGCUACUGGGUGGUCCGAUUCUUUGUGAUCUCGAAGUUUCUUGCCCACAAAAGCCGAACGGUGACGCCCAGACUCGGUUUCUUGGUUCCGUCCCAAAACGCCGAAGAAAGGCACAAUGGCCUAGAAAGGGACGGUCGGACUCGGAACGAGGUCCGAGGACUCGAAAGUCCACAUCUAGCUACUGAGUGGUCCGAUUCUGAGUGAUCUCGAAGUUUCUUGCCCACAAAAGCCGAACGGUGACCCAUACUCGGUUUCUUGUUCCGUCCCAAAACGCCGAAGAAAGGCAAUGGCCUAGAAGGGACGGUCGGACUUGGAACGGGGUCCGAGGCCUCGAAAGUCCACAUCUAGCUACUGGGUGGUCCGAUUCUGAGUGACCUCGUAGUUUCUUGCCCACAAAAGCCGAACGAUGACACCUAGACUCGGUUUCUUGGUUCCGUCCCAAAACGCGGAAGAAAGGCACAAUGGCCUAGGAAGGGACGGUCGGACUUGGAACGGGGUCCGAGGCCUCGAAAGUCCACAUCUAGCUACUGGGUGGUCCGAUUCUUUGUGAUCUCGACGUUUCUUGCCCCAAAAGCCGAACGGUGACGCCCUCGACUCGGUUUCUUGGUUCCGUCAUAAAACGCCGAAGAAUAGCACAAUGGCCUAGAAAAGGGACGGUCGGACUUGGAACGGGGUCCGAGGCCUCGAAUGUCCACAUCUAGCUACUGGGUGGUCCGAUUCUUUUUUAUCUCGAAGUUUCUUGCCCACAAAAGCCGAACAGUGAUGCCCCAGACUCGGUUUCUUGGUUCCGUCCCAAAACGCCGAAGAAAGGCACAAUGGCCUAGAAAAGGGACGGUCGGACUUGGAACGGGUUCCGAGGCCUCGAAAGUCCACAUCUAGCUACUGGGUGGUCCGAUUCUUUGUGAUCUCGAAGUUUCUUGCACACAAAAGCCGAACGGUGACGCCCCAGACUCGGUUUCUUGGUUCCGUCCAAAAUGCCGAAGAAAGGCACAAUGGCCUAGAAAGGGACGGUCGGACUUGGAACGGGGUCCGAGGCCUCAAAAGUCCACAUCUAGCUACUGGGUGGUCCGAUUCUUUGUGAUCUCGAAGUUUCUUGCCCACAAAAGCCGAACGGUGAUGCCCCUGAUAGAACUAAGUCAUGCACAGCGGAAAAAGAAUCGAAUUUCUACCCUAAUUGCCACAAUUAACAUGUAACCAUAAACUAAUCAAAUAAGGGUUUUAAGAAGUAUUACCUUUGAAGCUUACAAAAGGUUUGAUGUCUUCUUACCAAUUCUACCCGAGACCACCACUAGUACUCAACUGCUAUCCUCUAGACAAAGAACCGGGUUGUGGGACCCAAUUUUGGUGUAGAAAGUAAUGGAGAUAAAAUGAGAUUGGAAGCUUUCUUUUUUCUUUUGUUGAGAUGAUGAAAAUGAUAAAAGAGGCAAAAGUCCUUCAACAUUUGAAAACACCUCUAUUUAUAGCCUAAUUACAUGCAAAAAUGCAUGCAAUUCAUUUGCCAAAUCUCAACACCUAAUGUUCCACUAACAAUUAGUGGAACUUAGUGGGCUAGGUGUCUAUAUCUCAUAUAGCCACAUAUCCCACUAAGAGUUAGUGGGAUUAUCCAACAAAAUGUUGGAUUUUCCCACUAACAUAGUCCAAGGGUAAAAUGGUCAUUAGAUUUUUCUAGUCAAAAGUCAAACUUUGACUUUUCUAAGUCAAAAGUCAAUAUUUUGACUUUUUACCAUUUUGUCCGUCUUGACUAAUUCCAACCUCCCGAGCAUGAAUCCGCAUUCAUUUUUCCAAAAUUCAAAUCACAUUUGAAUAUAAGGCCGGUCAAAGUUUGACUUUCAAAGUCAAAAGUCAACAUUUUGACUUUUUACUAUUUUUGACCAAUUCCGAGCUUCUUAGUAUGAAUCCGCAUUCAUACUUAUAGUAUGUAAAACAUAAAGCUCUAUUUCUAAUUAGAAGACCGACGAUUAUAUCACUGUAUAUGUUGGUUUUCCUUUCUUCUCCCAAUUCGAACAAUACGACUUAUUUCAUCACACUGUUCUAAGUUUAAUCCAUAUGAGCUAGCAGAGGAACCUAAUGGACCUAUAGAUCAUGGGCUCCAACGAUUCAAGAUUAACUAGCUAAACUCCUUUAAACCGAUUAAUCAACAUUCGUUAACUAACGGGUCAUUCCACUAAAGUCCCGUAGUUGCACUCCCCUCACUAUAUAUAUUUGUGUCCAUUUGAUAAAACCAUAAUCAGUAAGUUAAUCCUUCACAGGUUGCUCGUAACCUUGGCUGGGUCAAAAUACCGUUUUACCCCCAAGAUUACAUCUUGCUCCUUAAGUCCCACUAAUCCACUAUUGAACAAUUGGUUUAAGGUUCAACCUAUAAACUUAAUCCCUCUCGGGCCAAUGAGAGGGUGGGGCCCCUUGUUCAUGAUAGAACUAAGUCAUGCACAGCGGAAAAAGAAUCGAAUUUCUACCCUAAUUGCCACAAUUAACAUGUAACCAUAAACUAAUCAAAUUAGGGUUUUAAGAAGUAUUACCUUUGAAGCUUACAAAAGGUUUGAUGUCUUCUUACCAAUUCUACCCGAGACCACCACUAGUACUCAACUGCUAUCCUCUAGACAAAGAACCGGGUUGUGGGACCCAAUUUUGGUGUAGAAAGUAAUGGAGAUAAAAUGAGAUUGGAAGCUUUCUUUUUCUUUUGUUGAGAUUAUGAAAAUGAUAAAAGAGGCAAAAGUCCUUCAACAUUUGAAAACAUCUCUAUUUAUAGCCUAAUUACAUGCAAAAAUGCAUGCAAUUCAAUUGCCAAAUCUCAACACCUAAUAUUCCACUAACAAUUAGUGGAACUUAGUGGGCUAGGUGUCUAUAUCUCAUAUAGCCACAUAUCCCACUAAGAGUUAGUGGGAUUAUCCAACAAAAUGUUGGAUUUUCCCACUAACUUAGUCCAAGGGUAAAAUGGUCAUUAGAUUUUUCUAGUCAAAAGUCAAACUUUGACUUUUCUAAGUCAAAAGUCAAUAUUUUGACUUUUUACCAUUUUGUCCGUCUUGACUAAUUCCAACCUCCCGAGCAUGAAUCCGCAUUCAUUUUUCCAAAAUUCAAAUCACAUUUGAAUAUAAGGCCGGUCAAAGUUUGACUUUUCAAAGUCAAAAGUCAACAUUUUGACUUUUUACUAUUUUUGACCAAUUCCGAGCUUCUUAGUAUGAAUCCGCAUUCAUACUUAUAGUAUGUAAAACAUAAAGCUCUAUUUCUAAUUAGAAGACCGACGAUUAUAUCACUGUAUAUGUCGGUUUUCCUUUCUUCUCCCUAUUCGAACAAUUCGACUUAUUUCAUCACACUGUUCUAAGUUUAAUCCAUAUGAGCUAGCAGAGGAACCUAAUGGACCUAUAGAUCAUGGGCUCCAACGAUUCAAGAUUAACUAGCUAAACUCUUUUAAACCGAGUUAAUCAACAUUCGUUAACUAACGGGUCAUUCCACUAAAGUCCCGUAGUUGCACUCCCCUCACUAUAGAUAUAUUUGUGUCCAUUUGAUAAAACCAUAAUCAGUAAGUUAAUCCUUCACAGGUUGCUCGUAACCUUGGCUGGGUCAAAAUACCGUUUUACCCCCAAGAUUACAUCUUGCUCCUUAAGUCCCACUAAUCCACUAUUGAACAAUUGGUUUAAGGUUCAACCUAUAAACUUAAUCCCUCUCGGGCCAAUGAGAGGGUGGGGCCCCUUGUUCAAGACUUGGAUUCAGUGCUUAAGAGAGCAACCUAUCUACUAACCCUAAAGCGGGUAGGAGUGAAUUCCAUCUUGUACCCUAUGUUCCCAGCUAUCCACCCGAUCUUACCCCUGAAAUGGGAGGCUUAUUGGGCCAACGCUGAUGAGCUGCCCUCACCUAUGCAGAUCUAAGGAUAAUCUCGUAUGAACAGGAGUUCAUAGUUAACUCAGGAUUAAGACUAAGUUACCUAGGUCAUCAAUAAUUGAGAUAGUCAGUUUUAAACAGUAAACGGUGUUAUAACGUAAAAAUGACUAAUUCAUGGUUCAGUCUUAUGUAAACAUUUUACAUAGGAUGCCCCCACUUUCAUGUCUCUACAUGAACGAUUAGGAUCACAUCGUUUGUACUACAAAGUGGGCCGCAUCCAUAGUCUCUCAAAAUAAGGCGCCCAACCUUUAUUUCAUAUACUAUAGACUAUUUAGGCUAUAUACUCGAACUUGAUCCACGUUUAUGUUUACACAUAAAGUUCAAGUUUAUUCAAAAAAUAGCCUUGGAACUUUGAUUUAUUGGAUUUAAGAUUAUAAUAUUUAAUUUCUCAAUAACAACUUUAUUGAAUAGAAUAUGAUUUACAAACUACGAUUUAGGACAAAAAAUUCCAACAAACUCCCACUUGGACUAAAAUUCCUAGUGGUAUGAGAGAUGUGGUGUGAGAGAAUAUAUAUGAAACUAGGGCACAUGGCCAAUAAGUCUCCCACUUGUCCUAGUUUACAAACAUCGUACACCUAAACUGUGUAGGUGACCCUCAAACACUUUAGCCAUGAGGGCUUUUGUAAAAUGAUCAGCUUCCAUUGUGGAAUCAGCUAUACAAGUUUGCUUUAUGCUUCUCCAAACUACUGCUCCUCCAUUUAGAGUAAAUACUGAUCUGAUGUAGACUUUCUAACAUCUUUAUUAGUUUGGAAAUCUGAAUCAGUGUAUCCAGUAAGGAUCAGAUCCUUUGUACGAUACAUGAGCAUGUAGAAUGUUUUUAACGGCUGUCCAGUGAUCACGUCCAUGAUUGGAUUGAUACCUACUGACCAUCCCUACUGAGUAGCAAAUGUCAGGUCUAGUACAUAACAUUGCAUACAUUAAACUUCCAACAGCGGAAGCAUAGGGAAUAUUUCUCAUAUCCUCAACUUCUUGAGGUGUCUUAGGACAUUGUUCCUUUGACAAAUGAAUUCCAUAUCUGUACGGCAGCAGACCCUUUUUGGAAUUCUGCAUUUUAUAUCUAGACAACAUUUUGUCUAUGUAAGAUGCUUGAGACAUGGCUAGUGUUUUGUUCUUACGGUUUCGAACAAUUUGGAUUCCGAGAACGUAUUGUGCAUCUCCCAGAUCUUUCAUUUGAAAUUGCAUAGCUAGCCAUUUCUUGAUAUCAGGAAGAUAUCCUAGUCAUUUCCAAUAAGUAGAAUAUCAUCUACAUAUAAGACUAAAAAUGCUAUAAUGGAAUUGACGACCUUUUGUAAACACAAGGCUCGUCAACAUUUUGUUCAAAGCCAUAAGAUUUUGAUCGCAAUAUCAAAUCUUAUAUUCCAGGAUCUAGAAGCUUGUUUUAAUCCAUAAAUGGAUUUUUUAAGCUUACAAACCUUUUGUUCUUGAUCUUGUUUUAUAAACCCCUCUGGUUGAGACAUAUAGAUGCUCUCUUCAAGAUUACCGUUCAAAAAAGCUGUCUUGACAUCCAUCUGCCAAAUUUCAUAAUCAUAAAAAGUGGCGAUGGAUAAGAGUAUUCUAAUUGACUUUAACAUGGCAACGGGAGAGAAAGUUUCCUCUAGUCUACUCCCUCUCUCUAGGUAUAACCCUUUGCCACAAGUCGAGCCUUAAAAGUCUGUACUUUACCGGCAUGGUCUCGUUUUCUCUUGUAGAUCCAUUUACAACCAAUAGGUUUUACGUCAUUUGGUUGAUCUACUAGAGUCUAGAAAGAAUUAAAGUACAUAGACUCCAUUUCGAGGUCCAUGGCUUUGAUCCAUUGGUCACGAUCUACAUCUUUCAUUGCCUGUUUAUAGGUUAAUGGAUCCUCUAUGCCAUCGUCAGGUAUGACGACUUGAGUUUCAAUUAAACCCAAAUAGCGAUCAGGCUGAUGAACAACCCUCCCACUACGUCGAGGCUCUCUCAACUGUUGAGAAGGAUGUGAUUGACCAGAUUUCCUAGUCUUAUCAACUACUUUAGUGGAUGAACUAGGUUUUAUCUAUAGCACUUUUGGAAAUUUCUUUAAAUACUAGUUUACUACGAGGUUGAUGAUCCCUGAUGUGGUAUUUUAUUUUCUUGAGGAUCAUAAAACAAACCACCUCUUGAUUCUUUUGGAUAACCUAUAAAAAAGCAUAAUUUUGAACGAUGUUCCAAUUUCUUUGGAUUUUGUACCAACACAUGUGCUGGACAACCCCAAAUUUUAAAAUGACGUAAACUGCCUUUACGCCCUUUCCAUAGCUCAUAAGGUGUUUCUGAAACACUUUUAGAGGGAACAUUAUUCAAAAUAUAAGCAGCUGUUUCUAAAGCAUAUCCCCAAAAAGAAUCUGACAUCUGAGAAAAACUCAUCAUAGAGCGAACCAUGUCUAACAAGGUCCAGUUUCUUCUUUCUGAUACACCGUUCUGUUGAGGUGUACUAGGUGCAGAGAGUUGUGACUGGAUUCCAUUUUCUAUUAAAUAGUCUCGGAAUCGUAAGUCCAUAUACUCUCCACCUCGAUCUGAUCGAAGUAUUUUUAUUGUUUUACCUAAUUCGUUUUCUACUUCAGCCUUAUAUUCUUUGAACUUUUCAAGACUAUUAGACUUAUGAUGUAUUAGGUAAAUAUGACCAUACCUUGAAUAAUCAUCAAUGAAGCUAAUGAAAUAUUCAUAUCCACCUCGAGUUUUGACAUUCAUUGGUCCACAAAGGUCCGAAUGUACGAGCUCUAAGGGUCCUUUGGCUCUUAGACCUUUUCCAGUAAAAGAUCUCUUGGUCAUUUUUCCUUCAAGACAAGAUUCACAAGGAGGUAAAGAGUUAUCUUCUAACGGACUUAGAAGCCCACUUUUAACCAAUCUCCCAAUCCUAUUGAGAUUUAUGUGACCAAGUCUUAAGUGCCAUAAAUAGGCAUUAGAAGAAACUUUUUGUCUUUUAUUCUGAGUUUCAGCUGUUCUGAAUAUUUCAGUAUUUAAGACAAAAUUUGCUCUAGUUGGUCUUAACUUAUAUAAGUUGUCUUCAAGUAUAGCAGAACAAACUAGAAUACCUUUAUAGAAAACGAACGCUUCAUUAAUUUCAAAAGAUAUUCUAUACAUUUGUUCCAAAAUACAAGAGAUAGAUAUUAAAUUUCUUUUCAUUUGAGGUACAUAUAAGACAUUCUUAAGUAUGACAUAUCUAUCUCUAAAAAACAACUUUAAAUCUCCCACUGCUGAAGCUGAGACCAUCUCUCCUGUUCCAACCUUGAGAGUGAUCUCGCCUUCUGAAAGCUUUUUCCAAGAACUAUUUUCCUGAAAUGAGAAGCAAAUAUGGUUAGUGGCUCCUGAAUCUAGUAUCCAGGUAGAAUUUUCAUAUUCCACUAAACAUGUUUCUACAACUAGUAAAUCAUAUUUACCUUGUGUUUCCUUCUCUGCCUUUUUUUCUGCAAGGUAUUUUGGGCAGUUUCUUAACCAGUGCCCGUUUUGGCCACAAUGGUAACACUUACCUUUUUCUGCAGCUUUCUUACCCUUGUUCUGUUUGGGAGUCUUUCCCUUUCCCUUCUUUUUUAUUUGAGCAUUAGGUUUUGAGGGUCCAGCUUUGGUUUUAGAGGACGAUCCUCUUAUAAAUUUUCUUUUUGUGGUAGCAACAUUUGCUUCCACUUGUUUUCCUUUACCCAUAGUUAGGUUUUGGAAUCGCUGGAGUUCAUUCAGAAGGGUUGUCAAGUUAAAUUCUAUCUUGUUCAAAGACGCAUUCGUUUGGAAUGGAAUGAAGCUCUUCGGAAGAGACUCUAAGAUAAAACUAACUUGAUUAACCUCUUCGAUGGGACCACCAUUCACUUCAGCGAUGUUGAAGUGCAUCAUCAUGUCCAGAACAUGUUCUCUAACAGAGGUCCCUUCGCUUCAUACGCUUAGUGUAAAUGUAUUUGACUGCCUCGUGUCUUAAGGACCAUUCUGGUUGCCCAAACAUUCCCCUUAAUGAAUCCAUAAUCUCUUUAGCCGUGGCUAAGGAUUCAUGUUUCUUUGCCAAUACAUCAGACAUGCUGGCAAGAAUGUAAACACGGGCUUUUUCAUUAGCUUUUAUCCAUCGAUCAUAUGCAUCCCGACUAGUUCGGUUAGCAUUAGAGGCAGGGUUUUGAGGACAUUCCUCAGUUAAGACAAAUCUUAAAUCGUCAACCACUAGUAUUGUGUUAAGAUUUGAUUUCCAAGCCGCAUAAUUAUCGCCAUUAAGUUUUUCGGAAGCUAAAAGUUGAACUAUUGAGCUAUUCAUGCUGAAAAACAAACAUAUUCUUUUUAGGAAAAAACUAUAAUCAUAAAAAAUAUCCAAUCUAAUUUAGCAAUUACUAAUAAUGUACCCUUUCAUUAUUUGUAUUUUGCAACAAUAUUUCAAAGGUUUAGAACAACCUUCUCCGAAGGGUAGUUGAUUAUUCCUCCUUUGAACCAAGACAAUCUUGACUAGAUGCUAUCUCAAGAAUAACUCUUUAUUCUUUAUAGCACUUAGUUAUCGCUACUUUAGUCAAGAAUAUACUAACAACUUAGUAAUUCUUGUAAGUGUUACCCACCAUUUUCAGAUUUUAUAGAUUAGAAUCAUUUAUGAAAACUAAUCUAAGAAAUCCUAUCCAGUUUUGGAGUUCGCGGUGUUCCGAAUCCUAUAAUACAACCCUCCGAAGGGAACGUCGCUCCAGGGCAGACAAGCAGGCAUAUUAUAGAAAUCUCACGGUGCGACCUAAUGGAAGAGACCGUGGGAUGUGCUGCCACAAAUCCCUCACCCACUUACUAUGAACUACUUCCCCUAUUCACCUUGAUUUUGAUCCAUGCAAACACUCUCCGAAGGGAGGCCGCUCCUAUGCACGGCACAAAGCCCUGCAUGGACCUCACGGUGUGAACUCUUAGGGACACUAGAGCUAAAAUACAUUAUUUUUCUCUAGUUGAAGUGUUCUAAAAGAAAAAAAUAGGGUAAUCCAAACUUCAAGAUUUAUAUUUAGGCUAACUUAAACAAAUCUUAAGUCUAGAUAAAACAUCCAAGUAUAACCAUUAUACAGGAUUUUAACCUAUGAUGUCUAGGUGAAAAACCAUUUUUAUUACCUCACACCUCUCACGAAUGCUCAUAAAACUAGGUUAACUAGGCUCAAGAACUGAUUACGAUCUCCAGGUAGGAGGUGUUCCGUAAACCGUCAACUUAAGAACCUCCAACCUUAGUCAUCUUAUCUGACUUGUUGACAAGAUUGAACCAGGUGAGCCUUUUGUAACCAGUUUUACAAGAUAUCGACCUAUUUCUAUGAAAAAUGGAAGAUAUGUUUAACCUAAGUGAGCAUGCAUUUAAUCUUUGUUAUUGAUUUUAAAAGUCUAAUUUAUUUUAUAACACUUAUAAAAACUUUUAAACUUAAUCAAUCAUUUUAUCAAUAUAUAAUAUAAAAACAAUCAAUUAAUAUGGAUUUUAAUUUAUUUAACUUUAAUUAAAUCAUAUUUAAUUAAAUUAAAUCAAACAAUAAUUAAUUAAUUUGAUUAAAUCAUAUUUAAUCAAGAAUAACUUAAUUAAUUAAAUAAUUAAUUAAUCAUAUUAAUUAAUUUCCAUAUUAAUCAAUUAACAUGCAUACAAUACAAUAUAACCUUUAUAUCAUACAUUUUAAUGCAUGAACAUGUUAACCUAUGGUGGGAUUUUAAAUCUAUAUGACAUUCAAAAUGCACAUACAAAUUUAAAGUAAUUUAAUCAUACAUCACAUGCAUAAAUAAAAAAAACACCCUAAAAUGGACUGAUUUUUGGCUCCUAAAUUAAGCUAAGUGCUAAAUUAUUACAUAAUUAAUUUGGUGUAGUACAGAACCACUCCCAAAAAUUUCGAACCGGCUAAAAAACCAACCGAAACCGCUUGAACCGGCCCAAAAACCAAAUUUAUUGGCUUGAACCGGCCCAGGCGCACACGGGUCGUGCGAAGGCAGGCGCGCGGGCGAAGGCGGGCGCGCGGGCGCAUGCGGGCGCGCGGGCACAGGCGGGCGCACGGGCGCAUGCAGGCGCGCGGGCGCAGGGGGCGCGCGGGCGCAGGAGGCGCGCGGGCGCAGGCGGCGUGCGGGCGCAGGAGGGCGCGCGGGCAUGCGGGCGCGUGCGGGUCGCGAAGCGGGUCAAAACCGGGUUUUCGGGUCUGUGACCUUCUUUUCUUCAUUUUUUUCAAUUCUCUCACCCGGUUGAACCAAUUACAGCCUAGCUUCAACUCUAAUGACUUUUUUUAUUUUUUAAAAAAUUACAAACACUUUGCAACAAUAAAAAUAAGCCAUUAACAAGGCUAAUUACAAUAAUUAGAACAAAAACACUUAAUCUAGAGCCAAAAUCAUAAUAUAUCCAUUUUAGUUCAAACCAAAAUUUAUCUAAUAAAUAUGAACCCACCACAUGCAAUUGGGUAAAAAUGAAGCAUGCUCUGAUACCACAUGAUAGAACUAAGUCAUGCACAGCGGAAAAAGAAUCGAAUUUCUACCCUAAUUGCCACAAUUAACAUGUAACCAUAAACUAAUCAAAUUAGGGUUUUAAGAAGUAUUACCUUUGAAGCUUUCAAAAGGUUUGAUGUCUUCUUACCAAUUCUACCCGAGACCACCACUAGUACUCAACUGCUAUCCUCUAGACAAAGAACCGGGUUGUGGGACCCAAUUUUGGUGUAGAAAGUAAUGGAGAUAAAAUGAGAUUGGAAGCUUUCUUUUUUCUUUUGUUGAGAUUAUGAAAAUGAUAAAAGAGGCAAAAGUCCUUCAACAUUUGAAAACAUCUCUAUUUAUAGCCUAAUUACAUGCAAAAAUGCAUGCAAUUCAAUUGCCAAAUCUCAACACCUAAUAUUCCACUAACAAUUAGUGGAACUUAGUGGGCUAGGUGUCUAUAUCUCAUAUAGCCACAUAUCCCACUAAGAGUUAGUGGGAUUAUCCAACAAAAUGUUGGAUUUUCCCACUAACUUAGUCCAAGGGUAAAAUGGUCAUUAGAUUUUUCUAGUCAAAAGUCAAACUUUGACUUUUCUAAGUCAAAAGUCAAUAUUUUGACUUUUUACCAUUUUGUCCGUCUUGACUAAUUCCAACCUCCCGAGCAUGAAUCCGCAUUCAUUUUUCCAAAAUUCAAAUCACAUUUGAAUAUAAGGCCGGUCAAAGUUUGACUUUUCAAAGUCAAAAGUCAACAUUUUGACUUUUUACUAUUUUUGACCAAUUCCGAGCUUCUUAGUAUGAAUCCGCAUUCAUACUUAUAGUAUGUAAAACAUAAAGCUCUAUUUCUAAUUAGAAGACCGACGAUUAUAUCACUGUAUAUGUCGGUUUUCCUUUCUUCUCCCUAUUCGAACAAUUCGACUUAUUUCAUCACACUGUUCUAAGUUUAAUCCAUAUGAGCUAGCAGAGGAACCUAAUGGACCUAUAGAUCAUGGGCUCCAACGAUUCAAGAUUAACUAGCUAAACUCUUUUAAACCGAGUUAAUCAACAUUCGUUAACUAACGGGUCAUUCCACUAAAGUCCCGUAGUUGCACUCCCCUCACUAUAGAUAUAUUUGUGUCCAUUUGAUAAAACCAUAAUCAGUAAGUUAAUCCUUCACAGGUUGCUCGUAACCUUGGCUGGGUCAAAAUACCGUUUUACCCCCAAGAUUACAUCUUGCUCCUUAAGUCCCACUAAUCCACUAUUGAACAAUUGGUUUAAGGUUCAACCUAUAAACUUAAUCCCUCUCGGGCCAAUGAGAGGGUGGGGCCCCUUGUUCAAGACUUGGAUUCAGUGCUUAAGAGAGCAACCUAUCUACUAACCCUAAAGCGGGUAGGAGUGAAUUCCAUCUUGUACCCUAUGUUCCCAGCUAUCCACCCGAUCUUACCCCUGAAAUGGGAGGCUUAUUGGGCCAACGCUGAUGAGCUGCCCUCACCUAUGCAGAUCUAAGGAUAAUCUCGUAUGAACAGGAGUUCAUAGUUAACUCAGGAUUAAGACUAAGUUACCUAGGUCAUCAAUAAUUGAGAUAGUCAGUUUUAAACAGUAAACGGUGUUAUAACGUAAAAAUGACUAAUUCAUGGUUCAGUCUUAUGUAAACAUUUUACAUAGGAUGCCCCCACUUUCAUGUCUCUACAUGAACGAUUAGGAUCACAUCGUUUGUACUACAAAGUGGGCCGCAUCCAUAGUCUCUCAAAAUAAGGCGCCCAACCUUUAUUUCAUAUACUAUAGACUAUUUAGGCUAUAUACUCGAACUUGAUCCACGUUUAUGUUUACACAUAAAGUUCAAGUUUAUUCAAAAAAUAGCCUUGGAACUUUGAUUUAUUGGAUAAUAUUUAAUUUCUCAAUAACAACUUUAUUGAAUAGAAUAUGAUUUACAAACUACGAGUUUUAGGACAAAAAAUUCCAACAAGAAGAUCUUGCACUAAAAGCAGCAGAGUCAAUAGUAGGGGUUGCGGAAAUAUUCAUAGCACUUGUGCGAUCUUCCUCGAGGCGGAUUUCAGAGCAAACUUCCAUCAGGGAGGGAAUCGGUCUUUGACCUAGUAUACGCCCUCGAACUACAUCAAACUUAGGAUUAAGACCAGCAAGAAAGUCAUAAAUCCUGUCAUUCUCUUCAAUUCUCGAGUACUGUACACCAUCAGUGGGAUCACGCCAUACUAGUUCUCUGCAUAGGUCCAUUUCUUGCCAUAUAAGAGAAAGCUUAUUGAAAAAGGAUGUGACAUCCAUGGUUCCUUGCUUGCAUUCAUGAACUUGCUUUCUCAGCGUGUAUAGACGAGAGGCAUUCUGACGUUUUGAGUAAAGUGUCUGGGCUGUGUCCCAAAUAUCCUUGGCUGUUGCAGCAAACAAUAACGGCUUGCCAAUUUGAGGUUCCAUACUAUUGAUCAAUAUGGAUCGAAGAAUAGAGUCUUCUGCCUUCCAAUAUUGUUCAUGUGGGUCGCCCGGUAGGGGCGAGGUAUUUCCCCUGUCAGAAAGCUAAAUUUUUGUCGUCCUUCGAGGACCAUCUUUACUAACUGAGACCAUGAGAAAUAGUUGUUGCCAUUCAACUUUUCUCCUGAAAGAUGAUACAUGGAAGACUGAGUCACCGUAUUAGUCACAUAAGGAGAGGAUACAUUAGGGAACGAGUUUACCGGAUUCUCAGAAUACAUCGGUAGAGUGGAUGUCGUCCCUAAGGUAGCCUCAAGUGCUGCUAUCUGUUGUCGAAGCCCUUCCAAUUGUUGAUGAACUAUUCCCGAGGAAGCUUGCACGUUACGGUUGGAAUAUGCCGAAGAUUCACCAACCUCAAAUGUUGAGUGAAUUUGAGAGUUUUUAACGUCGGGAUGGUAGCUAGGAUCAUUGGGUGGCUGGCCAUACAGAUUUGACGGCAGAAGCGGUGGUAGCCGAUUGGAAUUAGAUGGCAGAACAUAAAUCGGGGCGUGGGGAGCAAUAUAGGCCGCGGACGAAGAAAAGGGUUGGACAGAUGGGAUGGUCGGCGCCGUCUGAGGAAGAAAACCAGGCGCGUGGUGGUCCGGCGGCGGCGCGUGGUGGUUCGGUGACGACGCGUGGUGGUCCGGUGACGGCGCGUGGUGGUCCGGUGACGGCGCGGACGACUGCGGUAAUGACGAAAAAUUAUUUUCGGACGUUUUCUGUAGCCGGCUUAAUAAUUCGUCCAUGGCAGCACGCAUCCGAGCAUCAAUGGCAGCAGCUACGGCAGCACUAAAAUUGAUGGCUGUCCCUUCUGUUUGAUUUUCAUAAGUGGUUUGGUUUUUUUUGGGUUUCUAGGGUGUUUUCAUUGUCCCGCUCUGAUACCAUAUUGAAAAGAGAGACAACGAGUUCACACCAAUUUACGUGGAAACCCGAGUACCGGGAGAAAAAACCACGAUUGUUUGUGUUGUUAUUAUUUUCUAAUGAAUAAAGCAAUAGGUACAAGGGAGAAUAAAUAGAGUACACAAUGGAAUAAAAAAGGAAAAGAUUUAGGAAAAUAAGGAAUACAUUCCCAUAAUCUUUCCAUAAUUAUUCUAGGAUUCUAACAAGGAAAAAGCCUAGAAAAAAAGGAAAGAAUUCCAACAGUUAUGAAUAGAGUUUUGUUUGCCCUUGGUUCUUUUAUUUUUUCAAUAAACGUUCGGUUGCUUAAAUAAAAUGGUUCUCUGGACAGAAGUGAAUUGUGAGUUUACUGAAUUUGGUAAAUUUAGAAGCAUUCCUCUGUGCAUCCUCUAGUAGAUUUUGGAUUUUCCUCUUCCACUGUAAUGGAAUUGGACGAGAAAAGUUAAUGUGUUCCAGUUAUUUUACGGUGCUGGCACUUACAUGUUUGGAAUUGAUGAUGAACGAAUAAUUGAUGCUACAAGGGCUGGAAGCAUUGCUCAUCUGGUCAACCACUCUUUCGAAGUAUGUAUUACUUUAACAAUUGAUUUACUUUUUAUUUUUUCCUUUUAUGUUAAUGUUCUUUAUCCUCAUGAGAUGACUCAUUAAAUUAUGUGUCAAUAGAAUUAUCUUAUAUCAUAGUGCUCUAUGGAGAUGAAAUGCAAGUUAGCUAAAUUUUUCCUUAGAUGCUUGAAAGUUAGAAGAGAAAUUUAACUCCGGUUUUUCUCUCAUGGACUAAGCUAUCUUAUUCUUACACAGUAACUCUUGCUCCUCACAGAAGUGUUCAAGGAUAAAUAAAGGUUCGUAUUAGAAGUGGACGUCCAUUAGUUUUGGUAUGUAUGUAAAUUAUUUUAAAUCUAAGUAUUUGAUUUCCUAAUAGUUGAAAACCUUAGUUUAUUGACAAGAAAUCAAAUGGUUACUUCUGAAGUUGGUUGAUUGUAUUUGGUUAUGUCUACUAAUGAGAAUGACUUUACCUUAAGGGGAUAGACUUUAGUUUUGGUAUCUCCAAUUGAGAAUUUAGCCAUUGUUCUUACUCUUUAUGGAGUAUCUUAAAGACAAGAAAUCGACACUCCAAUGCUAUGAAAAUUUUCCUAUAAGUAAGUACAUUGUAUAGUCUCAUGUUCAUUUGGUAUGUUAUUUUAUUUGCUUACUUUUGUAAUACUAUUCUAUUUUAGAGCUAUUUAGUCAAUUGAUUGUAAAUUCUGACUACAGCUGAUGAUAUGUGGGGAAGAUAUUCAUAGUUCAUCUUUAUUGGCGAUGAUUGCAUAAUACAAAACUGUUUAACUCUAAGGAUUACAAAUUGUCGUACAUGUAUUGUCGUAGGCUGUUUUGUUCUAAGGACUAGGAACAACCCAAGAAGUUGUUCAAUUUGCAGUGGCCAUUUGGUUGGACGUUCUUCUUCUCCUUGAUCUCUUUUCUCCUCUUCUUAGGAACUUCAUUUUCAUUAUCAGAUUUGAAGAGGGACCACCAUGAGUGGGGUAGUAAAAUGAAUAGAGAAUGGGAGAGUGAGCUGGGUAUGUUUUUGUAUGUGUAUUCUAGAGAGAAAGAGUGAGCUGGGUAUGUUUUUGGUAUGUGUAUUCUAGAGAGAAAGAGUAGCAGUAUGUUUUUGUUUGCUGUGUUUGCCUAAUAUAGUCCUCAUGGUCUUCUCUUUUCAUUUCAUGGAAUCAAGUGUUGAGUUCUUGUUUGUGUUCUUGUUUGUGUUCUGUAUUUUGUUGAGACGUUGAUUUAGUUAUUCAUUGACUGUACGUAUGUGUUAUGGAUUCUUUGUAGGUUCAACUGGAGUCGACAAGUUCAUGAGUUUUGUUUCAAAUAUCAUUUCCAGAAACGAACAUUCUCGGUUGGUCCAGUCAAAUAUAUUCGAAUGCUAUUUAAGAUAUUUUUUGAUUAAGGGUUAGUAUUUCGUACAUGUGGAUUACUGAAACUUGUAUUAAGAUGUACAAAUAUUAUAAAUCGUAUUAUAGUGUAUAUAUAUUAAAGUGUUGGCUAUUUUCUUGUACAUUGGUGUGAAACUUGUAUAAUUUCAAAUUUGUCAUUCUCAGCUACAUUAUUGUCAUUCUAAUGGUUCGUGUAAUGGUGGAGCUGCAUGGAGAACAGAAUAAAAACUAUAGGAAAUUGAGAAAUGUGAUAGUUAAUAGUUGUUGUAAAUUGGAGAACGAUGACAGUUAUUUAACAAAAUAAAUUGUCACGAUUGCUCUAUAUGUGACAGGAAUAACAUGUCGUCAUAAGAUAAACAAUGACAAUUUUUUUUAAAAAAAAACUGUCACGAUUGCAUUAUAUUUGACUGGAAAAAAAUGUCGUCAAUGGCAAAACAAUGACAUUUAAUGUUAUCGAAAAAACUGUCACGAUUGCCACAAUCGUUGACUGGAAAAAAAUGUCGUUCAAUAACUAAACAAUGACAUUUUUACAAAAAAAAACUGUCGCGAAAAACAUAUUCAUGACAAUUAAUACAUGUCACGAUAAUAGAAUUCGUGACAAUUAUUUAACUGUCGUUAAUAAAGAAAUGAUGAUAGUUAUUGAAUGUCAUAAAAUAAAUUAUGACAGUUAUUGAAUGUCGUUGAAUGUUGAUUAACGACAUUUAUUUCAUGUCAUAAAACAACCUAUUGCGACAGUUUUCAAAAACUGUCGUCGAAGGCCUUUCCAUGACUCCCGCUUCUAUGACUGAAAAUAACUGUCGCGAAAUCCGUUCGCGACAGUAAAUAACUGUCGUCGUAGCCCACUUUUGUACUAGUGAUCCUCUUCAUCUUCGUCCUCUUCUUCCUCUUCGUCAUCCUCUUCGUCCUCAUCUUCGUCUUCAUCUUCGUCCUCUUCAUCCUCUUCAUCUUCGUCCUCUUCAUCCUCUUCAUCUUCGUCAUCUUCGUCCUCUUCAUCCUCUUCAUCUUCGUCCUCUUCAUCCUCUUCAUCUUCAUCUUCAUCUUCAUCUUCAUCUUCAUCAUCUUCAUCAUCUUCAUCUUCAUCAUCUUCAUCUUCAUCUUCUUCAUCUUCCUCUUCAUCAUCUUCAUCAUCUUCCUCUUCUUCAUCAUCUUCAUCUUCAUCUUCAUCUUCAUCUUCUUCUUCAUCUUCAUCUUCUUCCUCUUCCUCUUCCUCUGCUGAUGCUGCUGCUUCUGCUGCUUCUUCUGCUUCUUUUGCUGCUUCUGCUUCUGCUGCUUCUUCUUCUUCUGCUUCUGCUGCUUCUUCUUCUUCUGCUUCUGCUGCUUCUUCUUCUGCUUCUGCUGCUUCUUCUUCUGCUUCUGCUGCUUCUUCUUCUUCUUCUUCUUCUCCUUCUUCUUCUUCUUCUUCUUCUUCUUCUGUUGCUGCUUCUGCUUCUUCUUCUACUGCUGCUUCUUCUUCUUCUUCUGCUGCUUCUGCUUCUUCUUCUUCUGCUUCUUCUUCUUCUUCUCCUUCUUCUCCUUCUUCUCCUUCUCCUUCUUCUUCUCCUUCUCCUUCUCCUUCUCCUUCUCCUUCUCCUUCUUCUUCUCCUUCUUUUUCUUCUUCUUCUUGAUUCAAACCACAGUAAGAAAAUGAGAGGAAGAAUUGCUCAUUUUUAAAAACCAAAACUUCUUCUUCUUCUUCUUCCUCUUCUUCUUCUUCCUCUUCUUCUUCUUCUUCUUCUUCUUGAUUCAAACCACAGUAAGAAAAUGAGAGGAAGAAUUGCUCAUUUUUAAAAACCAAAACUAAAAGAUUAAAUGGAUUUAGUUUUUUGUUUGAGAAAGUAACACUACAAAUCCUACUUCCAUUCAUUGGUUUCCAAGUGUUUUUUUUUUUUUUUUUUUUUUUGCUAUAUUUUAAGAGUUUUUAAAAAGAAGUCAGAAUUUGAAAAAAAAUAGUACUUUUCUUUUAGAAUUUUACUAAAAACAACUCUUUUUGCAUAAGAAAGAUGGAAAUGACUUUUGGACGACUUAGAUCCAUGGAAAAGAUUAAGGGAUUGAGAACUUUUAUUUCACAUUGACAAAAAUUAGCAAUGCCUAGCUAAAGGAUGUGAAUACCAAGACAUGCUAGUUGAGAGACCAAAGAGUGUUGGUGGUUUUAGUAUAACAUUGUCACCACACUCACAACUAUCAUCGUUCAAUGGGCAAGUUAGAUAAACUUGGAUGCACUUUCACAAAAAAUAAUUAAGCCUACUAUGAAAUUUUAGAUUUGGAUAAAUGUGUUAAGUUAGGAUGUUGUGUUAACCUUUGAGAGCAACCGACACUGCUAUCACACCGUAAUUGCUUUCAAGGCAGUGGUUCAUCCAUGACGUAACGAUUUUCUUCAACAUAUAUGUUCUAACAAUUUGAAAGCAAUUACAAUACAAAUUUCUAUCAAUAAUGGUGAAGUCCUUCUCAGUCUAUCCAAGCUCGAACCACUUGAUGGAGAGAACAACCGUCCCUAGUCUAAAAAUUUAUUGAUCGUAUUUGAGCAGUUGGAGGUUGAUUAUAUCUUCACCAUGGAGGAGUCGAAUCAUACCAAAAAGAUGAUAAAUGCUUUUGACAUAAAAUUCUCGGAGAACCUUGCGAUGUUUUUGACCAACUAAUUAAGUAGUCCUUUAAUAUGUGAAAGACAACAAAAUAGUUGAAGGUCAUUUGUUUAAUCAUAUGACAGACAUAGUGUUUAAUUUGUUUGUAGUCCAAAAGUCAACAAAUGUAAUUUGGAGUACAUUGGAGUUGUGAUAUAUAAGGAGAUGACGCAUGUCGCAAAAAGUACAUCGUCAGUAUGACUACAAUUUUAGAUGUCAAACAAGAAAGCUGUAGUGGAGAAAGUUCAUAAAUUUAAAAUUUUGGUAGCCACCGUUUUAUAUAAGGGCAAGAAGAUGUAUGAGAUUCUCCAACAAAAUGCUCUACUUCACAAAAUUUCUCAAUCCUAAAGUGGCUAUAGAAACCAUCUUAAACGCAAAAACAACAAUUUGAUACAACCAUAUGCAUGCCUACAAAUAAGUCAAUAUGCUAAAAGAUAAGCUACACUACUACAAAAAUACACUAAUCUUUACACUUUUUAACAAUCAACAAUUAUUACUCUUGCCGGUUUUUAAAUCGUCCUUGAAGCCAACAUAAAAAAAGUCAAAGUUCAUGACAGUUAGUAAACAUUAAGAAUAAUAAAUGUUGACAUUUUAUAAACGUCAAGUUUACAAAUGUUCAUGACAUGUAAAAACCGUCAAGUAUGUUGAUGUUAACAACCUUUAAAAAAUGUCAAGACCUAAGGUUCUUGACAUGUAUGAAAACGUCAAGAAUGUGAGUGUUCAUAAAUUUGAAAACCGUCAAGAGCUAUUCUUUACUUGAUACAAAAAAUCUGUCAAAAAAUUGAUUGUUUAUGACAUAUAAAAAACAUCAAGAAUGUACAUGUUUAUGACAUUUAAAAAACGUCAAGAAUAUACUUGUUUGUGACAUUUAAAAAAUGUCAAGUCUGUUUCAGAUUAAUUUAGUUAUAUUUUUGUUCUUGUAUUGGCUCUGUAAUCCAUGUAUGUAAUUCAACAAUCCCAUACAUAUGCAUGAGGAUAUUCGUCAAAUAUAAUUCCAAAAACUUUAACAUAUAUGAACAUUACUUCUAGAACAUUCCAAAACCUUACAUAUUUGUUCGAUAUUGUCAUAUACAAAACAUAUAUUUCUAUGAAAGUUUUUUUUGUAAGUUAAGAUGAACUACAUUUCUAGUUCAAGAGACAAAAACUUAAUUAAAAAAACUUGAAACUAAAUGACCUUGGAUGAUCUUGGUUUCAAAUACAAACUUAGAUUCCACAACCUAAACCAAAAUACAACAAUGUCAAGUUAAAAUAGGUUCACAUAACAAAAUUUAUCAAAUAGCGAAAAUGAAAGAGAUGUGACUCAAUACUUAAAUGUAAAAAAUAUAUAUAUAUAUAGAACAUAGAAUUGUCGGUAAAAUAAGAGGUAUGAGAAUAUUAUACCACAAACGUAGUUGAUAGCACAGCGUAUGCACAAUGUACUAACCUAGUUAAGUGGUGAAUUAAUUCCCAAAAAAGAAAAACUGCAAAGCCUCAAAUGACUAGAGUGGUUUUCACGUAACAUCUUGCAAGUAUGAUUUGUUUUAAAUAAGAAAGUAUAAAACUACAUUUCAACAUAGAGAUCAACACAAGCAAAGAAAAGAAAUGAUACUGAUAUAUCUAAAGUAUCAAACUACAUCCCAACCUAAAGAUCAACUAUGUAGCACAUCUCCAAAUGACUUUUCCUAUCUUAUUUGUAUCGUCCUAACUUGUUAGUUUAUAGUCGUGCAAGUUUACCCUGUUUGUUUAUAGUCGUGAAAGUUUACAAACUCAAAAAUAAAAUAGCAUUCCCGAUGACAAGGUACUUAGUGAGUUUGAAGUGUUUGUGCAGAAGAUACAACCAUAUAUUAGAUGCGUCAAGUUCACGAUUUCUAUCAUAGGAAGAGAAACACCUUGCACAUUGGUACAUCUUGAAUAAUGUAGAUGAAAUUGCAAAGUACCGGAAGUAGAUACAUUCAACUCUAAACUUCACUAGCACUUUAAGUUUUUGUUAAGUUAUAGUCGUCACAAAGACUCACAACUAUGCGUACUUUAGGAAAUACUUAGGGUUGAUAUGUUGUUAGCUCAAAGCAUUGUCGACUUAUUUAAAAGACAUUAAGAGGCAUUUUCUAAUUGGUUCAGAGAUCAUGUGAUAAGCGUUCAAUAUGCUUUAAGCUUACAAAGCUAGAGGUCCUUCUAGGAUCCUUGUAAACUAACACAAACGAGACUGACUUACUAAAUGAUUCCAACCAAGAUUUAGUUAGAAGAUGAAUUACUCUUACACCAAACUUAGAAUCUAUAAUGGUCACUCCUAGAUCCUAAGACAACUCACUCCAUAAUUAGAUUGAUCAAAACUAAUCCAAUGAAUCGAUUGAACAUUUAACCUAAAACAAGAUUUGAAAGAAAAGACAAUACCAGAGGGAUUGAAUAAGCAAAAGCUUUUUAGUAUUCAUCAUAUUUUUUUUCUUAUGAGCAUUACAAGCCAUUUUAAAGGCCAAAUUGUCGUGGAGUGACCAGGAACUCAAAAAUCAUUCAAAUACAUUUAAUUGCAAAUUGUAGAAAAUAAGACCUAGGAACUUAAAACUUGAUUGCACAUCAAACGAGCAGCCAUUUCUCAAAAACUAAAAGAUAGAAUUGCUUUAAAUUGUCUUAAAAUAUGUGCUAUGUAAUCCGCUCCUCAUAAUGGCAACGUUUGACAACCUUUGACAUCACGAAAUCCUAAGAGAUGCAAGUUGGACAACCACUUCUUCACAAAUUUUGCACACCUUUUUCAUCCCCCGUGCCAUCUUCCAAACUACAAAACUUUUUUCGUGCCAUCUUGACUCCAUUCUCUUCUUGAUUUGUUGAACAAACAUUAUACAAAAAUUUGGUUCAAAAUUCUCGGCCUCUCGCUGUGCAUUUUUCAGCUUUUGAACAUGCAGUGUGAAAGCCUCUUGUAUCUUCUUUGCCUUACUCCUUGUGAUUGGUCCUUCAAGUACAUGCAAUGGAUUAUUGAUUGAAUGAUCUAAGAUCGUUUAGAUUAUGAUACACGAUCUUGUAGUUCUUUUUAACGAUGGAAAAAAAUACUUAAAAAUUUAAACGAUUGUGUAACCAUGCUAACAAAUCGUGUUGACCAUGACAAAUUAACGAUCGUGUUGAUUAUGAUAAAUGAUCGUGUAUUUCAAUGUAAAUUAUCAUUAAGAACUUCAAAUCUAACGAUUGUGUUUACCAUGCUAAACGAUCGUGUUAACUAUGCUAAACGAUUGUGUUGGCUAUGGUAAACGAUCGUUUAGAUCAUGUCAACAUGAUCAUGUAGUUCGCUUUAAACGAUGAGAAAAAAUACUUUAAAUUUAAACUAUCGUGUUGACCAUGGUAAACAAUUGUGUUGAUCAUUUACAAUAAUAUUUAAAUGAUCUUGAUAUUCUCGAAUAUGAGAGAUGAAGAAAAAUAUUGAAACAAUCGUGAAAUAGCUUCAAAGAAUCUGUCGAAAAUGAUGAAGAAGAAAUAGAAGAUUUAAACAGAAGAAUAAAUUGUUUAGAAAUAGAAGGAAAAAAUUUGAAAGAGGAGAGAAAAAAUCUGGAAGAGAAGAAAUCACAAAGAAGGAAGAAGAAGAAAGAAGAAGAAAGAGAAGUGAUGAAUCGUUUGCAAUAUUCAAGGGAAAAUUUGAAAAUUGUGAAAAUAUUUUAUUGAUUUCAUGAUGGGUUUUUGUUUUUUUAUUACACUAACUAUAAAUAUUUAUUGUUUUUUUUUAUAUUUAUGUAAAUUAUUCUAAAUACUAUUAUUGUUAUUUGAGUUUAUAAAUGACAUUGGAAUGCGUAAGUUGAAAAGACAAUGUUCUUCAUCUUCUUCCCUCAGAUAACCCUAGUCAUCGCUGUCCUCUACACCGCCAAUCAGCUUGGUGAGUUUAGGUGGAUAUUUUGGAUCUUUAUUAUGAAAUUUUAAUACUCAUUAAAGAUUAAUUGAGACCUUAAAUUAAGUUCCUUAUUAGAAUUUAUUUUGGUUGCAUAGCUUUGGAAGGUUCCCUUUGAUAAAGCUUGAGGAUUUAAACAGUGAAAUAUUCCAUCAAGGUUGGGAGAAUUUUUCAAUCUCCAUUUGGUAAUUAAAUUAAUAAUUUGUAAUUGACAAAAAAUGUUCAUUUAAUUUUGGUUAUGCAUAAGUGAAAUUGUGAUUUAGUUUACAACACGAAACUUAGCAUAGUCUAGGUAAUGGUUCUACUACUGCAACCCCGACUGAGGAUUGACUACUAUGAUAAUUGUGAUAGAGUUUUGAUUAUUGUGACAGAGUUUGAUUACUGUAAUAAUUAUGAUACAAUUAUAUGCACAACUUAUGAUAGUUGUGAUGGUCAAUUAUCUGUAUAACCUAAGAUUAUUGUUAAAUUGUGAAGAGUAACCAAUGGAUUAAGUUAAGGUGUAAAGGAUAAUUAAUUGCAUAUGUAACGUGGGUUUCACCAACAAAAGUUAAAGUUUCGAUAAAUUAAUUUUUUAUUCUUUUUUUGGAGGUUUAAUUGAAAACUUUUUAAACAAUUAAUUUAUGAAAUUUUCCUUAAUUGAUUUCAACUUCAAUCAUGUUUAAGUUAAAUUGGAAAAAUUUUGUAUUCCAGCCGUUGAUCAAUUUUAUUAAUUAAGGUUAUUAAAAAAAUUUCCUUACUGUUUAGAAUUUGUUUUAAUUGAAAAAAAAGUGUUGGUCAACGAAAGAUAUUUUUUAAGUUAAUCUUAGAUGUAAGAGAUUCUACUAUUGAACCUUCGAAUGAAAAUUUAAAGACUCUAUGUAACUACUGAUCGUGCAUUAUUGUUAGUGGCUAAACAUACAUAGUUCAGUUGUGUAGUUGUCGGCUGAUGUUAUAUGAUUAUGCAUGUUUUAUGAAUUGCUAUGUUUGGGGUUUCAUGUCUUGAAUAUGAUUGUUACAUAAUUUUGGACUAUGGUGUUUGUUGACUUUAGUUGUUAGGCUUUGUACCCCACUUGUAUUGUGUUUCUUCAGAGUCACUCGCAUGAUUAGGGGUGUUCCUGAGGAACCACAUACAUGAUUACGGGUGUGCCAACACAUCACAUGCACGGUUAGAGGUCUUUUGUACUAUGGUCAUAUGGAGUCACUCGCACGACUAGGAGUGUUCCUACAAGAUCACUCGCAUGAUGAAUGAUGUACCUACGGAUCACAAACACACUUAGGAGUGUGUACCUACAGAUCAGUCACACGACUAUGGGUGUUUCUACGAGAUAAAUCGCUCAGGUGUGCUCAAUUGGACACAUGACAUUAUUAUUACAGAAAAUUAACAAAUCACCUAGCAGGACCAGUAGUGGAUCUCUUAGUGGGUAUAUUUUUAUACUUAACAAUUUUUCUAUGUUUGAUUUAUAUUCAAGCAAAAAUAGAGGAAAUGAAAAGCUGGCAAAGGGCCUGUGACUCAAUUUUGCUUUGAUUUACAUAAUUUGUUAUCGGAAUUGAUUUUAAACAUUUUUAUUUAUAAGUCUUUUAUUUUCUUUAAAAUUGGUUAGAUCAAACUAGGCAUGUUUUUAUAAUAUUCUUACUGAUUUCGGCAAAUUAUGUUUUAUGAGCAGUUAUCUGAAAUUAUUUUAAACAAAAAAAAAAAAAAAGUGUCAAAAUUGUUAUUUAUGUUUUAGGUAAUAACCACAACUUAGUAUAAAGACGAGGUGAACAUAGUUUCAAAUAUUCAAAGUUUUUUAUUUAAUUAUAAGGUAUAUAAUGUGCAUGGAAUUAAACCCUUAGUGUAUGCAUAUAUAUAUAUAUAAUAUAAUAUAUAUAUAUAUAAAUAAAGAGAUAUAAAAGAUGAUUAAUCAAGAAAUAAGAAAAUAGUAUUGAAGAAGGAAAUGAGAUAGGAGAUGAGGGGUUACAUUGAUACAUAUAUAUAUUUGUGUAUAUAUGAUCAUGGAUUAGAGAUUUAGAAGAAAAUGAAGAAACCGUUGGUGUUGGUGUUGGUCUCUCUUGACUUACAUCAAUUGAGAGAGAUCAGAGGAUGAUUAUAAUUGUUCCACUAAUUUCCCACUGAAAAUGAUGUGUAUUGAUGAAAACAGGGGUUUAUCCAAAUCCAAAACCAAAUAUCCAAUUAAUAUAUAACUGUUUAAUUAAUUUUAGAUUAGAUUAUUGAGAGUCUAAGCUCCAAAUCCAAUUCUUGACUCUCACACCCUUCAGGAUUUUGACCCAUAUUUCCACUCCUCUCUUGCCUUUUGCUCCUUCUGCUUUGUGUCCACUGCAACCAUAUAAAUCAAAUUCAAAUCACAUUAUUAUUAUUAUUAUUAUUAUUAUUAUUUUAUUAUUAAUUAUUCAUUCAUUCAUUCCUUCAUUACGCUCACAUUAUUGAUCAAAUAUCAAAUAUAUAUAUAUAUGUACAUAUACACAUGCAAAAAUAACUCAACCAUUUCAAUGCUAACUCCUUUAAAGUGGAUGAUCGAUGUGUGUUUUGGAGUUUUUGUUUAAUAUAUGUUUUUUUCUAAUCAAGAUUUUUCCCAAAAAAGAGUGUGUAAUAACAGUGAUGUUUAAAGAAGAUGACUGUUAAAUGACGUUUUUUUCCCCCUCUAUUUGCACUCUUCUAUUAGAAGUACUUUAGAUUGAUGUAACACAUCAUAUCAUAUUUGGUAACUUAAAAGGAUUAAACCAUUUUUGUUAAGUAACAAAGUCCCCAUAAAACAUGUACUUAAACAUAUAUCUAAGAGUGAAUUAUAUUUUAAAACAAUUAAUCUUUUUUUCAAAAUCACUCUUUCAAUAAGCUGUUAGUACGAUGAUACGAGAGAAUUAUACUACUGAUUGAGAAUAUAAAACUAAACAUUAAAUUAAUUUUAGGCGAUGAAAAGGAGAUUUCGAAGUGAUUAUAUGAUAAAAAUAUUUUUAAUCAUUUCAAAAUCACUCCCAAAACAUGUACUUACAUCAAAACCAACUUUAUUAAUUUAGUAUAUGCUUAGAUUAAAAUAAACUUUUGAAAAGUAUGUCAGAAAUUAUUUUUCUCGAAAUUAAAUCCUUAAAAAUCAAACAAAUUAAAACACCUUUUAACACAGAUAGAAUACAAUUUUUUAACUUUUGAAAAAUAAAAAAUAAUUUUGAUGUGUCAAAUAGGUUUUGACGAGUAAUUAUAGCAAUAAUAAUGAAAAUUAAAGAAAUGGACAAAAAUGCAGUACACAAAUUAAACACAGUAUUAAACAUAUACAAACAUGUUUGAUUAGAAAGUGAAGAGACAAAAUAUGGUUUUGUUUUCAACAUUUUUAUCAAAAUGAUUGUGUAAAGUUGAAAGGACUGAAAUGGAAAUUAAAAAAAAAAAUAAAAAAUAAAGGAUCAAAAUUAGAAGAUAGAAAAUUUUUAAUUUAAUUAGUACCUGAUCUGCUUGUGGAUUUUGAAGAUAGCAUGUCAUAUUUGGCUGUGCAAAAUGUUGGCUCUCUAAGAUCCCACCAUUAUUGCUUGGAUCCCAUCUAUUUCCCAUAAUUAGCAAUUACAUUUCAAUUUUUUUUAAUUUACACACCUAAAACUUUUCUACAAAUUAAUUAAAUGUUUGUUUUAAAGUGAAAAAAGAAACUUUAUCUUUGUGAAAUAUGUAAAUAAUAGUGUAUAUAGUACCUUGUGCUAUACUGCGAAUCACCAUCUCUCAGGUUUCUUCUUUCAUAUUCUCCAAACCCCAUCUGCAUUAUUACCCAUCACACUAAUUAAUUUUAACGUUUAUUAUCAAAACUUUGGAUUUUUCUUCAAAAUAACAACAUUUAUGCACAUACGAAUUAAUCCAAUUAUGAUGCUUUUUGAAAAGAAAUUGUGAGUGUAAGCUAACUUUUUUUUUUUUCUUUUUUACACAAUGAUAUGCUUGUUUGAAAAUUAGUGUUAUUAUAAGAUUCUCUUUACAAACAUUGAUCAAAUUUAAUUAUAUAUAUAAUGAAAUCACAUUAUUUACUGUUUUUUUAUAUAAAAAAAAAACACCAAAAAGAAAAUGUAUUUUUUUUUUAGUACAAUAGAGUGGAAGAAUUAGAACCGCAUGUUUCUUUAUUAUACUGUAUGUGAAUUGACGUAUGUGAGAUUGGUAAAAAAAAAGUGCAUUAGAAAAAGAGUAAUUCAUACACAAUUUUUAGUAAAUUGUUUCAAAAAAACCAACAAAAUGUAAUUUCUCCUUAAUUUUUGGAGUUGUUGACAAGUCCACGAACACUUUGCUGAAUUGAAUUCAACUUAGUUUUCAAAUAAUUCUAAAAGAGACAUUAGGAUCUAGCUAGGGUUAGUCCUAACAGUACAACCUAAUUAGUAAUUAGCACAUGAAAUCACUCUCUAAAAAUCAAACAAAUCCCGUUAUUUACUUCUUAAACUCCAACUUAAUUCCAAUGUCAACAUAAUUCAAAUAAUUAUAGAAAUAAGGCACUCUCUUGAACCAGAGCUAACCCAUAUAAUUAAAAAUCAUCAAACAAAAAGCUAACACCAUAUAGGUUCAAUAUCAAUACCAUACCAUAAUAUUAGAGGGGAAGCCAUAAGACGGGGAAGAGGAAGUCGACGAUGGUACCGACCCAUAACCUGUUUGCACCCUUGCUAUUUCUUGAUCCUGAAAUAACAUUUCAAACCAAUAAAUAAAGCCCUCCCUCAAAGAAGAAAAAAAAAACAAAAAGUCAACAAAAAAAAAAAAAAAAUUAAAACUGAAUACCGAUCAAGACUGUGGUUAUUACAUUAGUGAAAGUGUAAGAAGUGGGAUGAAAACCAGCAGAAGCAAUUUCACCAUGCAAUCUGAUCUUCUCAAGCUGAGCAACUCCAAGGCCUCUUUGGGGUUGCCUUGGCUGCUUAUCAGAACCACCCUUUUUCCCUCUUCUGGACGACGGUGAUGAGGACGAUGAUGAUCCGCUCCCUCUAUCAUUAUUAUUCCCUAAACUUGGCUCCCCAAAAUAACCACUCCCCAUUAAUAACACAAACUAAUUUAACUCAAAUUCCCAAAAAAAAAACUUCUACCAAAAGGAAGAACAAGAGCAAAAUAUAUAUGUAUAUAUAUAUACACACACAUAUAUAAAGAUAUGCUAAGGAAUCAAGAAGGGAUCUGAAAAAUUGAAGCCUUUAAAGCAGAUUUAAAAAAAAAAAAAAAAGAAUAGUAAUAAUUUUAUUUAAUAAUUAAAAAAAAAAAAAAAAAACGAAUGAUGCAUAGCUGGAUGAGAUUGCGUUAAGAUUUUCAGUGCAUUAAUAAUGUGGUUUAACUUAUAAUAUUAUAUAUUGCUUGCAAACUGCGAGCUCUACAAAAAGAUGAUUAAAUAAUUAAUGAAUUUUGUUUUCAUUUUAAUAAACAUUUUUCCGACUUUCUUGACUCCAACUUGAAAGCGAUUGUCUUAGAUUUUCUCAAUUUUUAAUUACCAUCUUCUCUCUUCCUAUUGGUACGUUAAACUUUCCACAUCUCUCUGUUAGACGACACGUCGUUCUAUAAUCUAAUUCUUUAUAUUUUAACAACAAAUAUUUAUCUUGAUAAUUAAUAUAUGGCCAUGUUUCUUGCUCUCCAUUACUAUAUUAAUGCUCUUAUUUUCCCUAUGUGCCACGUCAUCCUACCAAACAUAUAUAUUCUCCGUAAUAAUUUUUUCAUAUUCCUCUUCUACUAUUUUUUCCCCUUUUCUGAAUUCUCUCUUUCUUUAUUCUUAUUUUUCUAAGUUAAAAAAAUUGUUUCCUAUAUUCAUAGAGUUUUUAUUCUUUUGAAUUCUCCCUUUUAUUUUAUCCUUUUUUUCCUUCAAAAUUAACCAUUUAUUACAAUCAUUUCAUAUGUGUUGUAAAGUUUUGGGUUUUCUUUUCCUUGAAAAAGAUAUUUAGUUUUGUUGAUAGUAAAUUUAAACAUCAUAUGCCAUCAAAAAUUCAAAUAUAAAAUGAAUCAAGAAUAAUUAGUGAAAUUUCUUGUACUAAAUUUUAGCAUCAACAAAUUUGUUCAUUAAAAUGAAUGCAGAUGGUCUUAUAGUUUUUCUUAAAUAGGAAAGAGAAAAUAAAUGUUAUGUUGUUCAAUUUUAGGUAGGUGCAAUACCAAAAGAAACCCUAAUUAGUAAAAAAUUCAGCUUUUUUUUUUUUUUUCCUUUUUUUCUUUCCUCUCUCCAAAGGAGAAAAUAUAUAUAUAUAUAUAUAUAUAUAUAUAUAUUGUUUUUUUACUUCAUAUCUAGUUAUUUUAAAAUAAAUUCACUAAAUGUCAAAAACAAAAAUGAACCUUAAUUAGUAAACUACGCCGAUAACCAAAUGAAAGUUAAAUUCAAAAUAUAAAAAUAAAAAAAUAAAGCAAUGUUCUAUAUAUUUUCAUUACAUGUUAUUAGGGAUUCUAUAUUAAUAAGCAUGCAAUUGUUUGGGCUUUUUAUAAAUAAAAAAAUGAGAAUAAAAGAAGAAGCUAAUAUUUGGUCACUAAUCGCAUAAUUAAAGAACCGAAUUUAUAUUAGACUAUGUGUUGAACACAUGUUUUUAAUGAUAAAGAUGGAAAUAUUUGUAAAUAUUUCUUCAAUUUUUCUUGUCUCUCAUUGUUUUUUUAAUCAACUACACGCGGUCAAUUAUGAAGUUAAUAAUAAUAAUAAACCCCACAACUAAAGAUAAAUAGGAAUAUGAACUUUUUUUUAAAAAAAAAAAAAAAAAGGAUAAAUAUGGAAUAUAAAAUUUGAUUUAAUAUAACAUGAAACUUUAUGAUGGAUAUUAGUAAAAUUAAAUUAGAGUACAAAGACUUUUCUACUUUUAACUUAUUUAUUUUAGUCAACAUUCUUCUAAUUAAUUAAUCAAACAGAUCUAGGAUUCAAUUUAAUAGAUAAUUAUUGGUAACAAGUAUUGAUUACAAAAUAUUUGUUCAGACCCAACUCAAUCUUCACUAUUUUAAUUAUUUGUUUUUAUGACUUGCCAAACAAACCAGUAAAAUAAUUUUCAUAAGAAAUUCAAUUUGUUAAUCAAAAGAAUAACGUUCCAUAAUAAUGAUUCAGAUUAAUUCAUUCUAUCUCAUUACUCAUUUCAGCAAAAAGGAAAAAUCAAAUUGUUACUAUAUAUAGAGAUAUACUCUACACUAAUUAAAUAUUUAUAAACUAAGAAUUAUAACUACUCCUCUUACAAGUAGAUUCUUACCUAAUCAAUAUUUAAGGUAUGAUCAAAACUUAAUUACUUGAUAUCUCAUCAAAUUUAUUUUAGUUUACAUACUUUAUCCACUCUCAAUAAAUCUUAAAUCUAGUAAUUUAAAGUUAAUUAAGUUUUGUUAAAAUGGAUUAAAUAAUAAAAAUAAUCAUUUUCACACCCCAAAAAGAUAUUAUCUAAAUAUAUUUUUACAAUGUCUAUGGCUAUGCAUAUAUAUAUAGAUAUAUAAACAACAAGAAACCAAAUGCAAUGCAGGGAGAGUGAUUUGAAGAUCUUUUGUGACCAUAAUUGGUGUUUGCUUAUACUAUAAUUGGUGCAGCACAAGGCAUGUUAAUUAUCGUGCACUGCUACCCCUUGAGAUAUUAGUUAGUGUGAAAUUAAGGUAAUUCGUAUAAUAGUAAUCUUGCACACUGGAAAGAAGAUAAAUAAUAAACAUUUGGUGGAGAUUUAAACGUACUAUUGUUCCAAGUGUUGGUGAGCAAGAAGUUAAAAAAAGGACCAAAGAAUAAAAAUGGUGGGACUCAUUUUAAAAAUCACAAUCAUUAAAAUUUGAUUAUUAUGAUUAAUUAUGUACAUACAUAAUCAAUUGAUUGUAUGGGGGAGAAAAAACAUAAAAAUGUGGGUCGUCCUAAGUUUUAAGGUUUCAUAUACUUUGAUAAUAUACCAAUUACCAAUUCCCAUUGGUGAAGAAUUAAUAUUUUUUUUUAAAAAAAUAAAAUAAAAAAUAAAAAAGAGUACGUAAUUAACUAAUUGCGUAAAAGAAUGCAUCAAUAAAAGAUUAAAGGAUAAUCCAGCUGUAAGGGUUAGGGUUCUUAAUGAUUAGGGGAACCAAAAUGGUGAACUAAAUGACAAAGAUCCUACAAAUCUGAUUUUGCAGCCCCCGAGGGAUUGUCCUUCUCUUCAUUACCAAUUAUUUUCCACUCUCAAUAAUUUCAUAACAUUUCAAUUUAGGUUCGAAACAAUUUUUUACACACAUAGGGGAGUUUUAUUUAUUUAUUUAUUAUUAUUCUCAUAUACUUUUCUUUUUUUUUUUUGUUAACAUCCAGUUUUUAGUUUUACGGAGAUUUUGAUAAUAUUCAUUCUACUUUUUUUUUUAUUAUUAUUAAGUCAAGUAUAAUAUUAUACAAAAUUAACACUGCUAAUAAGUAUUUUUUUUUGGAUAUGCUCCUUUUAAAUUUGUUAAACUAAAAGUAAGAAUAUGAAAUCUUGCAUUUUAUUGACAUGCAUAUACGCAUGCCCAUCUAAUCAUUACACGGUUAACAUUUGUUGCCACGUGUUUGACACGGUGCGUAGCGGUCGAUAUUUUUGAAAAUGUUAAUUUUAAAAUAAAAACAGAAGUUACCACUAAUCCUUUUUACCUUGUAGUUGGACACCGAAAUAAAGUAAACAAGUUUAAAUAAAAUCUUAAUAAAAAAGAUCUACGAAACUAGAAUUGAGUUCGAGAGUCAUCUGUGUAUAGAAGAUGUUAGCACCACACAACACCCGUUUAGAAAAUAGUGGCAAAUUUCAAGUCUUAAAUUAAAAAUAUUUUUUAAUUUAUUUUAAAACUAAUGUCUUAUUUUAUCUCUCAUCCAAUAAUUAAAACAAUGAUCUCACAAAAUAAGUGGAGAUCAGCAUCCCAUCAAUUAGACUAUACUGAAGAAAACAUUUUCACUUCAAGAAAAUGAGAAAUUAGAUAAGAAAAUAGUACAAUUUCUCAAAAUUAUGAAUAGGCUCCUAAUAAAUAGAUCUUUUUAAAACAUUAAUUAAAUAAUUUUUCUUGGAAUCAAUCUUAAAUUUCCAAAGAUGAGAUCCUUCGCCUCAAGAUUUACGGGGAGCCGAACUCUCAAAUUCCUUGGAUUCCGUUCUAGGAUUUUAUUUUAAACAAACAACAUUAGAAAAGAUUAUUAGAAAAUAUUAUGAAAUCAUACGGUUUAAAGAAUUUUUUUUAUAUAAAAAAGAGAGUUGUGUGAAAGAUUUUUAAACUUAGAAAAAUUUAAAUUAAAAAAAUUUUAAAAUAUUAAAAAGUUUAGUUAGAAAGAUUUAUAAAUUUUAAAUAAAAAUCAACAUCAAUUUUAAUAAAAAAAUUAGAUAAGUAAAAACAAGAGUAAAAGAAACAUUAUAAUAACUUAAACAAACAUAAAAUAGUAUAUUGUGAUUUUAAUAAGAAUAGUAUAUUAUGAUUUAAUAAGAAAAAACAUAAUAUUGGAGUUUGACGGUGGACUUUCAAAGAAUAAUCAACUUUCUCACCUCCACGAUUCUAGAAAAUCAAAUUUUCAAAUUUUCUAAAUUUUAUAAAACAAACACAAACAUUUAAACAAACACAUGUACCAUAAAAAAUGUAAAAUAAACAAUAAUCUAUAAGUAAAAUAAAAUGGAAAGCAAAAUUACUAGAAAAAGAAAGAAGAAAAUAAGAACACGGAAUGAGUAAAAAAAAAAAAAUGAAACAUAAACAAAUAAAUUUAUUAUAAGAGAAAGGAAAGUGGAGAAAUAAGAUAAUAAAUAAAUAAUUGAAAGAGAAUAAAUAAGGAGAAAUAAGAACUUGAAAAAUAAACAAAUGUGGAAAAAAAUAAUAUUAAAUAACACAUAAAAAUGAGAAAAUACUAAAUAAACAAUUAACAAAAUGGUUUGAAGAGAAAAGAAGAAGGAAAUAAAAAAUGCUAAUUAUAAAAAAAAAUAAUAUACAUAUAAAUAAAGAAUAAAGUUUAAGAAUAAAUAAAGAAAGGAAACAAACAACAAUAAUAAAAGAUAAAUUAGAACCAAAUAUGGAGCAAAUAUGUAUAAUAAAAUAAUAUAUAUAUAAAAGAAAAAUAAUAAAGAAAUAAAUGUAAGAGAAAGGAGAAUAGGAAAAUAUAAAGAAGAAUAUCUGAAAAAAAGAGGAAAAAAAUGUUGAAAUCCAAAAUAUUAUAGUCUGUUGUUGUUUGAAAAUGUGGACUAUUGAGAUCUAAACUCUUAUGGCACACCUCCAACUAAGUUAGAGUUUUGGUUGUAGGUUGGGUUGUUAGUAUUAUAUAGAGUUUGUUUUUAGAGAGAUAAAGAUUUAGGGGUUGUUAGGAAGAGAAGACAAAAUGGAGGUUGUAAUCUCUUGUUUUUGAAGAGGGUGAAAACUAAGAGAAGUGGGACUAUGGAGAUCAGAGGUGGGACUAUAUGAAUUUCAAAUAAUACUAUCUUUGAAUUUGAAAUAAUAAAUGAGAUGGAGAAGUAGAAUAUUGAUGAUGAUAUAAUUGAGUAAAAUAUGAUAGUAAUGAAGAUUGAUGUUUAAAGAAAAAAAAAAGAGGAAGAAGAGCAAAUCCAAGAGAUUGAGGUGCUUGUGGUUUUUGAUUAAGUGGGUCAUGGAUAUUGAAUAAUACAUAGUGUGUUAUAUGGGAUAGUUGCUUGUGUGUUGGAAAGUUUUUUUUUCUUUUCUUUUUUUCUUUAAAAAAAAAAAAAAAAAAAAACGAUUUUGGGUUUUCAAAAGGGGGGGGGAGCAUGUGACUUUCACCUUAGGUUCAUCAACCAAAAGUUCAUCCCUUACCUAAUCCUCUCAACUAUGUCAUCUCUUUUCCUUUUUUUUCUUCUUUUUUUAUUAAUCAAAACUUUAACUUCCAACUUAAAAUCACACAAUCAAUAAUUUACUCACCCAACCAAAUCAUUACACCUUUCAAAAAUUUAAAUUAAAAUAAUAAUUGCUAAUCCAAAUUUACUAGAACCAACACAUCAUUAAAUUCGGUUAGUAUACAUUUCAUAUUCUUCCGUCUAUAUAUCUUAGGAAGAAAUCCACAUGUGUAAAAAUUAUUUUAUUUAAUGUAGCAAAAAUACUUUUUGAGUUCAAUUUUCAUUUAUUCAAAAGUUUCAAAAUCUACCUUUUUAAUAAAGUUUCUAAGCUGUAAGAUUGCUUUCAAUUUAGUCAUGCUAACUUAAUUUAGACUUUUAAUUAAACUUUCAUUAUCACUACUCACUUCAAUCUUUGUCAUUCAUGUCACUUGGUUAAUCCUAGAAGGGUGAGUAGUAAAACAAAAUGUUAUUAAAGAAAAAUCAUUUUUAUUUAAACACUCUUCAUAAAAGUUGUUUAAAUACUUUAAAUUUUUGUCUACUUAAACACUUAAAAAUGUAUUACAAACACACACUUAGUGUAAUUUUAAAUUAUAUUUAAUAACGAGAGAAAAACGAAGAUAGCUUAAAUCCUUUUAUAUUUUCAAAUUAAAUUAAUAGACAUUUUUAUAUUAAAGACUGAAAGUGAGGAUUUAAAGAAAAUUGAGGUAGAAAAGGGUUUAGAUCUCAACCUAUAUUACUAACACAAAUCUCUUAAAACAUAUCAACUAAAUUGAAAUCAAACUCAAGCGAAUGGAUUAAAAUACAAACCUUUUAAAAUGUAAGAAACAAAUAUAAAAUAUGAUACAUUAACGUUAUUGGUCAUUCUGUUUCUAUUCUUCCGAUCAAUCCGUCAAAAUUGCUAGUGGUUCAUCCUGGAUUAGCUAUAGAAUAUGUAUAACAUAUUUUAUUCAAUUUUGAUAUCAAUUUCAGCUUUCUUAUAUGUUACUCACGUUAUCAAUCUUAGUCAAUCUUGAUUAAACAUAUUCAAUUUUAAUGGGUACUUUUUUCAAUGAGAUAGUAUAUAAUAUAUAUUAUAUUGCAUAGGAAAAAGUAUAUCUAAUUGUUCUUAGAUUUUGAUUCCAAUAGUCUACAGUCAUUUGUCAUUUCAUUUUUAUAUACAAAAUUUUACAUAUUUAAUCUUUAAAUUUGGAAUUUUGGUAUUUAAAUUAUAAUUUAAUUUUAAUAGAGAUAGAAAACAAUAAAAAAGAAAUUUAGUAAAAAGAAUCAAAAUUAGUAAAAAGUGUAAACUUUGAAAACUAGAAACCAAAUACAAACAAAACACAAAUGCAUACAGAAUGAUUGAACUAUAUAAUAUAAUAUAAUAGUUUCUAUGUUUGAUGAUUAAAUUUUUUUAAAAAGAAAAAGCAGAAGAAAAAUGAACCUAUUAAUAGACUAAUAUUUUGUAACAUAAUUAUUUAUACAGUAUUUUUGUUUAAAUACAUGAAAGACAUGCGAGUGAAACGAUGUAGAUGAAAACAUGGAAGAAAAUCAUUCUAAUAUUAGUAUAUAAUUUAAUUUAACAAUAAAUAUGAUGUAGGAAAACUAUGCCACGUGUCCCAUGUAAGAAUAAAGAAUAUAAUCAUGCAUAAUUUAUUAAUUUAUGUUUGUGAAGGUCAUCACCCGGAAAUAAAAUGAAAAUCCAACAAAUAGGGAGAAAAUGAUAUAUAUAAUUUUUCUUUAUUUAAAAAAUAAUAAUAAUGUGUGUGGGGGAAUAAUUUUAAUAAUCAAAAUUGUUGAUAAAGUAAGGAAGAAAAAACUAAUAAUAAAGAUCAUGUGGAUACGAUUUGAUGACCAUAUAAGAAGAAAUCAAAAUUUAUAAUAAGAAUGAAGAAAAAAGAAAAAAGAAAAAGAAAGACAGAAGGAAGUGGAGGGAUAUCGCUCUAGAUUUGUAGGCACAUGCACACACACACACACACAUCUACAACAUCUCCAAAUCAAAUAUAAAUCCCUUGGGAAUAGUUGUUCUUUUUAUCCUAAUAAUAUUUCAAAAAAAAAAAAACAAAUUUAAAAUUCAAUAUUUACAAUUAUUAUCCACCCAAAUAUCUCUGGAGAUCAACAGAUGGUAUCUACAGUGACCAAAAUAGAAACAUGCAUCCUAGCUAGUAUGCUACUUUGUGAUCACACACGUACUUGAACGUUUAAGUUAAAGAGUGAAAAAGUAUAAAAGCUAGAAAUGUUGAAAGUAGCUAGGAUUCAAAGUGUUUUUUUUGUUGAAACUAUUAAUGAUAUAUUUAUUAUAAAAUGUUGGCCCAAGUUUACUCCAAUGUCUUUUCAAUUCUAGUUUACUUGAUAACUUGAUUGGAUCAUAUGUUGGAUUAUUUGACUCUGAGGCGCGCUAGACACUCUUUGUGUAAAAGUUUAGGCUCCUCAACGACCUAAAGGUCCAACUCUCUUUACCUAUCAUCAUUUCAUGUUUUGAUAUUGAUUUUAUUUUUUCAUUAUUCUAAUUAAUUAUACUUAUCCUUUUUUUUUUUUGUAACAAAUAUUUAUUAGAAGAAAAAAUAUUAUAUUUAUUUAUUUAUGUUUGUUGUAAGUUUAAUUAUAUGAAAAUAAAAUUGGAAGACAGAAACUUUGAAUUAAAAAAAAAAAAAAGAAGAAGAAGAAAAGAAAGAAGAAGGAUAAGAGGAAACAAAACUAUUUAGGAAUGUGAAGAAAUUAAAAAAAAUAUAUAAUAUGGGUAGAUCUACUAAAUCUUAAUUAUUUAGGUUUAAAAUGAUAUAAAAGGUAAGAGUAAAUGAAGUUAAGGGGUUUGGUAUUAAAAUUGAGAUAAGGGGUUGGGACCACUCUAAUAAUAUUAAACCUUGGAAACAACAGAGAAAGAGUGGGUUUAGAUCCAUCUUCUCAUGUGGAAAUACAAAUUUGCAUUAAAAUUCAACAAAUUGCCUUUUUAUUAUUAAUCAACACCAUAUACAAUUGCCUUCAUCAACCUUUAAUUUCAACAUAUUAUUGAUCUAUAUAUAUUAAUUAAAAGAUCUUCUUUAAUUUAUCUCCUUAUAUAUUUUUCUUACAAAUUAAUACAACUCAAAAGAAACCAACAUCCCUCCCUUUUUUUCUUUAAAUACACACUCAAUCAAUAAAUAUAUACACAAGAUUCCAUAACAUCAAAUUCCCCCCCCCCCCCCCAAAAAAAAAAAAAAAAAAAUCUCCUUCUCUCAACUAGAGUUCUAAGUUCUAGCACACACCUAAAGUUAAAAUGUUUCAAUCUACUCAUGACAAUUUGAAACCAAAGGUUAGACAAUUUUCACAAUGUUUGGAGCCAUCACAGUUUUCUUUUAACAUUUCCAUCCCACCACAACUACUCUUCUACUGUUUAUUACAAAAUUAAUCGUACAAAACAGAAAAGAGAUUCAAAUUUAAUUAUAACUAAUAAGUAGAGACAUAACAACGUUGAAACUAUACAUACAGAAUCUUUACUUUAAUCUAUUAAUUAUUUCAAGAGUACAUUAAUUAAAAGGAGUCCCUAAUCAUACAUGAUUAAGGGGUUGAUUCAGCAUUUAUUUAUAACUUGAUUAGAUAUGCUGUUGAUUAUGUUUAUAAUGAGAGAGAGAGAGAGAGAGAGAGAGAGAGAGAGAGAGAGAGAGAGAGAUAAGGGCUGGCUUCAACAUGCAGGAUUCGAUUCCAUAAUAUAACUUUUAAUUUAAAAGAUUAGCUCUAAUUAAUAUAUAAUUAUUGUUUUAUCCUUUAAUUUAAAUAUUGCAACAUGCAAAUUUGUAUAAGCUCUCUCUGCAUGGGGUCUCCAACAAAACAAAAUAUAUUUAAUCUAUCCACCCCUCCCAUUUUGCUCUUCUUCUUUUCCUUUUUUUCUUUUCUUUUUUCUUUCCCUUUUCCCUUUAAUAAAUUAUAUGCAAGCAGCAUUAAACUAUAUUGUUAUCAUUAAUUAAUUGUGAUUAUUUUGUCACAACUUCUUUUUAUAUGUAUAAUUACCAAUAACAACAACUUUUUCAUAAGGAUAGAAUUCUUGUUAUUUUUAUGUAGAGUUGUAUAUUGUCCUAAUUUCUUUAAACAAAUUGUUGCAAUUAAUCAACUAAUUAAGAGAGGGACUGAAACUAAGAGAAAUUGAAAAUUAUGGUUUUAUUUAUUUAUGUAUUCAUUUCUAAUGUUGUUCAUAAUUAGUAUAAGAAUAGAGUUAGGGUACUUACCACACUAAAAUAAAAACUCAGUUGAGUAUAUUUUGGGUCCAAUAUCCUUAUUUCAAUUAUAUAAUGUAUAUUUGUUUUCGUAACCUAUUUACUAAUAUGCAUUCCAAAAUUGAUAAGGAUUGAGUCAAAUUUGAGAAACAACAUAAAUAGUUUCUUGCUAUUUCUAUUUUACCAUUUCCAUAAAUGUUUAAUAUGAUGUUAGAACAAAGGAAGAUUUUAAUUAUCAACUGUAUUAAUAUCAUAUUAACUUAUCAAUUGGUUUCGUAAUCGAUGAAAUAUUCUUUUUGAAUUUAAUAGAUAAUUUAAUAUGAUAUUAGAGAUAAGGAAGAUUUUAUGUUUAAAUUGUAUUUCUAUAUAUAUUCUUAUAUUCAUAAUCAUGUGGUCGAGUUUUGUGGAAGAAAAAUAGUUUUGAACUUUGAAAAGGUUGGAAAGUAAGAAAGUGAUUAUGCAUACAUAUUUUAUAAUUAACAAAUACUUUAUGAUUAGAAUAGAGUUGAAGAUAAGAGAUUGUGAAAUUAUAUAUGUGUCUGUUAACAAUGGGUUGGAUGGUUGUUGUAUGCAUGGAAAAAAGAAAUAAAAUUAAAGUUGUAAUGAUGUGGUGAGAAGGAAAGAAAAGAGCUACACCCUCCGUGUGAUUCAAUUAGGAUGCGGUGAGAAAAGAGCGGUAAUGUAUGAGUCCUCCUUAUAGUGGGAUGCGUCAAAGUUAAGCUCUUGUAUUUUUAGUUAGUACUUCUCGAUAACAUUGUGAGAUUUUACUACGAUACUGGCAUUCUUUCAAAUUUUUUGUUUUUUUCUAUGAUAGCUCCCAUUUUUAAUCUCUGCCUCUUCAGUCUUGCCAAUGCAAUUUCAAUGUGAAUACAUUUGGGGUGGAUAUAUAUAUAUGUAGAAGAUGAAUGAUUAAAUAGGGUUCUGUUGCUGAUUUUGGUGAUCCGUGGUUUCAGCUAUUUUCCGGUGCAAAGGAAAAAAAAUGCAAAUAUUUAUAAAUCCUAUAUACUACUACAUUUUGCCACCUCUUUCAGAAGAGAUUUGUCGAAUUAUUUGUAAUAUACAAAAUAAAACGUAAUGCAUAAUUUUAGAUCUUUUUAAUAUUCUAGUCCAAUGUUUAGAAAAGAGGUUUUAAAGGCUCUCCAAGUAAAAUUAACAAAACUUACAUUUUAAUACAUUCCUUAUUUGCAAUGGUUCAAAGCCUUCUUCACCAAUGUUUGUAUGCAGUAUUGACAUGUAUAAUUAGGUAGGGAUGAUGGACGACUCCAAUAAUCAAAGGCUUAGCAACUAUAUUCCUUUUCUUUGACUGCUUUAAAAACUUGGUUCUUUUUUUCCGUAUAAAGAAGUUAAAUACCUAGAUGAAAAUAAAAGACAAUAUUUGAAGUUAUUGAUUUUGAAGGCAGGGUAAGUAACAACACUUUCAUCAUGUCAUUUGUUCUUUUUUAUUUUUGUAUUAAAAUAGUUGGGUUGAAGAAAAUUUCCAAUGAUGAUGAGGUUGUAUCAUCAUCAUCAUAACCGUCUUUAACUAAAUUAUUGCUCGUAUGGUUUAUAAAUUCUUGAUGAUUUAGGUAAUGGAAAUUAAAGAGUUUGAUUAGUAUUGUAGUUGAUUGAGGUGGAAGGUGCUAACGGCUUCUGAUGAUGGUGUGGCUUAUAUUGACAAACCCUAAGUAUACAAAUUAAAUAAAAGGAAAAGUUUUAAAAGGCUAAAGGCGGUUUUAGACGAGGGAGAAAGGAUGUUAGGGUGUGGAGGCCCAAUCCUUUAAAAGGACCCUCUUCCUCCAGUAGCUCCCUUUUUUUUUUAUUUACAGAAAACGGUCCAAAUCACAAAAUAAUUGAUAACAAAUUCAAAAAUACCAAAAUUUUUAAAAUUUUUUAUUUAUAGCAAAGCCGACUCAUGUAGUCUUCUUUUAGUCGAUUUUACCCUUAUAGAAAAAAAAAUUCUUUUAUCGCAUAUAUGGUGUAUUUGUAUAGAUGGAAAUGAUAUUAUAUAAUCCCGAAUCACAAGUGUAUUUGCAAACAAUCAAUUUUAAAAUAUUAAAUAAAUAAAAGCUUUUGCCCGACAGGGUCUAUGCCAACUGGCGAACAACGUUGGAGACACAUUGUCCGACGUGGUCAAAGCGUCAACAAUGGGUGUCCAUGCCCGACGUGUUCUUUGCGUUGAAAAAGCCUUUUCAUAAAUUUUUUAUAUAUUAUUAUUUAAUUUUUCGCUAUUGGAAUUAGAUUUGAUUUAAAUUCAAUCAAAUUCUAAAAACAAUUAACCUAAAAUUAAUAAAAAAAAAUUAUUAAAAUAUUCAAUCGAAUUUAUAUUAAAAUUAAUUCAGAUUCUCAAAGUACAUGAAUAAUAAAAAGUAAAAAGUACAAACAUAAUUCUAAGUGCCGACAUCAAUCUCCCAAACUUCUUAACAUUUCCUCAAUAUGACUGUAGCUAGUAUGAUCAUAGGGACAUGGGCAUAAUGUGCAAAGAGGGAAGAAGAAAUCAGAACUAGAAUGUCAAAUAGUAGCAGCUAGUAUGAUCAUAAGGACAUGGGCAGAACGUACAAAGAGAAGAGUUGAACAUUAUUACGAGGUACAUCGAAGGAAAUAUGAGGUUGCUUCAAACAAAAAUGACCUUUGUUAUGGUGGUUCCAGAAAAUUGAUUGGGAAGAGAGGAGCAAUAAAUUGAGAACCGAAUAGGUAAGCCAUAAAAAGUUUCCCACUUACAAAUGUGAUUGAUAGUUUGUCGAAAUUAAUGUUCUAAGACUCAUAGUUUGUAAAUUACAUUCAAUAAUAUGAUUAUUGAAUUAUUUAUUAGUGAAAUAAAAUACUAUAAUUUUGAAUCCAAUAAACUAAGGUUGUGGGAGUAUCUCAUAGGCUUGAACUUUAUGUAGAAACAUAAAUGUGAAAACAUAAAUAUAGAUCAAGUUUGAGUUCAUAGCUUAAAUGGUCUUAUAGUAUAUGAAAGAAUGAGAGAUUUAUCGAAGAAUUGGUAGAAGAGAGAAGAAAAAAUGGGUUAAUUUUUCUAAAUAUAACAAAAUAUAGAAAUAUUUACUACUCAUGUAACAAAAUAAAAAGACUCGUGACUUUUUUUAUCAAGUAUAAGUUUGCUCUUGAAUAUUGUAGACAAUUUUUUACUUCUUUCUCUUCUUUUUUUGCUAUGUAUUCAUCUCCUCUUCAAUUAUUAAUUUCUUCAUAUUAUCACUUUUUGUUCUUCAUAUUCUCACUUGUUCUUGAUUGAUUGCAAGUUAAUUUGUUAUUGACGGUUGAGGGUUGAGUAAGGAAGCACAAAUUUUGAGUGAGCAUAUAUCUUUUGUGUGUGAUUAUGUACUUUAUUCUAUUUUGCUCAUAACCAUUAAGAAUGAAGUCGGUGGAAAAUAUGAAUUUAAACCCUAAACCAAUGUGUUGUCUAAUCCUGCUUCAUUCUAGAUUAUUAUAUGAUUUUAUAUUUAUUUGUGUAUUUUGUAGGUUUGAGUGUAUCAAGGGUAGAAAUGGCAGAUAAUGAUAGAAUGGAGCUAGAAUAGGCGGUAACAGUGUCUAAUUGCAUCGACUGACGUCAAAGUGAUGAAGAAUGGACAAAUUAAUCUUUACCUUUCCUUGCACCGUCCUGGUGUCUCACAACACUUUAAGAGAAGAGAAUGCUCUAUUUUGAUGAAAAACACACCGUGUCGCUAAGCUCUAAAAUUGAAAGUGUUAUUAAAACUCAAAUUUCUAGCAUAACAUGACUUCUAUCAAUAUUGCUCAAUCAAAUUUAUAAAUGUUUAUUUUGGUUUUUUCAAUUAGAUGUUGGACUUAAUUAUUAGCAAAUUUGUAAGAUGUUAAAUUGCUUUCCAUCAAACUUAAUUAGUCAAUUAGGCAAUUUGGGACUUUAUCCUAGCUUCUGUAGGUGAGAUGAGUGAGCUGAUUAAUGUAACAAGAAUCAACUAAAGGUGUAGUUGAUUAUGAAUGAAAAGACAGAAGAAACAAUUUAAAAGUCUAAGCUAUAGCUUCAAUUGAUUUGAAUUAUAUCCCAAUUUACUUUUGAUGCACUUUUAUUUUUAUUUAUGACAACUCAAUUUCAAAUCCCUCGUUCCAUUAACCUUGGGCUAUGGGCUAUGAGCUAUUCAUUUAAGAAAGGAAUGUAGUGUGUGUGUGUGUGUGUUUGGUUCCGUCUUGCCACAAGUAGUUCCUUAUGGUUAGUUUGAUAAAUCUUUUGAUUUGGAUUUAAGCCACAAAUCCAUUUCAACAACUCUACCUACACUACUACAAGAAUUUUUUAUUUUUGCAAACACUUUUUUCUCACAACCUACAAACAAAUGUGGGCGAAGAUAAGAUGUGCCGACGUAAUUUCACUGCGUGGGCACAUCAUCGUUUUUGCCGACGAAAAUAUAUACUCGGCAAAAAAGUUGCGUGGUCUUCAGUAUAAUUCUUAAGUUGGAUUUCUACCGACGUUUAUUUUAGUUUAUGGUCACGUAUCAUGGUGGACAUAUAUUUUAAAUAUUUUUUGAUAUCGUUUUCGUCGACGUAAUUUCAUUGUGUGGACACAUCAUCGUUUUUUUUCGAUGAAAAUAUAUACAUGGGCAAAAACUUGUGUGAUCUUAAGGAAAACUCUAACAACCAACUACGAUACCCAAUUUUGACGAUGACCAUCUACAAUUAGCUUCAACAACCACAUUCACUUGGGAAACUCUAACGACCAACUACAACACCCAAUUUUGACGAUGACCACCUCCUACAACUACCUAUAGUUGCUAACUCCGAAGACCACUUCAAACGUCCAUACAAAACUCUGACAAACAAUUACUAGUAUUUAAUAGCCUUCUUUUGUUGUAAUUUGAUAUUUUAAUAGAAACACUCAUGUAUGUUUGGGGUGGGGAUUAAGGGAGAUUAGGAAAAGAGUUUGGGCCCAAACAAGUGCAAAAUUGGGAAUUAGAGUUAAAUAGCCCUACAAAUUUCUCUACUUCAUCUUCUCAUAACCCUAUAAAUUUUUUCCUACUUCAUCUUUUCAUAACUGUGCAAACUUUCCUACUUCAUCUUAUUAUAGUACUACACUCAUAACCCUUCACCUAAACACAUAUUAUCAUAAUACUACAACAAUAAUCCUUCUCACAAAUACAUAUUAUCAUAACACUACUAUUAUAAUUCCUUCUCCAAAACACAUAUUACCAUAACACUACCAAUAAUAACCCUAACCUCAAACAAAUAUAUUAUCAUAACAUUAAUAUUAUUAUUUAUCCUAAGAUUGUCAUUCUCUUUUUCUCCCCUAACACUUUCUCUCCCUCAAACGCACCCAAGUGUAUAACAAAUUAAACAAUUUUUUUUUUAAUAAAAAACAUACUUUAAAAAAAUGUAAUUGAAAAAUAUGAGUGGGGUAGUGAAAAAAUAUUUUAAACAAUCGGAACAUUUUCACAUAUAGUAAAAUAAACUAAAAUAUUUACAAAGUAUAGCAAAAAUUUUGGAUUUUAUCAAUGAUAAACACGAAUAAACUUCUAUUACUAUUUACUACUGUCACUGAUGAUAGAAGCAUAUUGAUAUCUCAUCGAUAGAAUCUAAUAUUUUGAUAUAUUUUGUAAAAAAUUUGUCAUUUUUUACAAUUCUCCUAAACUCUUAAACUUUUAUAAGUGUGUCAAUUUAAACCAUAAACUUACAUGAUUGUAUCAAUUUAAACUCUUUAUUGUAUUUUUUAUUUGAAUAAACUUACGAAAGUUCAAGAUUUAAAUUGAUAUAUUUACGAAAAGUUUGGUGUUUAAAUUGAUACACUAGUAAAAGUUCAGGAUCAAAAUUGAUACAUAAAAUUUUAGAUUGAGAGUUAAAUUGAUAUAAAUCUCAAAAUUCAAGAUUUGAAUUAAUAUAAAUAUUAGUUUAAGGUUUAAAAUGAUAUAAGUGUAUAGUUUAGGAUAAAUUGAUAUUUGCACCCAUUUGUGUAAAAAUAUGUGAAUGAGAUUUUUUAUAACCUGUGUUUCAUAAGCAGAAAAAUUGUGUGCAUAUUUGGGGGAAAAAAGACUAAUAAAAUUCACCUAGAGGAUAAGAUCAUAAGAAAUCACCAAUGGAUCUUUUAAAAUAAUGUUUUAUACAUUUUCAUUAUUCAAUUCAUGUAAUGUAAUAACUAAUUGAGCAAAAAUGUGAAAAUUGUAUAUUACACUCUCAAGUUGAUCCCCAAACUUAAACUUAGGAUAGUUAUAAAAAUUAGACUUUCAAAUCAUAAAACUCAACCCUCAACCUUAUAAAAUCGGUACAAUUUCUAUAAUUUAUAUAAUUUUAAUAAUCUAAUUUUAAUACUUGUAUGAGUUAGUUUUCAAUUAAAAUUGAAAGGUAUAUAAUUGCAAUCACCACCUUACUUUACUGGUGAUUUUUACAAUUUUUCUAAACUUAUUUUAGUAGUGAAAAUUCCUUAUUGAAAAACAUAUAUGAUCCACUUUUUUUUCUUGAAUUCCUUUUGAAUGAUAACCGAGCACAUCAUUUUUUUCUUUUUUCUCUUUUUUUUUGUGUCUUCGUGAUGUUUUCAUAUAUCCUUUACGACUAUCACUUCUAGAUGUACGUUUAUCACUUCUAGAUAUACGUUUCUGUCCAAUAAUAUGAAGGUUUUAAAGAAUUGUUUGCUUUUAGAUCUGUACACUUCCAAAUCUAUAGUUUUCUUACUUUAAUUAUCAUUUAUAUGAACUUUUAGUCAAAUGUCACCUAUUUUGUUAAUGCUAAAUAACCUUGAUACGUUCCAAAAUUUACCAAAUGGACAGUGAUAAAUGUAAUUAAAAUCUAAUAAUUUUUUAAAAAAUUAUUGAAACAGUUUUUUUUUUUUUUUUUAUAUAAUUUCUAUUUACAAAAUGUGAUAUUUAAGGUUCUAAUAUUUAAAAUGAUUUCAAGGGUUUCUUGACAUCAUAUAGUAUGGAUCGUAUCAUUUUAUUGAAUGGUGUGGAAAAGAAAAUGUAUCAACUACUUGUACUAUUUUCUUUUUUUAACAUGAACAUUCUUUUGCAAGGAACUGCGGGUGGGAGACAAGUCAUACUACUCCGUACAAAUUCAAUGUUGAACCAUUGUUACAUGAUGGGCUACUUCAUGAAUUUAAAGAUGAAUGUCAUUGAACGACUACGCUCAUGAAUUUGGAUGGCGUGGACUCGAAUUGGACGCUACCACCAUCAUGUGAUGAAAUUUGGAUUGUAACUUAAUCAUUUGUAUUUUUUUGCGUAUGUUUGGUACACUUCAAAUUGACCAAAUGUGCAAAUAAUAAACAUAACUUUAAAAUCCUUUACCCCAUUUUGUUUAUAAAUUUGGUGGAGCAAAUGCUUUUAUUUUCAAUUGCAUACAUACAAUAUUUAAGAUAUUCAUCAACUAUAAUAAUCAAUCAAACGUCUUUUUAGUUGUAUAAAAGUUUGUGUUUGUUUUUAGAAAUAGUUCAAGGAAUUCAAAAGUUUUAUGGAAGAUGUAUGGAAUAGCGGGAAAAUACACCAUUUUAAAUAAUCUAUUAAAAAAACUAGAACAAAAAAGGUUACCUAAUCCUUAGUUUUUUUUUUUUUAUAGAAAAAUGUUUUACUUAAAAUUCUAAGUGUUCUUUUUAGAAAAUAUAAGAGGUAGGGUAAAUGAAAUUUAAGAAAACAAUCAUAACUUGGGAAAAAGAAAACUCAAAAUAAAUUAUGAUACAUGAUUUAAAGUUUUACUUUUGUAUCUAACGAUUAGAUUGGUGAAUUUGUUUAAAAAUAAAUAAAUAAAUAAAUAUAUAUAUAUAUAUAUAUAUAUAUAUAUAUAUAUAUAUAUAUAAUAUAUAUAUAAUUAAAUUUAAAAUAUUAAAAUUGAAAGAUUAAAUUUGGAAUUUAAAAAGUUGAGAGAGUGUUAGAGUAAUGAGAAUUGAAUUGGCUUCGUUUUGGGUCAUCGAAGAAGUGGGCUUCAACGAUGUGUUGAAUUUCGAUUUGACGAUUGAUCCAAUCUUGCAAUCCAAACAGCCAUGGAAUGAACCCAAUUGAGUCCGAGAAAAAUGAAGCAUACACUCGCAGCAAGACAACAAUCAACAAUGUCAUGAGAUAAGGAUUUAAAGCCCCACCUUUCAUUUCCCUCUCCUCUCCUCUCGUCCUUCCUUACCAUCAUGGAAUAGCUUCUUAUCACUGACUGUCUCCCAUUCUUUUUUUCUCUUUCUAUGUUUCUCCCCCUUUCCAACUUUCCCAAGGGACAAAUUUUUUGUGCUGUUCUUUCUCAGGUACACAAUUCUUCCCUCUACUUAAAUGGGUCACUGUUCUUUCUCCCUUCUUUGCUUCUCUUUCAUGGUCUUCUCAAUUCUCUUUAGCUUCUAGUUUAGUUUCUUUCUCAUUCAUACACAUAGUUACUUGAUUUUUUUAUGCAUGUUCUUCUUGUUUCUGGUUGGUUGGUUAUGAGUUAUGACAAUUGAGUUGGUCGCAGACACUGAAUUGGUUUUAGGAAUUUGUAUUCCAAUGGUGAUGGAAGUUUCUGUUGGGAACUUUUUGGUUUUUGAACGUGCAAAUAGUUUUAUCUGCUCCAAAAUGUUUGGAAUUCACUAGUUUAAUCAAGUUUAAACUGAAUUGUUCAAGGUCAUCGUUCUUGGAUUGGAUGUCUAAAAUGUCUCUGUGAACCUCUUUUGGUCAUUCAUAAGGAUAAUCAUGUUAGACUGUCUUGGGAGAGCUUUAAUCAGCCAAUUCGUAAAGCUGAUAUCAUUUUUAAUUUUAAGCUAGGAAGGCAUUAUGUUAUGAAAUAAAUUAUUGAUUUAGGCUACUUGCAUGACUGUAGGUUUAGGUUAGAUGUUGAGCAUUUGUAUAUGUUCUUAUGGCUCUGUAAAAUUUGAUCUGGGUUGCCUUCACUAGUUUCGAAGUUUGAUGUCUAACUCUGUUGAUUUCAUUGGUUUCUUUCUUAGUUUAAUCAGUAUUAAGACAUGUGUUCUUUCUCUCAUGGUUAUGCUAUCAUGGAGAAUUGUCCUGUAUAAUUUGUGAUGUUGUCAAUGACUAUUGCAGGGAGAAGCAAGGAUGAAGAACUAACAACGAGGAAGAGACCUUUCUCCCUCAGCCGAAACUUUUUACGCUGCAUACACAUUAACUUUCUUGACUUAAUACGAUGUCGGUAAUAAGUCCAUCUUCUAUCAGCAAUGUUUCACUUGUUCCUAUAGCCAACCAUACGGGGAAAACCAAUAGUUCAACAAGAUUCAGCUUUUCUAGAAAGCCCACUAAACAUACAUUUCAUAACCAAAGAUUUCUUUUACCCCUAUCAACGUCGGUUAGGCUGUUUCCAAAUUGCACUAAAAACCUUUUUUGUAGUCAUGGCCGUAGAAUUAGAAUAUUUUCUGCUACAGGAACUGAUGUGGCAGUGGAGGAGUCAGAUUCACCGGUUUCUGGUGAAGAAUCAACUCAAAACUCAGAACUUACGUCAGGUGCAAUCUCAACAAAUGAAGAAACCCCUGUUAAGUCAGAUGUGGCUCCUACACAAACAAAACGUUCCAGACCUGUGAGGAAGAGCGAAAUGCCGGCUGUAAAUAAUGAGGAACUUAUUCCUGGUGCAACUUUUACUGGAAAAGUAAGAUCAAUUCAACCAUUUGGUGCCUUUGUUGAUUUUGGAGCGUUCACUGAUGGCUUAGUACAUGUAUCAAGGUUGAGUGAUAGCUAUGUUAAGGAUGUUGCAAGUGUUGUUUCUGUCGGGCAAGAGGUGAAAGUAAGAUUGAUUGAAGCAAAUGCUGAGGCUGGACGAAUUUCUCUCUCAAUGCGUGAAAAUGAUGAAAGGAAGGAAUCUCCAGCUAGCAACGAUAAACCUGGGUCUAGCAGAAAGAGCGCUCCAAAAGCAAGAGGACCAAGGAGAGAUGAGGUGAAGAAAAGCUCAAAUUUUGUCAAGGGGCAAGAUUUACAGGGCACAGUGAAAAAUAUUACCCGGUCCGGUGCUUUCAUAUCUCUUCCUGAGGGAGAGGAAGGAUUCCUUCCCAGUUCGGAGGAAACCUUUGAAGGAUUUGGGAAUCUGAUGGGAGGCUCUACAUUAGAAAUUGGCCAAGAGGUUAAUGUUAGGGUGUUGCGGAUUGCAAGGGGACGGGUGACUUUGACCAUGAAAAAAGAUGAAGACAAUGACAAGUCAGACUCUCAGUUCAUUCAAGGGAAAGUUUAUGCAGCAACAAACCCCUUCUUGUUAGCAUUUCGUAAGAACAACGAUAUUGCCACAUUUUUAGAUGAGAGGGAGAGUAUAGAGGAAGCAGCUAACAAAUCUGUUGUACAGAAAGUUACGGAAAUAGUGGAAGGGAUAGUCGAUGCAGAUCAGAUCGAAGCUGAUGACAAGGUGGAGAAAAGUGUGCCUCCUGCUGUCGAUGAGGCAGUUAAAGAAGAUGAGCCUGAAAGGUCAGCUGAUUCAUCUGCUGUGGCUCAAGACGACUCGAAGAGCAUCCUAUCUACUUCAGAAGGCGUUGUGGAUGGCGUCGUUGAUGCAGAGAAUAAAGAAGCAGAGGGAAAUUCUGAAAUCAAGGCUUCUGAUGACAACCAAUUACCAAAUGACCUAGCAGUUGACAAGUCUGAAGUGUUAGAUGACUCAUCUUCUGAUGUUUUGGUUACUCAAGAUGAAGGAGAAAGCACAUUAUCUACUUCAGAUAAUAUUGUGGAUGCUGUAACUGAUACUACUGAGAAAAAAGCAGGGGAAAGUUCUGAAGUUAAGCAGUCGGAAGACGAGCAAUCUGAAGAGGUCCGGGUAGUUGAGGCUGCUCAACCUAUAGAUGGACCUGAGACUGAUGGACAAGUAGCUGUCCCUGAUGAUGAAGCCAACAAACUAGUGUCUUCAGAAAGUUCAGUUAGUGAAGAGCUUGUGGCUGGUGAAGACAGUGUUGCUGCGGAGAAAGAAAGUGAGCAAAGCCGAAAGGAUUUGGAAAAUGAGAUUGUUUCUGCUUCUUCAUCUGAAAAGGAAGAGGACAAACCAGAAUCUGAUUCAAAUGGUAGCAUCACGAGUUUAGGUAUAGUUAUAGAAUCGUGUUGAAAGUUUCACCAUGUUACUUUUUAACUACUCAUUCAUGCCAAUGGAUAUUUAAUUUUGGAUUUAGCGCUAGAACUGAAAAUUGUUGUGCCAGUAUAAUCAAACUUGUUUGGGCAAUUUUCCUUGGCCUAUUGUUAGAAUAUGUCAUUGGCUAAGAUGAAACAUGAGGAUGAGGUUUUUUGGAAAUGAGUGAAUAAUUCGUAGAAUAAUGAAUUCUCGUUGACAACUUAUUUUAAUGAAUAACAUCAUAUGUAUAUGGCUAACUUUAACAGUAUCAGGUACACAGUAUGGACUACUAGUUCUUGUUUAUAAAUUAUAUGCUAACUAGGACUCGGUUUGAUAAUCCUUUUUUUCUUUUUAGUUUUUGAAAAUUAAGUUUUUAAACACCACCUUCACUUAUUGAUUUAGUUAUUUUGUUAUCUACUUUUUUGGAGGGUUUUCAAAAUCCAAAUGUUUUGAAAACUAAGUAUAACAGUUUUUAAAAAUUUCUUUUUGUUUUUGGAAUUUUGCUAAGAAUUCAAAUGAAAUUUGUAACCCAUGGUAAAUAAAUUGAGAAAAAACAAGCACAAUUUUCAAAAACAAAAAACCACAUGAAUAUGAAUCGGGACCUAAAUGAUUAAUUUCCCACAAGCUGUUUUAGUUUGACAUCAAAGAUCUGAAUGUUUAUCCCUGAAGCAUUCACCCUUUUAUGGUGUUGGAAUAGCAAGUGGAUGAAAUUGUAAUCUUUCUGAAGAUUCAACUGAGGAUUAAAUCCAAUCUUCUGUAGGUCAAUCUGGUGAAGAAGUUGCUGAGAGUCAAGUUGAUAUUGAGUCACCUGCUGAAAACCCUGAAGUUGUUUCCUCUGCACCAGUUAUAGAAGAAAAGAUAGCAACCGCUCCUGAGAGGAGUGCUGACCCUCCAGAAGAAGUUGCACCAAAAGGUUAUUUGUGUUUCAUUUAGAUUUUUUCUCCCAAAAAUCAUCACUUAGACUUGGCUUCAAAGUGCAAGAAACUAGCCUUGAUGUUUAUGCAUAUACUUUCGUCACCAUUUAGCAUAUUUUUAUGUUUUUAAGGUCAUUUGCUUCCUUCUGGGCAGUAAUUAUAUUAUAUAUUUGAAAUAUUCACUUUUUCGUUCAAGAAACAUGCUUUCUUUUACUUAGUGGUCACUUGUUGCUCUCUUUAACAACUAUAAAAUAAAAAAGAAUUUGAUUCCAAGUUUUAGGAUUGUUCAAUGUAUACGUUAGAUAAGUUGAUGCUCAAAAUUUGUACAAGUACAGUCAUAAAUCCACAAUGAAAAAGGGAAAAUACCUUGUAUGAUUCUCAAUAACUGGCAGUGCAACUGAAUGUUUUCACUUGAUCUCCCGUGUUGGCUUUACUUGAUAUUGGUGAUCUUCCCCACCAGCAAAUGGCUUUAUUUAAUUUUUUGAAUGUCUAAUGUGUUUCAGCUGCGAUAUCACCGGCUUUGGUAAAGCAGCUUCGUGACGACACAGGAGCAGGAAUGAUGGAUUGCAAAAAAGCUCUGGCGGAGAGUGGAGGCGACAUUGCUAAAGCUCAGGAGUUCCUCAGAAAGAAAGGCUUAGCAAGCGCAGAAAAGAAAGCUAGUAGAGCCACAGCUGAAGGAAGAAUAGGUUCCUAUAUUCAUGACGGUAGAAUCGGAGUCCUAAUAGAAGUGAACUGUGAAACCGAUUUUGUCUCAAGAGGGGAUAUCUUCAAGGAGUUGGUUGAUGAUUUAGCAAUGCAAGUUGCUGCAUGCCCUCAAGUACAAUAUGUGGUGACUGAAGAUGUUCCAGAAGAGAUCGUGAACAAAGAAAGAGAGGUCGAGAUGCAGAAGGAAGAUCUUUUGUCUAAACCCGAACAGAUCAGGUCAAGAAUUGUUGAAGGGAGGAUAGGGAAGAGGCUUGAAGAGUUGGCAUUGCUUGAACAACCAUAUAUCAAGAAUGAUAAAAUAGUGUUAAAAGAUUGGGUUAAACAAACUAUUGCAACCAUUGGAGAAAAUAUGAAGGUGAAAAGAUUUGUGAGAUACAAUCUUGGAGAAGGCUUGGAGAAGAAAAGCCAAGAUUUUGCUGCUGAGGUAGCAGCACAGACAGCAGCUAAACCUGCUGCAGCUCCAGCAGUAAAAGAGGAGCAGCCGAGUGUAGAGGAAGCGAAGGAAACUGCUCCCAAGUAAGUGACCUCUUAAUUUAUUUCUUGCCAUCAGCUUUUCUGUUAUAUUUCAUUGAUGGUUUUGUUUCCUAAUGUAGUUCUUCGGGUAAGACUUUUUUCAUCUGUGCUGUACACAAAAUAAGUUGGCUUUGUCUCUUAUUCAUUAUAUUAUAAUCUCCUUUGUCUCUUAUUCAUUGGUAAAAAAUGAAGACAGGUGCUAAGACUUACUCUCUUUCAAAUGAUACUAAAAUUGAUGACGUAAUGGCAGGGCUGCAGCUGUUGCUGUUCCCGCUGCACUUGUUAAAAAACUCCGAGAAGAGACCGGAGCAGGGAUGAUGGACUGUAAGAAAGCCCUUUCUGAAACUGGUGGGGAUUUAGAGAAGGCACAAGAGUAUCUAAGAAAGAAAGGGCUUUCAAGUGCGGAUAAGAAAUCUAGCCGUCUGGCUGCUGAAGGAAGAAUUGGAUCCUAUAUUCACGACUCCCGUAUCGGUGUUCUAAUUGAAGUGAACUGUGAAACUGACUUUGUGGGGAGAAACGGAAGAUUCAAAGAGUUGGUCGAUGACCUUGCGAUGCAGGUCGUGGCAUGCCCGGACGUGCGGUAUGUGUCAAUAGAGGACAUUCCGGAAAGCAUUGUAAAAAAAGAAAGAGAGAUGGAGUUGCAGAGGGAGGACCUUCAGAAUAAACCAGAGAACAUUAGGGAGAAAAUCGUUGAUGGGCGGAUUUCCAAGAGGCUUGGAGAACUUGUGCUUUUAGAACAACCUUUCAUUAAGGAUGAUAGUAUUUUGGUCAAGGAUUUGGUUAAGCAAACUGUAGCUUCUCUUGGUGAGAACAUAAAAGUUCGUAGAUUUGUUCGCUUCACCAUUGGCGAGACAGUCGCAGAUGCGAAUGAGAAAACCAAAGCAUGAACGGAGGAAAACAGAAUACAGAGGCAUUGAGAACAAAGUUAGAUAUGGGAUCAUGGUAGCAGACAGAAGAAUGUGAAGCCAAGGUGAAAGUGUUUCUGUGGAGAAACUUAAAUAUUAAUUUUCCUCUCUUUUUUGGUAGUGAAGAGUUGAGUUUUACUGAAAAGCUGCAUGAAGCAUUUUGUUCUGAGAGAUUAUAAAAGCUUCUUCAUUCGUAUUAUUCUCUGCAUUUUGGCUCAUUCAUGUAUUAAUCUGUCGAGGCAUUUCUGAAUUGUCAUAUUCAUUAAUUUCAUAUCAUAUGAAUUGUUUGAUAGUUUGAACUUGUAAGGUUUAUUAGGUUACAAAUUUCCAGUUCAGAAAAAAUAUGGCAAUUUCUAGAAUCAGGAGUUUGUUUCACCUAAGAGAAAUUAUGAGACUGCCAACCAUGAAUGAAACUAAAAUUUGAUGACUAUUUUGUGAUCUAAAUAUCAACUAUUUUUUUUCAAUUCACAUUAAAUUAUUUGAAAGGUUUUAUAAUUUAUGGUGAAGGUGGAGAAUGUGGUUUGGUCGAUGAUGAAUUCAACCACGAAAGCACAAUAAAUUCCUGUAACUAUUUACUCGUAACUUUUUCACACUCAACCUUUCAUCUUCUGUUUUUCACACUCAUGAUCUCUUCUUGCUCACACCAUCUUACUACGUUAUGUGGUUAAUCGUUUAUGAAUUAGAAAGGACUCGAGGGUGUCGAGAUAAGCAUUUAGAGGUGAGAGAAAAAGCCCAAUUGAGAGAGUGAGGAAGCAAGAGCAAUAGAGGCGAAGAUAUCAUUUUCAUGCAAAAUUAUAUCAUUUUUCAAGAUUUUCAAAAUAGGAGAGAAAACUGAGGGACUUGUGAAUGAGUUUUUUUUUUUUUCCUUUUGUAUGGUAUGAUAUUAAUAAUAAGAGAAAUUAUAGUGGAUGACAAUUUGAGAUCUGGGAUUUACAAACUUGUCUAACACACUUUCUAAUUUGUAGAUAUAACAAUAAAUGAGUCAAACCUUGUUGUUGCAAUUCAUUAUGUAUCUCAAGUCUCGGUCCUUUCGCCAAACAAUUCAUCGUACUAAUCAGAACACCAAAUAGAUCGUUCCUCGAACAUAAGCUACAAAACAGAAAACAAGUUAAUAGAGCUAGUGGGGAAACAUAAUGGACCUAUAGAUCAUGGGCUCCAACGAUCUGAGAUUAACUGGCUAAACUCUUUAGACUGAGUUAAUCAAUCUUCGUUAACUAACGGGUCAUUCCACUAGAGUCAUGUAGUUGCACUUCCCUCACUAUAGAUAUAUUUGUGUCCAUGUGAUAUGACCAUGAUAAGUAAGUUAAUCUUUCACAGGUUGUUCAUAAUCUCGACUGGGUCAAAGUACCAUUUUACCCCCGAGAUUAUAUCUUUUCUCCUUAAGUUCCACUGAUCCACUAUUGAACAAUUGGUUUAAGGUCCAACCUUUAAACCGAAUCCCUCUCGGGCCAAUGAGAGAGUGGGGCCCCUUGUUCAAGACCUGAUUUCAGUCCUUAAGAGAACAACCUAUCUACUAACCCUAGAGUGGGUAGGAGUGAAUUCCAUCUUGCACCCUAUGUCCCUAGCUAUCCACUCGAUCUUUCCUUGAAAUGGGAGGCUUAUUAGGCCAGCGCCAUUGAGCUGUCCUCACUUAUGGAGAUCUAAGGAUAAUUUCGUGUGAACAAAAGUUCAUAGUUAGCUUAGGAUUAAGAUCAAAUUACAUUGGACAUCUAUAAACGAAAUAGUCAAUUUUACAAAGUUAAUGGUAUUCUAACUUAAAAGUGACUAUCUCAUGGUUCCAGUCUUAUGUAAACUAUUUACAUAGGAUGCCCCCACUUCCAUGUCUCUACAUGAACGAUUUAGGAUCACAUCGUUUGUACUAACUACAAAGUAGGCCACAUCAAUAGUAUCUCCCGAAUAAGGCGCCCAACCGUAUUCGUAUAAUAUAGACUAUUUAGGCUAUUUACUCGAACUUGAUCCACAUUUAUGUCUCUACAUAAAGUUCAAGUUUACAUUACAAUAGUCUUGGGACCUUAGUUUAUUGGCUUUAAGAUUAUAGUAUUAAUAACGACUUAUUGAAUAGAAUAUGAUUACAAACUACGAGUUUUAGGAUAUAAAUUCCAACACUAAUAUGGCGGGAGGAAAAUGUACAUUGGCAGCUUAAAUUGUGUAAUGACUAUCCAUCGAAACAAGGAGGAAGAACAUUGCCUCAAGACACAACCACCAAGAAAUGAGAAUGAUGAAGAGAUUGAUACUUAUCCACCACUCUUGUUGCUCAAAAGGAAACCAACAACCACACAAGUAGUGGUUGAUCUAACAAAAGAAUACCAACUCAACAAGGAACCAUCACAAAAGAAAAGAAGAAAACUAACUACUAAGUGGAUGCUUGUGGCAGACUCCCCCAUCGAAUCUCCUCACCAAGAUGGCUCUGUACCCUCCACCUCUUUACCAACUGAACAACUCUCAUCUCUCCCUCGCGAAGACAACGAAGAUCCUUUCCUACUUCCAAUUGAAGACGUUUUUUAUCCACCUCCACCAAUUGACCCCUUCUCGCCUAAAUCGCCCAUCUCCUAGAGUCAGCGCAACCCUCCCUUGAUUGUAACUUCUAAAGUCCACCUCCCUCAUCCCUCACCUACCAUGGGCUCCUCGCUUGUUCACACCCCUUCUCCAUCUCAGUCUCAUCAUAGCCAAUCUCUCUCUUCCAAUUUCCAAACUUCCUGAGGCUCUCCCUCAUGACGAUCUUUUGUGAUGCCUAGCCAUGCAUUCAUUAACCCGCCCAUCAUCAAUCUGGACCCUGAGCAUAUUGACUUGAACGUCCCUAUUGUGAACUUGACUGAAGAGGGGAUGCUUCAAAAGAUUAGACGGUAGACGACGAAGUUGAAAUAGUUGACCCUAAAUUUCCUCUUAUUGUUUAUGACUCACACUUCCAAGACAUCCAUGUUGAGCAAGAUGCAAACUAGAAAAAUUUGAAGGAAGACACACAAAUGGAACAUGAAGCCCCUACGAAGAUAGCAGUUGAGCUUCAGGAUGUACUCUACAAUGUGAUUGUAGAGCCAAUGAACGUGGCCUUUUAAGAUGUGUUCCAGAAGAAUGUGGCGAUGAAGGACCAAAUCGCCAGCCUUAAAACCCACAUGUAAGUCUUAGAAGCUACAAUCUCCACCAUCAACUCCACGGUUGCACAACUAUCCUCUGUGCUGACCAAUCUCACUAGUUUGAUGAUAGAUCACUCCAACAAGUCGCGUAAAAUUUUGGAGCGACAUGAUAGGCAAUUUGCAAAACAAAUGGAGUAUAUGCAUGGGAUGUUCGUACAACAUGUUCCCCAGCCUAUCAUCGCACCAGAAUUGACCCUGAUCCUCACCUAGAGAAUUAAUAUUUUGGGUAUAAUGUUGAAAUUUUUUUGUAUUUCGUCUUUUAUAUUUCUAUGUUCUUUUGUAUCAACUUUUUGCAAUUCGUAAUGAAACCUCUACUCAGUCUAUGUUUAUUCAAUUUUCAUGCGAUGUACUUUUCUUGACGCAUGCUUCAUUACUUUGUUCUUUGCUUGCUUUCUUUUGUUUUGUGCAAGGAUAACCUUUAUGAUGAAAAUUCUGCCAAGUAUAAUUUAACUUGUAAAUAGUUCUUUAAGUCUUUAGGCGAGCAAGUUUUACCUCAAACCUCUUUUGUAAAUUUUUCAACGAUCAUCUUAUCAUUCACUUUUUUCCAAUGAGGACCUUGCGAGACUCUAAAUUUGGGGGUGUACAUGGUCCGAGUCAAAGCUUUUGAAAAAUCAAGGAAUCCAUUCCUUUUCCAAAAAAUAAAUAAAAAAUAAAAAAUAAAAAAAUAAAAAUAAAAAUAGAGAGAGAAACAAACCAAAUAAAACUAACACAUUUGUUGAUUCUAAAUUUAAUUCAAAUAAGAACUCCUAUGUUGCCACAUCUCACAAAAAGUAAAUAAGAAGCAAAUCUUCAUUAAACGCUGAAAGUAAAUAAAUAAGUAGCGAUAAGAGUUAUAGUUGAGAAGAGAAACGGACUCCUAGAGUACCUAUGAUUUUCCACUCAAUGUCUAAUGUAAAUAAAUAAUUUUAUUAAUAAAAGUUUUGCAAGAAAAAGAAACGAAUUGAGAAUUUUUUAAAACAUAGACCAUUUCACAAAAAGAGGAAAUAAGACUUUCUAAAAACGAACAAGGAUAUUUUGAGACAUAAGCUUGUCGCAUUUAGAAUCUAGAAAUAUUUUCAAGUUUAGAGUAGGCGAAAAAAAGAAGAAAUGCCAAAGUACGAGAUGAAUUAGAAAAACAUUAUGAAAGGAUUAGCGAUAGGCACAAAAGAAGUCAUGUUUAGAAUCUUGAGUUGAUGCUUGAGGACAAACAUUAUUUUAAAUUUGAGGGUGUGAUAACUUCCAGAAAUACAAGUUAUUAUAGCCUUUUAUGUAAAAUAAUGAAGUCUUAUUGCAUGAAAAUAGAAGAAAACAAAGAAAAAAGUAGGCGAUUUGAUUAUUCCACGAAUGCGUGAUAUACAAUAACCUUAUCCCUAUUUUACUAUUCUUUAGUGCUCUUAUCGCAGGACUUUAGACAAAAAGGAGUGAAGCUCAGUAAUAUCAUACCUAUACAAGAAGACUCAUUCAACCUUUGAGGUGAAAAGGAAUUCAAGCUAGGCGAUUAAGGUACUAGCAAACAAAAAGUAGUUGGCGGGAAUUCAGAGAAAGGACAAAAGGAUGUAUGUGUAGCGCCGCUGCAGGUUUUCAGAAGUUUUAAUGGCAAGUGAUGUCUUGUCAACAUCAAAUCUCGCCUUUAAAUAGGGCCUCUUACUCUAGAAUUCAGUGUGAACACAUUUGGUCGGAGAGCAAGUUCCUAUGUCAUCUAUCUUCUCCCUUCCCUUGAGUUUUAGGUGAGAGCUUAAAACAAGAGAGAGAGAUUCAUCACCUCCAUCUUUCCUCUCAUCUAUAGGAAAAAAUCAAAGCCAAAGAGUAUGAGAAAUCAGACUCUGCGACGUAACAUCUCUAUUGUAUUCCAGUUUGUAAUUUUUAUUGUAUUGUUUUGUAAGAUAAACAUUAUGGUCGAGAGGUCUAAAUUUAACUUUAUUGAAGCAAUGCAUUUAUUUUUCAUUCUCCCAUAUCUCUAGUCUUUUCCAUGUUCUAUCUAUUUGAUUAGCUAGGUAGUGAUAAUCUGUGUUUUGUUGUGAUAAUCUGUGUUUUGUUACUUAGAGAAUCAGAAUGGAUGUCUUAGAAGUUUUACUAAGUUAAACACGAAUAUCUUAACAUUGUGCAUUCGAGAGAAGAGCAAUGAUAUAGAUUGUAAUCACUUGACAAGUGAGAACCGCAUUUGGUUAAGCGAGUGGUGAAAAGAUUGUAGUAAUACAAUCUUAUCGACAAACUCAUCCUUUGUAACAAAACUAGGAGGAUUUUGUGUGUGUGGCGAAUGUGCUGAGAGGUUGCUCGCCUUAAUUAAGGAUAAGUUGCUAAUAAAACAUUCAAGAUGAUCAGACACAAACCAUAACUUAACUUUGUAUAUUUACAUCCCGAGUGGUGAGCAAGUAUGGCACAAUCGCUCAGAGGUUGCUAGCCCUAAGUCUUAGUUAAUAUAUGACUUGUAUCACCUUGAAGUAUUAAAACACGAAUUAUUGCGUUUAAAUGAUUAAACUCUUCCUCACUCGACAUGCUUAUACUAAGUCCAUAUCUCAUCUUUCCAUUUCAUCCAUGCUCACCUUGCACCACCAAGCAUAGUAGUGUAAAUAGUUAGGAUAAAUAGCAUAUUGUUCAUAAUUAUACUGUAUAGAUUAUACCGCAUUACUUAUUACGCGAUAAGAUAGGUAGGAGCUUAAACUCCCUAUGUUUGAUCCUAGACUUACCAGGAAACCUCCACUUAUACUUGGACAAUAGAGAGGAAAACUUGCGCGAUAAUGUUUCUUUCUAUCAGUUUAGCAACACCUGAAUAGGAGUGCACCUUUUAUCGCAUUGUCCUAUUUAAUCAUCAAGUAGUCACUCACGCAAAGCCUUUCAUGCUCAAUCUCCAAACAUAAUACUUGUAGAGUAUAAUGCAUAAUUGAGAACCAAGCACCAACGCGCUGUAAUCUCAUCACCGUCGACGUUCGAGAUUUGCACGCCAUCCACUCAGACAAAGACGGUCCUUAUCGUCUGUCACCUGUCGUCUAUUGAAGUCGAAGCUUGUUGUCUUCAGUCGUUACGUUCUUGACCCAAGUUGAACGACGUAUCAUCUUAUUGUUCCAUGCCGACAUGGUCCUCUUUGUCUCAAGCUCCCAUCGACCUUCAAGUCGUUCCUAGCUCUGUUGGAUCGUAGCUUCUCUAUUUCACUCUCUGGUAGAGCCCAUCCAUUUUACACGACUAGAUUUGAGUUGUUUUGUCUCCGACCAAGCCGAAUCUGAGUCAUGCGUGCUGCUUCUCCUUUUCCAACCCGGCCACACUCAUUUCUUCUUUGCAUGUCGUCUUUUGGCUCGUGCACUGUCGUUAAGGUUUGUGGUAAUUGGUAAGGGUUUGAAGGUUUGAAAGAGCGGAAGAUAGGGUUUUGAGGGGAAAUUAUAAUUUUUAUAGGUGUCAAUUGUGUAUUGGGGUUUGAUUCUUCCAAAUAUAAACGAUCAUAUACAAAAUCUAAACAACCAUUUUUCAAAUAUAACGAUCGUGUACCAAAAAAUUAUGAAAACAAUCGUUCAUAUUUGGCUACCCAAAUUGAAACGAUCAAAUCUAAAUAAUCGUUUUCCAAAAAUAAACGACCAUGUUCCACAAAAUUAUGAAAAAAAAUCAUUUAGAUUUGGCUACCCAAAUCUAAAUAAUCGUGCAGGAAAGAACAGGCUCUAAACGGUCGUUUUUCAAAUAUAUUACGUGUGUUGAAUGUCAAUUAAUCGCAGAGUAUUUUUGGUAUUUUCUAUUGUAGACCUGUGGACUUUUUCCUUUUUCGAAACUAUUCUAUUACGGUGUAAAUAUUUUGCCGCUUUGUUAUAUUUUUUAAAAGACCUUUAGAAGUUUUGUCAUUAUUUUUUGAAAAGAAAGAAGAAAAAAAACUAUACAAUUUUAAUAAGGUUAAUUUUCAUAUAUAUAACAAACGAAUAAAAUAUUUACGGUCCGUGUAACAAAAUGAAAAAGCCCAUGAAAUUUACCAUUCUUUUAAAUAUUUCAGGUUUGCCCUUCGUUUUCAUUGUCUUUCUUCUCUUCCUCAUCUGCGAUUUUUUCUUUUUUUCUAUCGUCUUUUUCUCCUCUUCUUCUACAGUUUUUCUUUUAUAUUUUUCAAACUGUUAUUUAGUUCAAGAUCGCGUACCAAAUAUAAAAGAUCAUGAAAAAUAUCGUUGAGAUAUAAGAUAGCCAAAUUAAAAUGAUCGUGUACAAAAAAUAGUCAAAUCUAAAUGAUCAUGUACAAAGAAUCUUUAAAAAAAUUGUUUAUAUUUGGGUAGCCAAAUUUAAACGAUCAAAUCUAAACGAUCAUAUUCCAAAUAUAAACGGUCAUGUAUAAAAUCUAACGAUCGUUUUCCAAACAUAAAGCAAAAAAUCUUGAAAAAAGUGGUGGAGAUUUGGCUAUCCAAAUUUAAACGAUCGUGUACCAAAAAAUAUUUAAAAAAAUCAUUAUGAUCAAAUCUAAACGAUCGUAUAUGAAAGAAUAGUCAAAUAUAAACGAUAGUUUUUCAAAUAUAUUGCGCAUACUGGAUGUCAAUUAAUCAUGAGUUAUUUUUUUUAUUUCUCAUUGUGGGUCUGUGGACUUUUUCCGUUUUCGAAAUUUGUUUAUAGCGGGUGAAUAUUUUGUGAUUUUGUUCUAUUUUUUAAAAUCUCAUUUUGAUAAAUAGGAAAGUGAAGUUUUUUUUUUUUUUUUUUUUUGUAGCUUUUGAAGGAGAAUCUAAAACUCUAAAAAUGCAAUAAUUGGGUGAAUCUAAAACCUAUAAACUCACUCAAAUUGGGUGAAUUUUUCUAUAAAUGCAUAUUAAAAAAAUUGAAGUCACUAUUGUAAAUAUAUAAAUAUAUUUUGCUAUCUAAUGCAAUUUCUCAUUUUAAAAUGGCAAAAGUUACAAUUCCUUGUAUUAAUUAUAUAUAUUAUAUAUAUAUAUUUUUUGAAUGGUAAAGGACUAAUUAGAGUUAAAAUAAUUUGAUAUUAAACUUAACAAAAUAGUUACACACAUUGCAUGGGUUGUUGACUAGUAUUUAUAAACAUGGCAAUGUAAGAGAAACUUUUGUUUCCUAUUUUGUCCCUACCUUUUUUAAUAAAUUACUAUUUUGUUCUUAUAGAAGGAACAUGACUCUUCGAGUAUAGAUGUGUGGUGAGUCUAAUAGGUGUAAUUGAUCAACGAGAUACGACGCUUCAACUCUUCAAGAUGGGAUAUGUUUAUUUGAGCGUGUGUUUGUUGAGUUAAGUAGGGACAACUACUAUCAAUAAUUGAUUUGUUGCAUCGUUUGAGUUAUGAGUAGAUGUUGUAUAAUUAAAAAGAAUCUUGUUAUUUAUAUUCCAUAAAAUGAAUAGAUUAUACCAUACAUAAUCUUGUUAUUUAUAUUUCAAAUAUAUUGCGCAUACUGGAUGUCAAUUAAAUAUUUAUAUAUAUCAUUAUGUAUUUGCAUUGGAGUUCUUUUUUUUUUAAUUGUUAAAUACGCUUUUAAAACAUCAAAUUUAAACUGAGCAUUUUCACGUGUGUGUUGCCCGUGUUCAUAGAUAGUCAAAUGUAAAUGGUUCGUUAACUAAUUUUGAAGAUUCAUCGUCAUUAUUAAUAAUCAAUCUUUUCUCUUCAAAUAUUUUUUUAAAAAAUAAUUGCAUUUAUUGCAAUACAGUAACAAGUUAUGUAUUAUAUUAAUAAUUUAAAUCCUACAUGGUAUCCUUUUACUUUUCGGUUUUGGUUUUUAAAAAUUAAGACUAGUUCUUUUUAUUUUCUUACCUUGAUUUGUAUCAAUUUUUAACUAGAAUAGUUGCCUUUUUGACUAAAUUUUAAAAGCAUAAACAAGUAGUUCUCAAUUUUAAUUUAUUUUUAAAACUAUAGAUAAAAGAAUGGAUAUCAAAAGCAAGGGUUUAGAUGGAUGAGGUAUUGAUUGGGUUAAUUUUCAAAAAGAAAAAAACAGAAACGGGAUAUCUCAAUUAAUAUAUCAAUUGAUAUAGUGGUUUUACUAACCAUUUGAAGUUUAGAUCAUAAUUGAGACUAGAGGGUUCAAGAAUAGUCCCAGUUUGAUGUAUGUUGAGCAUUUUAAGAAUCCUAACUACCAAUAAUUGACCAUAAAUUAAUUAAUGAUGCUAUCUUGGUCACUCUAAUUUAAUGUUCAAACCGUAGAUAUUUCCAUGACUAAAGCAUUAAUUAUACGCAUAAGUUCAUUAAAGUUCUAUAAAUAACUAUGCCAAAAGAAAACUUGAUAUUUUUUUAUAGAAAAUAUAACCAUUCAUGUAAUUGUUAGAAUUUAAAUUAAAAUAAUAAUAUAAUGACUUCCAAGUUUUCAACCUUUUUUUCUUUUUUUCUUUUGGAAAGGACACCCAACUCCAAUUCAUCCAAUACAUCCUUUCAACAAAUCAACUAAUUCCAAUCAUAUUUAUUUAUAAUGGCAUUUUAAGCAAUCAAUAACACUACCAUGAGUGUUAAUAGCAUAAAACUUUUAAGACAAAAAUGACAUGGAUACAAAUACAAAAGCUAUCGGUUUAAUUAAACUCUCUUGGGAGGAGGAAGCCAGACAGGUGUGAAGGGUAAGGGAUACAGCAAUUGGCAAUAGCAAACAAACCAUUUACAAUAAUACAAAGUAGAAGUGUAGCAACAACAAUCCAAGUAAAAUCACAAAGAAAAUAGGGGAAGGGGGCAAACUAAGAAAAAACUAUGAACGUCCUAUUGAAAUUCAUCUUUUCCAACACAAGUUAUCUUGAUACAUCAACUCUCCAAUAUUUUAUAACUCGUGCACAAAGAACACCACCACAAUACUCGGUAUAGAUUCUCUCGCUCAAUCUAUGCUUCCAGGAGCCAUAUUAUGUGUUAUCUCCAAACGACAUUUGCUCUAACGUGCGUGAUUGAUGCAUUGAUAUAGCAAAAGAGUUUGCCAGCUAAUUACGGUUUUUGCAUUUCUCCAUGGCCCUUGGAGCUGCAAGAGAAAAGGCCAAGCUUCUAAUGAUGGGGUCACAGGAGAAUAAUAAUAAUAAUAAUAAUAUGAUGAACUUUGUGUAAAGAUCCGAUCCUAAUGGAAUUUAAACUGCUAUGUUUUUAAUUGUUGCAUCUUUUUCUUUGAGGGGUGGGUGGGGGGUCAAACUUUAUGAAAAUGAAAGAUGCGAAGUAAUUCUGAGAAAAAGAAAAGGCUUUUCAAGUGUAGAGAUAAUGAUGGUAACUAAGAGAGCACUGAACAAAGACCCAUAUUCUCAAAUGCUUUAUAAUCAUGAAGAUGAAAUCCCACUAUAACUUGUCUAAUAAAUUUAGUAAUAACGAAAAACAAAAUUAAGAAAUUAUUGAAGUCCAUAGCAUAGCAUACCUAACCCAAUAGCCUCUGAACUCUUCAUGAUCCUCAUCCUUGUGCAAGAUUCAGUGAACAUCCUAUUGUGUAAAAAGAAAGAAGAUAAAUAUGAUGAAAACUUCUUUUAUUAGCAGUCAUACAAUAAGAAUUUCUUGAAUGUUACAGAUUAAUAGAUCAGUCAGAAAAUUCCUCUAAUCACCCAAGACAUGAAUGAAGGAAAGAAAGAAAAGAUAGCAAUUUUGUUCAGGUUAAUAGUUGAACCAAAGUGAUGAAUUGGAUUAGAGCCAUCCCAGUUCAAACCUAGUUAAGAGUGCAGUUGAGCUAUUCCUUAGUGAAACACAAAUGAAUGAGUAAUGAACUUACUCCCAUGGAACAUCACCAACGAGCAUCCAGUCACCAUCCUUAUCUUCGUAGGUGAGUACAUAUUCAGAGCCAUGGAGCAGAUCCAUCAACCUACUCUCGUUUAAUGCAUCCCGGUUUGGAACUCCAUUAGAGCCAUAGUGACCUGACAGGUUGAAGGGAAAUCACUUCUACUUGAACAAAAACCUUGCUACAAUACCAAAAACUGAGAGUAACUGAGCGACAUAAACUAAUCCACAUGCACUAGGUGCCCGGUUCUGAACCUUCAAGUACUAGUGCAAUGGCUUUUAUUAGACAGAAACUUAUGCUGCUAGUUAAAGUAAAGAAUAAGACAUGCUAAGUAUCGUGAAUGAGCAAUAAUUUUGAAGAAAUAAGAAUGUCUUGACCAUGAUAUAAUUACACAUAUUUGACACAUAACACCGGAGAAGCUACUAACUCCAUGCAAGUCUUCUUGAUUUCAUUGAUAACCUUAUCGCCAUUUAUUUUGUCUUUAGAUACUUUUGCCACAUGAGUUUCUUACGAGCCAAACCUAAACAUUUACAUUCCUGAAGGUGUUUGUGGCUGAACCAUGGAAGUGAUGCAAUAUGAUUACAAUACAGGACACGGGCAGGAGUUACACAAGACACUAAAUCAGCCAAGAUCUGCAAGACUACCAAUUGUGAAGCUGCUGAACAUUUUCUCCAGGGCUGAUGAGAGGUCCACAUAGCUUACAUAGGUUUUCAGAUCAACCUUCCUGAGGUACGGUGCGCCAUCCAUACUUACCUUGACAUAAAGGCAGCCUGAUCCCAACUUACCAUCCGCAUCAUCUGUAUUUUUAGGGGGCUGUGUUGCCAUUGAAUUCUUACGGAAAGAACGAAUGGGUGGCCAUCCUACAACUUGUGCCCUGUAACAAAAAUGAUAAAGCACUUUGAGAUUUUUGUGGAAUUAGGAACUUCGAUAGAAACAUGAAAUCCACACAAAUAACUGAUAUCAAGGUGGAAAAUUUAAAAAAAGAUUUGCCUGUAAAAACAUUCCAAAUCUAAGAAAACAGCCAAGCUAGUAAGCUUGACAGAUAUCUGUUCAAAUUCACUCCUACACAAUCUUACAGGUGAUGGAAGAAGGGUCAGAGAGACGAGACCUCGCAGAGAAGGUUAACAAGCUCGGACCGACCAGAACCGAAAGAAUUAUAUGCAGCCAACAUAGUUUGUAAUACAAAGGGAAAAAGUAAAGACCAAAAUUAUGGAUCUUCCAGCUUAUAGUGACAGAAAAUAACGUUGUCUAUCAAAAGGGUCAAGGUUUUUCUACGAACGAUUAAAACUACAUGAAUGAAUCACAGCCCAAAUUUUUCGUUCAAAUAGGAGAAGAAGAUAAGAAAAACAAAGUCAAGAAGAAGGAAAGGAAAAAGCUGAUGUUGAACAAGCAGAGUUCCAAAGCACAAUUUAUUCAGAUGGAAAAAUCAAAGGAAAAACACAUACUUAGCUGCAGGGGGAGAAAGCUGAGGCUUUUCCUCAUGAAGUGGCUUGGCUGACGGAGAAAUACCGUCUUUGACACCGGAGACAGCGGAAGCAGGUGGUUGAGUCUUAUUCUCAUUAACACCUCUAGGAGAAAACAAACCCCCAUUUGUGGAGGAGUCUGCCUCAGAUCCGGCAGAAGCUGGUAGAACCCACUUGGCAGAAGCUCUAUCAAUGGCUAUGGAGAAACCCCUCUUAGCCCCAGAAACAGAGCUCUUGUGAAGGAACCCAUUCUUAUCCUCAAACCCAUCAUCCCUUCCCGGUGACUCCGAUCCCGGCAGACCCAACCUCAGUUCAGUAGCCUUAAGGUUCAAACCAGCACUGUUGCGUUUAUCAGAAGACUUUUCAGAGUUUUCCAGAGAAGGAACAGACUCUGUUAAGCCUAUGUAAUCAUGUUCUAACGGUAUAGACAUCAGAAAAAAUUAGAAACUCAAGAUGAAUACACAAAAAGCAUGGGAUUAAAUCACAAUAAAAGAAGAAGAGAAAGAGAAUCAAUGGUAAUAGGAAGAGAAGCUUCUUUAAGAUUGACAAAGCCCUGUUGGUUCCUCACUUUGGUUGAACAAAAUAGAAAAGGAAAAUCUGAAAUCUCAACUACUGUGAGUAAGUGAAAGACCCUUUUGAAGAAGAGAAAUGAAAGAAACGGAGAAGAGGAAAGGCAUCAUAAAAGAGAAAACAUGGAAUUGUUUGAAUAUUAAUAAAUAAAAAAGGAAAAAAGGAAAAAAAUUCUGUAUCUCUGCUUCUUUUCAGGAUUUGUUAUAGUUAUUUUAAAAUUGAAUGUACCUUUUUGUGGGCAACCACCCCGACAAGUCACAGAAAGUCUCCGUCUACCUUUUCCCUCAAUUGCCCUUUUUCUUUAAUCAAAAAAGAAAAAUGCUUUCUCUGUAGCUUUGGUCUAUGGGGUUUUUUGAUUUCCCCUUUUCUUUUAUCUUCUCUUUCAGAGAGCGCCAAGCGACAGCAUUAAACAGUGUAAAAAAUUGAAAGCAGCGUAACACGGGAAUGCGGAAAAGGAUAGGACGAAAGCAGAGUCUGAAAUUGUAAGAAGUGGUCAGAUUUUGAAGGAAAAUUCAAUUGAAAUAAGAAAAAUGAAGAAGAAGAAGAAGAAGAAGAAGAAGAAGAAGAAGAAGAAGGGAUUAGGGUUUUCUUCUUUGUGGGUUAGAAAAAAAAAAAAAGUGAAAAUGGGGGGUUUGGCGAAAGAAAACGAGAAGUCGUGGAAAGUGAGGGAAUUUUGAGAAAGCUGACAUGAACAUAUAAAUCAUCGCAGAGAUGUGGUUCUGAAUUUUCAUUCUGAGACCAAAAUCACAGAGUUUUAGGGGACAAUUAAAAUUAAUUUCUUCUUCCCAACUACUUUUUGAUAUCUGAAUUGAAUAUAUCUUCCAUUUUCUUUCCCUUUCAUCGUCAAAAACCCUAACUAUUCCUUCUUUCAUCUCUUCUAUUUUCAUUACAACAUAUGUGCAAAGUUGGGUAAGCUCAUUUUGCUAAAUUUAUACUUUUAAUUCUUAAAACAUAAUUUUUUACUUUUAAAAAAUUAUAUGCGAUUUUAAAUUAAAUAAUUUUCAUUAGGUCGGUUUAAAACUAUUUUAAAAAAGUAAGAGAUUAAAAAGAUACAUUUAUUAAAUUUACACACUUAUUCUUCUAAAUUUAAAUUUUUCAUAAAAGAAAAAUGGAACAAUCGUCCACCUAAGUUCUUAAAUUUAAUUUUAUGUUUUAUAGAUUGAAUUUUGUGUAUAUUUUGUUGAAAUUAAUUGUAUCCAUUGGAAGUAAAUUUAGGAUGAUAGAUUUGGUGUGGUAACUGCGUCUAUUAGAUGGAUAAAUUAUAAAACAUGGAAAUAUUAUGUAAUUUGGGUGUUCCAAUUCCAGAGUUGAUUCUAAUGUCUUAAAUGAGAAAAUUAAAGUGAAAUUGUAAGUAGCAUUAAUAAAUGAAGUAAAAAGAAGAGAGGUUUUGAGAGAAAUAAAAAGGCAGUGUUUAAAGAAAGGAAAAAGAGAUUAAAAGGAAUCUCAGCAUUUAAUUAUAAGAAAUAGAUUAAAUAGUAUUUUAUUUAUUUUAAAAUUGUUUUUUGAGUGGUCCCUAUUCACUUCAAACUUCAUGAUUAAGCAUGCUUAACACAAAACACACAACUAUACUCCUAAAAGAAAUUAAUUAAAAGCAUAUCCAUGUUUGUCUCAAAUUUACUCACAUUCAUAUAAACUACUAUUUGUACUACUUAUUUAUCAUUUUUCUUAAAAGGAAACUCUAAAAUUGUGCCUAAAAUGGACAGCUAUUUAAUAACAUAUCAUACCAACAUUUUUAUCUCAAUAAUAAUAUUAAUAAUGGACAUUAAAUCGAGUUGACGUACAAAUUUAUAUUUUAAAUAAUAAAAACGAUGAAUGGGUCAAUGUAUUGGAAUAUCUAUAUAGAAAAUAAACAAUUGAUUAAGUGAGAUAAAGAAUAAAGUAAGAGUUGAUAGAUAAUAGUGAAAAUUUGCAUAUUAUCUACUUUUAACUCAAAAGCUGUGCUGUGGUAGCAUUAUAUAUAUAUAUAUAUUACAGAAAUUUAUUCCUUCCCUUUACAUAUAAUGGAUCUUAAUUCCCCUCUAUCCAUUAUAUUCAGUCAAUCUAAGAAAUUAGAUAAAUGGAAAGACAAAGGGAGGGGACCGGGGAAGAAGAUGGGAUGAAAAUGGAUAAGGGAUUGGAAUUAAUUUUGUUUUCUAAGUAACCAUCAAAGCAUAAAUUUAAAGGCCCUUUUGUAUUGCAUGAAUUUAGUCCUACAACAACCUAUAUUCCUCUUUUCUUUUUUUCUCUUUUUCUCUUUUUGUUUUAAACACAAACGUAUAUUCUUCACCAACAAAUUGUAAAUUCAAAAUCAAAUUAUUACUUAUUUAAACACCAAAAUGCCACUACCAUGCAUUCUUAAAAAAUAUCAUUUCUUUUUUAUUAUUUCACUCCAUCACAUGUAUAUGGAAUAAUUAACUAAGUUUAAAAAGUUUAAAAGUAUUUUUAUCCGAUUUUUAAAAUAAAAAAAAAAUAGUUUUAGAGAAUAUAAAGAGGUAUUUUUAAAAAUAACAAAAUAAAUUAAAAUAUUUAGAAACGCAAAGUUUUGGAUUAUAUUAUUGAUAGUCUUCUUUCGUUAUAGCAUAUCAAUGACUAUAAGCGAUAGAAUUUGGUAAAUAUCGUAAAUAUUUUGUAAAAUCUACAAUUUAAAAAAUAAAAAAAAUUAAAUAAAAAGCAUAAACUCAUUCAACUCAAGUAAUACGAAUAUAUGCCUCUACCAAAUUGAGACAUUACAAGUGAAAUGAGAGCAAUUUCAUAUUUAACUUAAAUCUUGUUUACACGAGUAAGAGUAGAAGACAAAAACUCCAAUUUUACAAGAUAAAAAUGAAGUAAAUUAAAAAGGAAAAAAAAGAAGAAGAGAGAGAAAGGUGGAAGGGGGUUGAGAAAAAUAGUGGAAAGGGAAGUAAGGGGUAAAGGAUGGGUUGGUGGGAGACAAAACGGCGUUAUGCUGUGAUGUGGACGGCGCUCCCUAAACCACUCAACCACUACCAUCUCCGUUAUUCCUCCACCCCCAUCGCCCAUCCAGUCCAAUUCACACAUAUAAUAUAUGACAUUAAUAAAUACACAAUUUUAGUUAUAUAUUAAUUUAGUUUACUUUAAUCUUCAAUUUAAAUAUCACUUGUAAUUUUAUAUAUCACGUAAGGGAGUGGUUAAAAAUGGAAAAUUUGACCCAAAAACAAAAUUUUAAUUGUUCACUGACAUUUGUUAGGUACCUUCUUUAAAAUUUUAAAUAUUCGAUAGACUUCUAAAUAUUUAACUGUGCUUGGUAACUUUUAUUUUUUAUUAUAAAUUGAGUUUAUAGUUUAUGGAUUUUUAUUUUAUUUUAUUGUUUAUAUUUUAUAGAAACAUUUUAAAAAAUUAAAUCAAAAUUUGAAAAUUCAAAAAGUAUUUAAUUUUCUUUUUCAAUUUAGUUAACAAUUUAAGUAUUUUAUUAGAGAAUUGUGAAAACAUAGUUAAACAAGAUAUAAUUAAAGAAACGUAAAUUUCAAAAGCUAAAAAUGUGAUAGAAAUAGUUUCAUACAGAUCCUAAUUAAUUUAUGUUUUUUUUAAAAUUGUUUUAGGUUUGAUAGGUUCCUAAAUAUUCAAUCCACAAACUAUGGGACAAUAAAUUUUUCUUUUAACUAUAUUACGAAUGAAUGACAAUAAUCUUAUAAAAUAAACCAAUUUUGAGUUUGUAAAUUUUAAUAAAUGACAAUUAUUAAGUUUGCCAUUUAUUAAAUUUUAGUGUUUUAUAUAUAAAAAAAGAUCUACAUCUAGUAAUUGAAUCAAAUUUAAACUCUAGAUUUCUCUAUAUCAAUCCAUUUAAAUCUUUUGUUAAUAGUUUAGAGCUAUUUUUUUAUUAAUAAUUUAGAACUAUUUUCAUUUAAAAUUUUUUGUCAAGCAAAUGAAUAGUCGAUCAAAUUUAAUAAUAAAAUAUUACUAUACAGGCAUGAUGCAUUAAUCUUUUUAUUUAAAAACAAGUGAGUUUUUUGUUUGAUUUUUUGUUUAAGUAUAAAAAAAAUAAAAAUUUGAUCUCGAUAUAUUUUGGUUCUUUUAAGUCUAAUUAACCUAAAUGUUUAAUGACUGAAAAAAGGGGAUUGGAAUACUAAUAACGAGUCUAAGCUCAUUUAUUUAAAUUAAUAUAAUAAUUAUUAGAUGGAAGUUUUAAUUAAUACAAUCUAUGAUGAAAAAAAUUUAUAUGGAAAUCUUAAAAUUUUAAUGCCCAAAUUUUGUCAUUUCUCUAAUUUAUAAGAAUACCAAGAUUAUUUGGAACAAGUUUUUGGAUUUUAGCAUUAACUCAAUUCAAGUUUUUUAAUUUAUGGUUCUAAUUAGGUGUAGUUGUAUAGUUUGUAACAUCAAUAUAAUUUUGGACCAAAAAUGAAGUUUUGUAAAUUGAUUAGUUUUUCUAAUUUCCUGCUUGUAUCAAAUUUUAAUUUUAUUUUAAAUAGGAAACUUUUAUCUAAAAAUAUGGAAUUGGAGAGAACCAGUACCAAAAAAAUCUAUAUUUAUUUUAAAUAUCAUUAAAACUGAUUUUGUCUAUGUUCUCUCGACAUUUAACUAAAUAUUUACAAUAUAAAUCUAAAAAUUAAGUUAGUUUAUAUAAAUGAUAAUAUAUAGUAGAGUGUAAGUAAGUGAGCGUUAACAAAUUUAUAAUAUGCUCCAUGAAGUUUCUCUCCAAUUUUGAAUGAACAAUGAUAAUUUCAAUAAAAUGUUGAUGGAGAUAGGGAAUAAGUACUAAGUAGGGGAGGAAGUGGGACCCAGAAAGGUAAGAGGGUCCUACGUGUCAAGAAGUGGGGCCGAAAAGACAGUAUUAAGUAGGAGUGAUAGUGGGGUCUCAAGUCUCAAGUCUCAAGUCAAUGGCCACCAACACCCACAUCCACAUCCACACCCACACCCACACCCACCUCCACUUUCUGCUAAUGGGUCCUCCCCGGCCCCCUCAAUUUUUAUACCCUUUUUUUCUAUUCUUAAAUUAUUCCUUUUUUCCCCUUUUAUUAUCUUUUUUUUUUUUUCUUUUUGUAGGAAGCUGCAAUUGCUCUUUUUAGGGAUAAAAUAAAAAGUGUAUUCAUAACUACACUUCCUUAAAUGCAAUCAUGAAUUAACAUAAUAUUUAUAGAAAAUUUUGAAAUAUAACACAUCGAGUUCCCAUUCAAAUAGGAUCCACACAAGGAAAAACACUUGCCAUUCGUUGGUUAUUAGGGACAUCCCGAAAACGUCUCGGUCGAAAUAUGGCUUUCAAAUUCAGUUCCGAAUUAGUGGAUGCUGCCAAAUAAUAAAUAUAAAAAAUUUCAAUCAAUUGCAAAUUGCAACAAAUUAGCUCUUCCAGUCAAAUUGUGUCGUUUGGUGACGCUAGGUCAACUCAAGUUUAUUAAAAUAAAUUGAGUUGAACCUAGAUAAAAAUAGAUUAAUUUAGGAUAAAAAUAUAAACUAUAGUAUGGACUAAUAGCAAAAUAUAUACAUACAUACAAAUGACAAAAUAGAAAAAAUAAGAACGAAUGAUAGAUUUAAAACAGAAAGACAAAUUUUAUUGAACUCGAUGCUUUGAUGGCCUGAGAUUCUCCCAGAUUUAAAUCGAAUCGAAACUGAACUGCAUAUGCAGUUCAGUUUUGAUUUGAUUUGACACAAACGUGCGGUUUGGUUCAAUUUCAUAUGAUAUUUUGUUUUGAAUUUUUUCGGUUCAGUGCAGUUUCAGCUUGAAAUCGAACCGCACCGAACUAAAAUGUAAACACCCCUAAUACACACAUACAAAUGACAAAAAAAAAAAAAAAAACGAAUGAUAUAAUCAAGGUAAGCAACUAAUGUACCUAUGAAGCCUAAAAUCAAUGUAAUUGAUCGGUUAAAAUCCCAACUCACAACCCCAUCUCACAACCCCAACUCUCUCUUUAUCUCUUCAUGCGUGGACCAAGAAGAAAAUCAUGUCUUCUUUUUCCUUUUUAGUUGCUCUUUCUCCCUCUGUCUUCUUCACACUUGAAUCUCUGGGCAAAAUUGUCUAGUAGGGCUCUCCACUGCGACAACAAAAACUUCAGUAGAAGUCGUGAAGGUCACCAACAAAAAAAACUUGUAACGAAUAAUUUUACAGUAGGGUUCUUCGUUGUCUAUCCGUUCUAUGGGGUCACAAAUCAUUCACCAAAAUCGUUAGUUGUCGUUGUCACGAUCGUUUUUCGAGAUCAUCUGUUCACUGUCCACCGACAAAAUCGUUCGUCAAAAUUGUUCACCAUCCCAAAACAACCGUAAAAAAUGUUAGUUUUAUGCCACAAAAACAUCACACACCAUUUUUUUUUAUCCUUUUGUUCUCCUCAACAACAACAAUUGUCUUUCAUUUGGCCUUUAUUCGUUCCCAAUCGUCUUGCAUUCGGUAGCGUUUAUGAUUGAAGGUAACAAAAUCAAACCAUAAAAUUUACCUUUUAGAAAGAAAUGUCCCAAUAGAAAUAUAUUGGUAAAAUAUAAGGUAUUUUACCUUGUAUUAUUACUAAUUAACAAACCUUCAACUAAGUAACUGUUUACUAACUAAUUGUAUCAACUAAUAUGCCCCUCUGAAGAUGGAAUGUAGAGAUUAUGAAUUCCUAUCUUGAACAUGAACUCUUGAAUAGUUGACGAAGGCAAUGGCUUGGUGAACAUAUCAGAUAGUUGAUGUGAAGAUUUAAUGGAUAAAAGCUUUUGUUGUCCUUGUUGAAUUUUAUCACAAACGAAGUGGCAGUCUAUCUCAAUGUGUUUGGUGCGCUCAUGAAAAGUUGGAUUAGAAGCAACGAAAAUGGUCGUAUAGCUAUCACAAUAUAUUAAGGAUGAAGCUUGAUGAAUAAUCUACAAGUCUUAAAGGAGGUGAGUUAGCCAUGUAAUCUCACUGGACACACUUGCUAAAGCUUUGUAUUCUACCUCUGCUGAUGAGUGUGAGACUAUGGCUUCAAGAGAUCUUCCAAGAAAGAUGCAAAAGCUAGUGACUGAUUUUCGAGUGUCUAAACAACAUCCCUAAUUUGAGUCAACGAAGGCCUUUAUGUUGAAUUCUUUUGAGGCCCAAAUCAUUAUGCCUUGUCCUGCUGUGCCUUUUAGGUAACGUAGCAAAUGAUGUACUUUGUUAAGUGUUCAGAGUGAGGUUUAGCCGAGACUUAACUAAGUUUGUAAACACAACAGGAAAUGUCUGGCCUUGAGAUUUGUAGAUAUAAUAGUCUACUGAUUAGUCUUCUAUAUAAGGAAGCAUCCUCAACAUUUAGUGGAUUGCCUAAUGUAGUAGAUAAACACAGGCUAGACACCAUUGGGCAUUGAUAUGGUUUUAUAGUCAUAAAACUAGAGUCUUCAAGUAUUUGUAAGCAUUACUUCCUUUGAGACAAAUAGAUGCAUGUUGUUAAUCGGGACAAUUCAAAGCCUAAAAAAUACUUUGCUUGUUCAAGGUCUUUUAGUAGGAAGUGUGAUAUGAGUAGUUCCUUAACAGAGGUUAUUUCAUUACUUAAAGGGCCUGUGAUUAAAAUGUCAUCCAUUUAUACCAAAAGAACAACAAAUAAGGAACCAUGGCCUUUAGUGAAUAACGAGUAAUCUGCUUUGGAUUGGGAGAAUUCAUUUGUGAGUAACACACUAGAGAACUUUGAGAAACGUUGUUGUGAUGCUUGCUUUAGGCCAUAUAUUGAUUUGUGUAGUUUGCAGACUAGGGGGUGGAUGAAGCUUGUUGCUCUUUGGCAUAAUAACCCAUUGGUAAUGUCAUGUAUACUUCUUCAAAUAAGUCGCUAUUAAGGAAUGCAUUAUUCACAUUCAUUUGGCAAAGAGAUCAGCCAAAGGAGGUUGUUAAUGAUAGAAGUAUUUUGACAAUAACAAUUUUAGCCACAAGAGAGAAGGUUUCUAAGAAGUCAAUGCCUUCUAGCUGACUGUAGUCUUUUGCAACUAGUCGGGCUUUAUGCUUAUCAAAAGUGGCAUCAUCAUGGUAUUUAACCUUAUAAACUCAUUUGCAUCCAACAACAUCGUGCCCAUGGAGAAGGGGACAAUGCUCCAAGUAUUUAUUUUCAUCAUUCCAAACUCUGAAAUAUUACUGUUGACCCAAAUAAUUUAUCCACCAUACUGUAGAUCUUAAGUUCCACAUCCUCUAACAACCUCUGCUUACUAUCUCUUUGCAUCAACAACAAUGUAAAUACCUUCCAACUUCUAUGCUCUCCUCGGGUAUUGUCUCUUAAUUUAUGGGUAGGCUAUUUUUCUAUAGAAAAGUAGUUGGUGUGAAACAACCAAUGGUCUGCAUCAACUUCUAUUUCAUGAGCUUCGUAAACAAGUUUGGCAUCAGUACAGUGUACUUUGGCUUUGACUUUAUCUGUUUUCUUGUUGUACUGUAUGUAGUUCAUUUUUUGUCCUUUCGUGAAUGCUGAUUGUUCAUAUUUGUAGCAUUAGAUGGAAGAAGGAAUUGUAGGGACAUUAAUAAAGAACCUUGUGACGUCAUUUUUUUUUUUAACUAUCUAAUUGAAUAAAUUGUAAUGUUGGACAAGUAGAGUGCUUAGAAUUAAAUUUCUAAUAAUGAUCCGCCAACUAUUUAAGUCAAACAAGAACUGGAUUUUACAACUUCAACUUUUAUACACUACUUCUAACUUCAUGGGUCAAACACACCCUACAAACUCAUACUAACAUACAAAUUAUGGAGAGAUUAUGAAAUUCUAUGUUUAAGAGUUUGGUAACAAUUUUUUAUUCCACUUGGGACGUAGUUGAAAACCUAUUUCGAGAUAGAUACAUUUUAAUAUUUUUUAUAUCUUUCGAGAUAAGAUAUAAAAUAUUAUUAAAAUUAAGGUGAUUCAUUUUUUUUUAUCUUUUAUACAUUUUUUUUAUUUAUUUUGUUCUUGAUGUAUGAUAAUUUUAUAAAUUUUAUUUGUUGACUUUUUUUUUUUAAUUCUAAUAACUGAUGAGAAGUAUAUGUGUUAUGGAUUAUUUAAACUUUUAAUUAUUUUCAUUCUUAAGUAAUAUUAAAAAGAAUAUGGAUUAUUAUUAUUACCUUUUAUACAAAACCCUCUCUCCCGUCAAAUUUCUUCCCCAUCCUUCUUCCAACGAUAACUCUCUCUACUUCCUCUCCCCUCUCCCCUUCUCUUUCGCUCUCUGUGAGUAACCCAUCUUGCCGAUCCACACCAUCAUCUUCUCCUAGCCCUAACGACGCCAGAAUCAAGAGCGGCAGACCCCUCGGAAACCCAAUUCGUCUUCCAAAGUCCUUUUGUUCCACCAUCACCGUCAGAUCCCGACUCCAUGGUUCUUGAUUCCAAACCCUCGCCGGCUAAGUUGAAGAGCCCGCUACCACCUAGGUCUCCCUCUUUAACCCACUUAAGCGAAAGGUAUGAAGACCGUUCCUGAGAAUUCCAUCUCUGGAUUGUCUGAUUCGGGUAUGAAGGUAUUUUACGUGUUGUGGUAUGAUUAUGGGGGUUUGGAUUAUUUGUCUUAAUUUCGGUGGUGUAGUGACAGUUUUAGUUUAAGAUUCAAGUUUGGAAGUUUUGCCUAGUGUGAACUGUCUCUGUGAUUUUCAGGUGGUAGUGCGCUUGCUGCCGCCAUCCAAGGACGGAGAUGAAGGGGAUAAUAUAAUACAAAAGGUUAUGUGUCGAUGAAGUUAGCGGACAGUGGGCAGAUGCAGAUGAAUUCUUUAAUGAGGUAAACCUGAUCAGAGGAUUACUUGAAAGCAAACCUAUUCUUUAUUUGAAUUUCAAUUAUUAAAGAUUUGUCAUAAAAAAAAAAGAGGGGGAACUUCACUUUUGGCCUAACCAAAACCAGACCACCUACUCUUAGCGUUCAGACAUAGCAUUGAUUUUGAUGAGGGGAGUUGCCAAUUGGAUCGAUAUUAUUUAUAGGGCCAUAUUCCUUAGGGAAAAACUUUCUCAGAAUUUUAUGAUUUUGAUCUGGUUUGAUGUAGAAAUAUGGAAAGGCAGCUGUGGAUAACCUCCAUCAGAUAAAUUAGGAAGCGGAUUAAAAAAUAUAUGAUAUGGUUAUGCCAUCAGUAUAUAUCUACAACAAAAGAAAACAAAAAGAAUUAGAUACUUAAGAAUUCAAAUAGCAAUAUUUAUUAAGAGUUCUACACUUCAAUGGUUUUACAUAAAAUUCUCACUCUCCCUCUAUUGUAGCCUUUUCCAGCCACUGCACAAAUGCCCACGGUCUGUUCAAGACGAUGUGGCCCUGAGAACAGAAUAUACAGUUUAAUGAAAUACGAAAAAGAAUCCUACACAUUUGAAAACAAGACAUUACAUUUCAUGGGAAAGAAACAAUGAGUACGUCCAAAGUAACAAUAACUGAGUUAAAUGAAGAUAAAGAAGGAGGUGCAAAGAAAUAUGCUUUAAAAUCUCAUUACUAGUUCUAUUAUUAUCAUUAAUAAGAUUGAUUUAUUCUAUAAAUUGUCUUCAAUAUCUUUAGAGCACAGUUGUAAAGGAGAUCCUAGUUCAUAUUGCCAAAACUCAAAUCUUAAUAUUUUUUUUGAAGAGUUAGGCAAAUCACUAUUUAGAUGCGGACUACUUUAAUACUUCAAUGAGAUAUUUUGUGGCUGUACAGGAACAGGCUAUGUGAAAGAGACCAGGCUAUUCGCAAACUGGAAAGGGAAAUAGAAGAUAAAGAUAGGGAAUUGCAAUCAAUUAAAUUAGACAACGACGCAGUGUGUCCCCCCCCCUCAUGCUUGAUGUGCUUACAUAAGAAUGUUUUGUAAUGAUCUGCUUUUUUCUUCACUAACCCUUUUAUUCUAUAAUUUCUUCACAGGCUUGGGCCAAGGAUGAUCUUCUGCGGGAACAAGAUAAGGAAAUAGCAACUUAAAGGUUACAUUUUUUGUUUGAUGCCCUUCAAUUUUUCCCUUCUUUUGCCAUUGAUUUUACUUUUUGCUUACACUAACAUCCUAGCACAUUCUUUAGUAUUUUAAUUUUAUUGCAGUACAUUAUAUUGAAUCUUCAUUUUCCUUGGCUGUGCUAUAAAUGGUGUUUCUUCUAUAUGGAUUUGCAUUAUACAACACUACCGUAUUAAGUCAUAAAGUUAUGAAAAUUAGAAAGACACCCUUUGUAGGAGAGAACAUGAUCCUUCCUUUAAAGUAAAUUGAGAGAAUUUCCUCUACUUCCUCAAUUUUAAGGCUUGAGGUUUGAAGAACAAGGAUGAAUAAUCAACGAAAGAGGAAUGAGGAGGUUUCUCGUUUAGCGAAAAUAGCGAUUUUUCGUUUUUCAUACUUCCAAAAACACACAAUUAUGAACUUAUUGUGUAUUAAAUUGAUCGAGAGGCCUUCCAAUUGUUUGUUAAUCUAUAGUUUCUGUCUCUAUUUUAAUUAACUGCUACAAGUAGAAGCUUAACUACAUGGUUAGAGUUUUAUCAAAAAAGGAAAGAAAAAAAAGAAGAAAGAUCAUGUGAUAAAUUUAUAGAAAUGCCAUUAAAUUAUUUUAUAACCUUUGAUUUCUAUUUCUGUGGUAAAUUACUGCUACUAGAAAUCUAAUUGUGUUCGGUUAGUUAGACUUCAUGGGUUUGAAUUUAUUUAUCUUUUUGUUAAAGAGGUUCCAUUAUACAGAAUACCCCUAAACUUUGUACUUUAUAUAGAAAUACCAUUGAAAACACACUCAAGACAUAAACUACCAAAAGAGUUAAAAAUACAGUUACUAUAAUUAUCCUAAUUUUAGUAAUAAAUGAAAUUGAGAGAAUUUCCUUUGAUUUUCAGGAACAAGGAUAAUUAAUCAAUGAAAAAGAAAUGAAGAGGUUUAUCCAUGCAAGCUUCAAACCAAAGUCAAGGAUGUCGAUCCUUCCAGGGGAGUCCAAAGUUCCCCCUUAUUCUUCUCCCUUUACUUGGAUUUUCAAAAGCUUGCAAUUUUUUAAGUGGGGGUGGGCAAUAGCUUACAUGUUUAGUCUAAACUUGGGGGUUCAAAUAUUUUGCCCAAAUUUCAAAAUUUCUAAAACAAAUUUCCUUACAAUAAGGAGCAUUAUACCUCAUUAGCUUACUUAGAUCUUGCAUAAAAAGCAUGACCGGCAACCCUUGACCACUGAGCUUGGGUUUGUGAUGUAAAAUUCUGAAUGUUGAUGAUUAUAUGUGCUGAAAUUUGAGAAUAAGCUGCCGUCUUUUUUGGUUUACGUCCCUUUUUAGCGAUAUCUUAUUGAGAUGUUAGCGAUAUCUUGUUGAGAUGUGAAUGCUUGAUUGAGAAAAUGGUAUGUGUGUUGUGAAUGCUUGAUUGCAUGUAUAUAAUAAAUAAGUGCAUGGAUACUUUUCUAGCUUUGUCUUCCUUUGUUGCUUUGCCGUGACUUACCUAUGAUGCGCUUAGUCCAAACCUAGCCUAGAUAGAGUUAAAAAAGGAUAGGAGGUACUCUUUAGAAAUUGAGAUGGUUUUAAUAAAUAACAUGAGCUAGGAGCCGUUUGUCUAGCCACAAUGAACUAAAUCCCUUUAAGAAAGGGUGGACAUUAACAAAACUUGUUGCCACUUCGAAGGGAGUAGUCAAACUUAGAAACUAAGUGUAGAACCAUAGAAAGGUUAGCCCACCGGUUCUAGCAAGACCUAGUUACCACAUUGCAUAUCAAAGAAAGAAUAGAGAGACUUGUAAACGUAAACAGUGAAACAAUUAAGAGCUAAAAAAAACAAACAACAUAUGCAAUAUACAUCAGAAAAAUCCCAUAAAAAAUGAGGGGAAACUUCACUUAUGGCCUAACCAAAACCAGACCACCUACUCUUAGCGUUCUAGACAUAGCAUCGAGUUUGAUGAGGGCUUUGAAAAGAGGAGGAAUCCUCCCCGUUCCACACUAGGGGGAAAACGAGGCUUGUUGUCACUCCGAAGGGAGCAGUCAAACUUAGCAUUGAGUUUGACGAGGGCUUUGAAAAGAGGAGGAAUCCUCCCCGUUCCAUAGUAGGGGGAAAACGAGGCUUGUUGUCACUCCGAAGGGAGCAGUCAAACUUAGAAACCAAGUCUAGAACCAUGGAAAGGUUACCCCACCGAUUCUUGUGUGCGUACCAAAGAAACAAAAGAGAUAGUUGCAAAUGUAAAACAUAAAACAGCGGGACAAUUAAGAGCUAAAAAAAACAAACAACAUAUGCAAUAUACAUCAGAAAAAUCCCAUAAAAAAUGAGGGGAAACUUCACUUAUGGCCUAACCAAAACCAGACCACCUACUCUUAGCGUUCUAGACAUUAUACAUCAGAAAAAUCCCAUUCAGAUUGUUUUAUCUUCUCAUGUUGGGCUACUUCCAAGCAAUGUUUUAAGUGAAGGGUGGAUAAUAGCUCACUUGUUUAGUCUAAACUUGGGGGAUUUCAAAUUUUGUCCAAAUUUCAAAAUUUUUCAAAAGUUUUUCAUUACAAUAAUGAGCAUCAUAGCUUCUUAGAUCUUGCAUAAAAGGCAUGACUGUCAACCCUUGAGCACUAAGCUCGGGUUUGUGACGUGAGAUUCUGAAUUUUGAUGAGUAUAUGUACUGAAAUUUGAGAAUAAGCUUAUGUCCUUUUUGUGUUUGCUAAGUUUCAACUAAUACUCUCAGUAUUUAUCUUUGUGCUUAUGUGAUAGAUUUGUUAUGCACUGUAGUGAUGUGGGGUGUUUCCUUAUUUUCUGCAUCUUAAUAUUACUGCAUCUUAAAUACCUUAUUUUUUUGCAUCUUAAUUGGUACUGAAAUUUUGUUUGUUUCAG
rnacentral:lncRNA from 1 species